rnacentral:lncRNA from 1 species
UGUUAUUUAUCUAAAUCACGUAAUUGUGCUUCUUAACUUGCCAGUUUCUUCAUUUUGUCCAUAUUUAUUUUUCAUGUCAUGAAACAUUAUCCAUGUUCUGCAAUAUAGCCUGAAAGUAUGAAAUACUUCUGUCUGAGUAUACAUAAAGAAAUAAUGUUUGGGUCACCAUUUGCUGUCUGAGUAUACAUAAAGAAAUAAUGUUUGGGUCACCAUUUGCUGUCAUGAUUUGGAGUGGAAAUUUUUGUUUUGGGCGGAGGUGGAGGGUUGGGAGGGUGGGGGCAGGGCCGGAGGUGGGGGAGUGGGCCAGAGGUGGUGUGUGUGCAGUGGUGGUGGGUAGGGGUGGGGUUGGGUGGAGGGUUGGUGGAGAGCGGGGGGUGUGAUGAGGCAGUGGGGGUGGUGGUUGCAGAGGGCACUAUUGGUCUGAACUGGUUUGAACUUUUAUUGAUUACGUUAAGUGUGGUUUGAUCUUUGUUGUGAAGUACCUCUUUGUGCACAAAGGUUUAUUGUCCUCUUAUUUGUUGCUGUAAUAUACAUUCAAGCUUAUUUGCAUAGUUUUGCGUCUGGAUAGAUUGCAAUUACUAUGAACUUGGAACCUUCAUUUGCUGCUAUUCCUUUUUUUUAAUUAGUGACUUGAUGGAUGCUUGUGAUUUUAACCUAAUGUUCUAAGCAAAUGCAAUUAGGCUUUGUUGCCUUUCCAAUGGAUUUUGGCUGAUAUUUGGCUAUUAUACUAUCUGUAGAUUGACUUAAGGCGAGCAAAUAACACUGAGAUCAUGUUGACGAAAAUCAAGAUGCCGUUAUCUGAUAUGAUGGUAUGAAGGAUGAUUCUUUUCUUCUUAUGUUAAAGACACUUGGCCAGUUGGAUACUUACAUGUAAAUUGCGACAUAUUAAAGGAAAUUUACACGUCUGAUACUGGUCAUGAAUUUAAAAAUUAAAUGGCACAAUAUGAAAUGCUAAAGAAUUUUUUCCGUGACUUUUCUUAGUUAUGGCAGAUGACAGCAGAGUUUGAGGAGAUCUGAUUUCUUUCCCUUUUUUUUCCCUACUACAAAAUUUUAAUGAGACCUGGUUGAGUUGAAGCUUUCAUUAAAAGUAUUCUAGGAAGUGGUCUUGCGGCUGCGUAAGCGAUGGUGAUUUUCCGAAUGGCAUCGCAUAUUCCAUACAGCAUUGCACUAGCACAUUAUCCAUUAUUCCUUUAUUAGAUAAGCAUUACUUCGGUCCUUGGUUGCAACUGGACCUUGAAGUUGUAAAGCCACGUCAUGUUCUAGAACAUUUUAUGCUAUAUAUUUCUUGUAUGUGCUGGGUUGGAUCAGGUAGUGUUUGUCAAGACUAGUUCUGAUCAAAGCCUUCAAAGUCAAUGAAACGAUAUUUCUGAUCCAACUGGUUCUAGAAGCAGGCUGGUUUGCAAAUUUCAAACUAGACUUGUGGGUCCGAAAAAUAAUCCUGGCUUGUGUCUAAUUUGUGGGUACGGGUUGGCUAAUUUCGCCAGCCAACAGAUAUGCAUUCGUUACAUAUGUUUAACCAUUUAUAUUUAAUUGCGGUAGAUUAUCAGUAGUGUCGUAUUGUUCAGAAUCCGAAUUUUAAUGGAAUUCUAGCGUGAACAUGAAAUUAAAGGUUUUUGGUUGAUUAUAAACUUAUUUGAUAGCUCUAGUUGUAAGAGCAUUGGGAGCAGCUUUUGUUAAAAUCUUUGAAGAUUAUUUUUUGGUUUUUACUGUUUUCCAAGUAAGCAUUUAUUUUCUUUAUGUCAUUUCUUGAUAUUUUUUAUUUGUGUUUUUAUUUUUUAUUUCUAUUUUUAUGUUAAUACAGAAUGCUGCCCUAGCAUUAGAUGAUUCAAUUCUAGAUGCAGAUCAAGUGGAAAAUCUCUUAAAGUUUUGUCCAACUAAGGAGGAAAUGGAGCUUUUGAAGGUGUAUAUCGUAAAAUUAAUGAAGACUCUUCUUCUUGUUAUUGCCUUUUUCUUUCUCAUCAAAUUUUUCUAUUUUGUAUUAUUUGGAUUAUUCUGUAAGUCAAUUAUUUAACAUCUUUCCUGCUGUUAGGGUUACAGUGGAAACAAGGAAAACCUUGGAAAAUGUGAGCAGGUAAGCAUUGAAAUUUUAGCUCAUAAUUUUGCAUGCUUGCGGACUAAAAUUCUGCGACUAGUUGGAAUAUCAAAUUUUGUUCCUGAGUAGUUUAUGCAAUGUAACUAACAUUCUGCCAGUAAUUUUGUUAUUGCACUUAAUAUGAUAAUAACAAGUCAAAUAUGUAUCUUCCAUGUAAUAUAGGUGGCUUCUAAAUCAUAUUUCGUUAUCUUAUGAUACUUUCUUGCUGCAGUUCUUUCUAGAAUUGAUGAAAGUUCCAAGGGUCGAAUCCAAGUUUAGGGUGUUUUCUUUCAAGAUUCAGUUUGGUUCACAGGUCAUUAACUAAUAUGCUGCCCAUAUCCAUCUAGAAAGGAAAAAAAAAGAAAAAACAGAAGUUUGACGUGGUUCAUGACUUGUUCUCUUAUGUCUUUUCUCCUGCAGAUUUCGGAUAUUAGAAAGAAUUUACACAAUGUGGACUCUGCAUGCGAAGAGGUACAAUUUCUGUGCUAUUGAAAUCUCUGAGCAUCUUUUCUUUUGUUAUGUAAUUUAUGCGAAGUCACUUUCCUUGCUUCUAUUCAGAUUCGAAAUUCUGACAAACUAAAGGAAAUCAUGAAGAAAAUUUUAAAUCUUGGGAAUACAUUGAACCAGGGAACAGCGAGAGGUAAUGAAACUGUUUUGAAUAUGAUUGUUUUUUAUGAUUGUUUUGAUUCCUUCAUUAUUUGAUUGUUUUGAUUCCUUCAUUAUUUGGAGGACAGAAUAUGAACUUUUCUUAUAGCUUCUGUACUUGUGAGAUAAGUAGUCUUGGACUGGAAAGGAGGAGAGAGAACAUCAAUAUGCAGCUGACUGACUACUAUUUUUUUUUUCCGAAGUCCCCACCCUUUCUUCUUCUGAUUUUGUACCUUUUAUUUUUCUUGGGUUUUUAGUUUUAAGGAGGUUGUUUAUUGUAUCCUCUGACACAUCACAAGCAGCAAGCACUAAUGUUAUUUCUAUAGUAUUUCCUCAUGUUGUUUCCAUAGUCCAUACCCUUCCUCUUUUUAAGCAUCUUUUUUUUGUUAGCAUUUAUUGCCUCUCAUAAUUUGCAGUUUGCCAUCAAAUUUUGUUCUCCUUUCAUUUCUCACUUUACAUAGGCUGCACUGUUGAGGUUGCUUACUAGAUAUUGGGCUCUUCACAUAGACAUAAACCUGUCGUAAGUUUGUGAUAUUAUGAAUUGGCAAAUGUCCUUAUCCAUUUGUACUCUUUUCUGUUGCGUGCUCACUCAUUAGUAUAGCACAACUUGUCAUUGUUUUUGUGAUUUUUAUUUUUUUACAUUUUUGGGUUUAAUACAGGUUCGGCAGUUGGUUUUCGGUUGGACAGCCUUCUGAAACUUACAGAUACUCGUGCCACUAAUAAUAGAAUGACGUUGAUGCAUUAUUUGUGUAAGGUAGGGUUUACUCGCUUCCUUUUCGGAAAAAUUUACUGGUGUAUCUAUGAAUUAGUGUCCAUAUCUUCUUGCUAGGAGAAUUUAGUUGCUCUUUCCAACCUGUUUAUGUUCUGUUGAGUCUGAAAUUAAGGAUUUGAUGUCUGUGCUGUUUUACGUGUGUUAAUGCAAGUGAUUCUAUUACCAGAAUGAUCAUACACUGCUUAUUCUGGUUGUGCCUUUAUAGUGCAACUACGAAUUUGAUUACUCAUGAAACUGGCAGAAUUUUCUUAUGAAACUGGCAUACUUAUCAAACAACUGUCCAUGUGGACUGUUUGAAAGUGGACUGUUCAAAUUCAUGUACAACUGCUCUUUUUUGUUCCUAGAUUGGCAUCUUUCAUUAACCACAUUCGCUUCAAUAUGGUAGUCGAAUCACCAGCCAUCUGUCCAUGGAGGAACACAGAGUUGAAAGUGGCCUGCUAGUUGGUUUAAAAGCCCUCUCUAUGAGGCCAUCUACGAAUACAAGUUCUUUUGUUAGGUUAAUUUGGAAAAUGGCCUAACAUUCUACAUUAAACAGAGAUAUCAUGUUUUGCCAUGGAAUCUGCUGGCUAUACUGGCAUCUCUAUGUGCUUUAACCUUUUAUUGUAUGUGUACCCAUCAGGUUCUUGCUGAGAAGUCACCACAUCUGCUGGAUUUUCAUGAGGACCUUGUCAGUUUGGAAUCUGCAUCAAAGGUUUUACAAGUUUGAUUGAUUACUAUAACCUGUUUUGCACAGCCUGUGGAACAGCUUCUUCCCCCCCGAGAAGUGGCAGCCUGGCAUUGUGCAAACAGAAAAUUUGGAGCUUCUAUGAUGGUGGAGAGCUAAAAUGUGCUUCUAGGCCGAGAAGUAGAAGCUCGAAAUUGGAGCUUUUGCUUCUUCUAUAGCACGAACUAUUUUGAAUGAUAUUGAUGGGAAAGUUGUUAGUGCUUCUUUGGACAGCUUGGCUCUAACAGUACUUCUACAGAAGCUCCAUCUAGGCUGCCAUUUAUCAAGAAAUAGUAAUGUUUAAGAUAUCUGUAUCUUGAUUUGGGCAGAUACAACUGAAGUUGCUGGCUGAAGAGCAGCAAGCUGUUGUGAAAGGAUUAGAAAAGGUUGAAGCGGAACUAAAAGCUUCAGAAAGCGAUGGGCCAGUAUCUGAAGUUUUCUGCAAGGUAUAGCCAUCUAGUCUAAGCCAAUGAUUCCUUUCUGCCCCUUUUUUGUCUUUUUCUUUUUUCCUUUUCUCCUUUUGAGAACCAUUCGCCACACCCCAAUGGUACCAAAUAGGAUAUUCUUCAUCAUGUAUAGGCAUUUCUAGUCAUGCGGUCAAGACCCAUCAAGUUACUAAUGCUGAUCGGCUGGUUUGACUUCAUACAGAAUUGUAGGAUAUUCAUCAAAUGUAUGUGUAAUGACCCAACUGGCUCACCAGAAUUAGUAGCUCGUUAGACCUAAGCCACUGGCCCAAACUGCUCGAGCCCAAGUUGCUAGUCUGAAUGUGCCACUUCAAUGUAUGGCCCUUGGACGACCACAUUUUUCAAGUGUGGUACAGGGACAGCAUGAAUCAAGCUGAGAUUAGAUGUUCAUUCAUUUACCUAUCACUCUAUGCAUUAUCAUAUCUUUCAAGUAAUUUUGCCUUAGACCUUUGCUACUUUCUAUACUGAAACUCUGUUAUAUAAAUGCAUGUCAUCUAGACAUUGAAGGAUUUUACUGCGGGUGCUGGAGCUCAAGUGCGAUCCCUAACAGCACUUUAUUCUGCAGUUGUAUGCUACUUAACUCUCGAUCAUUCCUUCAAAAGUGGUUACCUAGUUAGUCCUGCUUAUUUAAUUGCUGAUCCUUAUAUGCCUGCUAACACUUUGAAUUUCAACAGGGUAAAAAUGCAGAUGCUCUUGCCUUAUAUUUUGGCGAAGAUCCUGCACGCUGUCCCUUUGAGCAAGGUAAGUCACACUUUUUACUGUAUAAGGGAAAGAAUCCAGAAUAGCAGGAAUUAAAACUGUUUCUAAGUUAUAAAUUUGAUUGGUCAAUCAUGUAUUCUUUUAAAUUUUUUUUUUCUGCAGUUGUAUCGGUCUAUGGAAUUGUAAGGUGUAUAUAUAUAUAUAUAUAUAUAUAUAUAUAUAUGUACGGGUUCAUUGGGUACCCAUAUUACUGGGCGGGCGCCCAAUGGGUUGGGUGGGCAAAUAGUCCAGAUAGCUAUUCAUCACACCUUUUAAAUAUAAGUAAAAAAUCUUUAUGUUCAUCGUAACGAGAUAAUUAUUAAUAAAAUACUAUACAUACUUUCCUUUCUUAUCUGUACUUUCCGUGUUUAUUGCUUUACACUUGUGUGUACGUGCGAGUGCGUAUAUAUUAUAUCCUAAUUAACGUAUAUCCAGGGGCAUAUACCACUUAACGUCUAUAUAAGGAUGUUUAUGAUACUCUUUUAAUCAGUAAUCACCGUAAAUAAAUACGACAAUUUACUAGUUGUUUACGACGAUUUUAAAAAUCGUCGUAUACUGUGGUUUAUGACAUAUACGGUUAUAACGAUUUUCAUAAUUUUCGUAAAUAUUUUUUACACAGUUACACUUUAAUCACAAUAAUCCUUGUACGGCGAUUUUUGCUAAUUUACCAUUAAAAUUCAACAAAUAAUCAUCGUGUAUUUAUAUUACGGCGAUUAUGUUUAUAAACUAAAAUCCUUGACUUUAAAAUUUUAAAAUUAAAAUAAAAUCAAAUUUAAAAAAACUCUCUUUCCAUCGUACGAUGGAUGAAGUAAAUAAAGAAAAUUUUUAUUUGAAUCGGUUUUUAUAUUUAGUUAAUCCUAAGUUUGAAUUCUGGAGCUCAUGGUUGGUGGUUCGGGAAACGGUAAACGCGGCCACUGAUAGUCAAUAUAUGUAAACUUAAAAAAUUUAAAAUUCAGAAGUUAAACUUUUAACAUUUUAAAAUUUAAAAUUUAACAAUUUAAAUCUAUGAUUUAAAUUUAAAAAUUAAAAGUUUAUAGUUUAAAAUUCAAAGUUUUAAAUAUCAAAAUUUAAAUUUUAAAAUUUAAAUUUUAUUUAAUUUUUUAAAUUUUUAAUUUUCAUUUUUUAAAAUCUCAAAGUUUAAAUUUUAUAUUUAAAAUUUUAAAAUUUAAAAUUUAAAAUUUAAUAUUCAAAUUAAAAAUUUUAAUAUUCAAAGCUUAAAAUUUGAAAUUAAAAUUUUAAAAAUUAAGAUUCAAUCUUCCCUAUAUAAUUAUUAAUAUAUAACUAAUCAUUGCUAUAAAUCGUUAUUCACGAUGAUCAAAUAAUAUAAAUCGCCGUAAGUGAUUAAAUACGACGAUUAAAUAAGAUAAAACGUUGUAAUUAUCAUUUAAUGACGAUUUAUAAAUUUAGAUCGCCGUUAAUAGUUCAUUACGACGAUUUAUAUAAUUAAUCGUAUUAAAUUUAUUUACAACGCCUCGUUGUAAAUAAACUAAAAAUUUGUGAAGUUCACCAUAUCUAGUACAAAUUGCCACGGCUAGUAGCUAAACCUCCGAGGUAGUAGUUUUUGUUUAACCACCGUUGCCUCGAGUAAACGAUAGCUAUCAUAAUAUCGAGUUAAUAUAUAUACAUCCCUUUUGAAGUUUUUUUUUGGGUACACCAAAGUGUGAAAAAGUAAAAUCACGGGACACCAAAUUUCAGAUAGUUCAAUCAUGGGACACCAAAGAGUGAAAUAGUGAAAUCAUGGGACACCAAAUUUCACAUAGUUCAAUCAUGGAACACCAAAACGUGAAAUAGUGAAAUCAUGGGACACCAAAGUGUGAAAUAGUGAAAUCAUGGGAUAUCAAAUUUUUUGGUGUACCAUGAUUGAACUAUGUUUUAAUUUUGGUGUACCAUGAUUUCACUAUUUCAUGUUUUGGUAUCCCAUGAUUGAACUAUGUGAAAUUUGGUGUCCCGUGAUUGAACCAUGUAAAAUUUGGUGUCCCAUGAUUUCACUUUUAUUAACUUUGGUAUUCCUCCCAAAAAGAUAUAUAUAUAUAUAUAUCUCUCUCUCUCUCUCUCUCUCUCUCUCUCUCUCUCUCUCUCUCUCUCAACCUGACCCGAUGAUAAUCAUCGUUUUAAGGUAAUAACGAUGGUCAAAAAAUCGGAAACCUAGUUGAGAAAAGUAGUAAGAAUUGGUAACCUAAUUUAUGAUAUUGGGUCACCCCUGGUGAGUUGGGAUCCCACUGGUGAGUUGAGAUUGGCUGAUUAUCGUAAGACUAGGAUAUUAAAAAGUAGGUUCCCAAUUUUCGAACUAUCAUUUUUCUCGCAAAAUGAUAAUUAUCAGGUCGGAUUAUUAAGAUAGGUUCCCAAUUUUCGAACUAUCAUUUUUCUCGCAAAAUGAUAAUUAUCAUAAGGUCGGAUUAAGAUAUAUAUAUAUAUAUAUAUAGUGAUGUUGUCUUAAUCCAAUAUCCCUGUGUACAAACCCUGUGAAAACUCAUUCACAGGGUAAAUGCGAUUUUGAAUUUUUUUAUAGAUGAAUACGGUUUUAUAUUUCGGGUUAGGUUGGUUUUUAUUUUCUAACGAGAUCAGUUGGGUGGUGUGGGUAAGGUAAACUGGGCUAAUGUUUGUCUUUUCUUUUUUUUUUCUUUUUAAUUAAUGGUAGAAAGGUAGAGAGAAAUGAGUUAGGUGACUUUAAGAUCUGCUUAUCGGAAAGGACAACAGGAGGAGGCGGUGGCGUCGGUUGCUCUAUCUUAAAGCCGCCAACGAUUUACGAAUUUAUUCACAACCAUUUAAUCGUCGUGAGAAAAUCCAAUAUCGCUGUGAGAAAUUGACAGUGAUAUAUGGAUCGCUGGGGUGUAUAUCGCUGUGAAAAAUUUUCACAGCGAUUAAAAUCGAUCGUCGUGAAAAAACUGUGUAUGGAUGUAAAUUUUCACAGCGAUAUCUUGCAAAAACAACAUCACACAUAUANUUAGUUUCCAAAUACUUUUAACAGUGUAGAUCAAGUCUAACGGAGCCGAUUGUCGAUUUGGAAGCCGCAUCAUUGAAAACAACUUGGUAGCACGGAGGCCUCCGUGCUACCGAUAGUAUACCAGCCUAGCUCUAUAUAUAUAUAUAUAUAUAUAUAUAUAUAUAUAUUUCCUGCCUUAAUUUGUUCCUCUAUUGCCAAAAUUGUGAAAAAUUGCAGUUAUCGCCACACUUUUGAAUUUUGUGCGCUUGUUCCGCAAAGCACAUGAGGAGAACUGCAAACAAGCUGAACUCGAGAAGAAAAAAGCCCAGAAAGAGGGUGACACCGAGAAGUCCAAAGAUGCAAAUGCCGAGAGAACAAUUGGCAGAUGACCUUUAGCAUGCCAAUCUGGCAAGCGAUUUUAAUCUUUUCCCUCUCAGGGAGCGGAUGAUCUCCAUCCACUCUGAAAGAUGUUGGGAGGUUCUGAUGGCCAUGAAACUCAGACAACUUCCAAUACAAAGAUAGCACCGAGAAUCAUCUUCAAGCUAAUGUAUUAAGGUAAAAAUCUUUGUUUUCGUAUUGCUCUCUUGUAACCAUUCUGCUAUAAACUGGCUAGGAUCCAUUACCUUGCUAUAUGCCAUGCAGGUGCUUUUGGGCCGUGCAGGUGCUUUAGGACCAUGGUUGAUUCAUCCUGGUUCAUAUUUUUGUACAAAGCUAAACAUAUGGCCCCAUUUUACCCUAUUGUUUGUACAGUAUCCUUUUUGUUAUCUUUUCCCCCCAGAAUUGGUUUUCUUUUAUAUGAGAUGAGGAGUAGGUCAACCUGUUGUACAAAUAGAGCUGAAAGAAAUAUAGGUCAAUUUCUUUCUCCUUUUUUUCUUUUUCCCUCUCCAGUAGCUCGUAAGCAAGAAAGAGUUUUUUCCUUUUGUACUGUGAGAUGCAAUUUUGUAAUCAAAGAUAGCUGAAGAAGCUGGGGAUCACUGGACGGUUCAUUUAAAUUAGACCUCAAAAGAAAUGCUUAUACAAAGUAAUUGUAACUGUUGCUCAUACAUAGAUUAGCUGUGGUGUAUUGGUUUAUUAGAUCAGUAAACAGCUAAUGCGUGGCCUGUUUGGAAUAUAUAUAUAUUUCAAGUACUCUAGUAUUUUGGCCGGGCUACCUGUUAUACAUGAUCUCUAAAUCGUGUUUGUGAGGAUCAUGCGAUGAAUGCAAAUCGAGUUUCUAUGCCGUGUAAUCACAAUGAAAAAUCGUGUGCAAGAACUCCCUACAUUAGGGUGAUCUGUCGCCACUAAAGAUGCGUUAAAUCUCAACUGGAUCUCGCCUUUCAUGACAAGUGCUGCAUAUAUGUUUCAAAGAUUACAUCUCUCUGUUUUUUGUUAUUUUUUUCCUCUCGUCUAUUGUGGGUUUGUAUCAGGGGUGAAAGUUCUUUUGACCUCUUUUAUUCUCUUUCUAGUGUGUGCAGGGAAAGAACCAACUAUCGUAGUUGUUGGUAAUGCCAACGACCAGACAUUUCUAUAGAGAAAUACACAAACCUUGUCCCACAUUGAACUAAGUAGAAAAGAGUGGGUGCUUCUUGAACAAUUCCUCUAAUUCAUUGUAUAUAUCCAAUAUCUUAAUCUAUUGUCGAACAGGAAAACUUAGUAUCUCAAACUUUGUAAUAAACAGGACCAUAAUCUUGAUAUAAUCUGUCCUUCCCCACAAAUUUUGCGGAUAACAUAUUAUUUGAAUUCAUGUUUGGCAUGCAAAAUAGAAUACUCCCUUCAGAGUUGCACUGGGUCCUUACAAAGUAGUCGUUAUUAGUCGAAAAUUUGCUGUACAAUAAUUCUGCAACAGAUACUGAAAAUAAUCUUCUUUCAUUCUGUUUAUCUGAACGCUUCUAUGACAAUUAACACGUAAUAUAGAUUAAACUCGAAGAUCACCCUUCUCCUCCGGUUCGAGCUCCCUCCUUUCGCUCCAAUUCAAACAGUAAUCCACCUUACAACUCUUGAAGAAAAUGCAGCUUAUUAUGAUCUCAAGAACGACGAAGAGCGCAUGUAUAUAUGCAAUCGAGCAUCCCUCCCAAAUAACUGAGAGAUUGAAUUUUAUUGAAUGGCGGUGUUGAUUUACAAGUCUGAACUGAAACAGAGCCUCAGCCAUUGCCAUGCCGAGAUUCGCGGGUAAUGCCAGGGCCAAUGCCGUCGCAACCCUUCCUUUUAUCAGCAUACAACCUUUAAGAACCGCCGAGUACGCGCCACAAUCCUCCAUUGCUGAGACUAUAACAGCCAGGUUGCAUAUUACGGUUGCAAUCGCAAUGACUGUUGAAUAAAGAAGCACACCGCCCACCGAAAUGAAUAGGAGGAAGGUGUCUGACGAAAUACCGAUGAUAUCGACGGCAUUGAAGAGAAGGAAAAGAAGCGAGAAGACUGUGGCAUUGCUGGAGAGGAUUAUGAAGGAACUCAAGAGAUGGGUCUUUACGAGCGAACGGUAGAGCGGAAAUAAGUUAGAGAAUGAAGGAGGGGUCAAUUGGCUUCGCGGGUAUUCGCGAAAGAUUGAGAUGAUAGAUGCUUUGGCGAAGAGUAAGAAGGUGAGAGCGAAAGGGAGGGUUGCGAUGAAGGUGAAGCCGGUUUGCGCAAGUUUAAGAUUCAGAAAUGAGAAGAAAGGAGGGAAGCCUGCGGCUUGGAACAUUACCCGAAGGCGCACGGAGAUGGUGUUAAGGAUUGACGGCGAGAAGGGAAUGAGAGAUUCCGAAAAGAGAAUGGAGGCAGAGAAGGGGAAGGCAAGGAGCGCGGCGAUUGAGGUGAAGGAAUGGUAGCUCUUGCAGAAUGCAUUGAUGGAGCUUCUCAAGAUGUUGCUAGCCAUCCCCAUUGUACAAGCAUGUAGGAUUUUCUCUCUGGAAAUGUAGGAGAUUAUAGAGAGAGAGAGAGAGAGAGAGAGAGAGAGAGAGAGAGAGAGAGAGAUCUAUAUAUAUGAGGAAUGGUAUAUGAAUGAAUAGGAGAGUUUCAAGCCUCACUCUUAUCUGUAAUUAAGCUAACUCACACCUUUGCUUUGAGAGGAAGGGGUGGGCCUCAUGAGUCAAGGAGGUUGGUUAAGAGGAGUCUUUUUGAUGUGCUGUUUUAGAUGAAUGAUGGGCCAACAACUGAACUUACUAAGGCAUUGUUCUUGGGGCGCAUAUAUAUACGGAUUCCCAAAUAUUAAAAUGAUAAUCAUCAUAAUAAUAAUUAUUAUUAUGAUUAAUCCUCUAUUUCUUUUCCCUGCAGUGUGUUGCAGAUCUCUUUUUGGAAAGAUCUGCUCAUUUUGUAGAGGUUAAAUAUAUAUAUAUAUAUAUAUAUAUAUAUAUAUAUAUAUAUAUAUAUAUAUGUAUAUUUACCUAUCCUCUGCUGCUCAUCGCACAGCAAAUGUGUGGUCCUUAUCUCUUUAAUUAGUUUAAAUGUCAUGUUGCUGGCCACCUCAAUUAGUCCUAUGGUACAUUUCUUAAUUUAUUGCCGUGUAGCGUAAGAGCAUAGAAUUUAGGCUAACAUUCUAUCAGCCUAUAAGAGGAGCAUGGUGAUAAGAGUUAUGUAAAAGGAUAAGAACUAGAAGCAUCUUCCUCUCCAAGGCCAAAUAAAAUAAUAUUCUCAUAGACGUGUGGUGAUGAAACUUAUGUGGAUCAAGGUUUAAUAUAGCAGCUAUAUACAUCUUCGGUUAAAACCUAGGUUUGGAUCGAUAAGGAUAUGAUCACCUGCGAAGUUAUUUAAUUACUAUUAGCAAGCAAAACUCUUCUUUCUUGUUGAACAACUUAGUAUUUGAUCUGAUCACCUCUUGUAUAUUUUCGAUUUCACCGCCGUAUUCGCAUCGAGCACAAAGAGCAUGAAGAGAACAUGGUUGGCGCAUGAAGCAUUUGCAGCAGUUGGUGAUACCUAACACGCACGAGAGAUGUCGAGAUGUGUCCCCUAAUUAGAAGAAAUAAUAGAUAUUUGAAGUAUUAGGUACAUUGUCUUGGUUUGUUGACCAGUAUUGGCAAACAAUUAAUCCAUAUCAUAAGAUUCUCACUAUAUCAAUCAUAUGUAAUGUAGCAUCAACUUAGCAUUGAUUCUUUGAGAAGUAUUUUAUUAUUACGGCAAUGUAGAAGGUUUACCUAGUUUUAGUUAGUGGAGUGGAAUUGCUUGGUAUCGAGUCUAUUCUAUUGAUAUGUUUGUAGGAAAGAGAACUAUAUAUAUCUAAUUAAAUUAAAACUAAUGAAAUGUAAAUUAAUUAAUCACGGUGCAUUGUAGUUUUCUUUUGUUUCUUUUUUUAAAAGAUAAAUUUUCUGUCCGCGCACUUGUGUGGUAGAAGAAUUAGAAAAGGAGGAGGAGGACACAUUUAUUACAAAUGUUGCUGUGAAAACAAGUUAAAUUAGAUGUGCCACCAAAGGGAAAGGAAAAUAUAAAUGAAAGGGGCCAAAAUGAUGGAAUUCAUUCUAUUUGAUUGGCCACCUAAUUUAACCCAGUUAAUUAAAUACUGUUAAUAUUGGGCACAUGAUAUAUAGUUGUUUAACUUGUUACAAACAUUGUAAAAGGUGAUUUAAUUUGCUAAAUUUGUUACUGCUACCUUAUUUGAUUUAGCAGCAUGGUGAGCUGGUUUACUAUUUUCUUUAUAAGUAAUGCUCUAGGUAUUUCUUAUGCACGCAACUAUAUUUAAUGUACAUAAUGAUUGUUAUAACUCAUUGCGAUGUCCUACCAUAUUUGCUGCUUAUAUACAUAUAAAAAAAAGUCAAUAUAUACUAUCAUACAUUCUAAUAUCUUGUUCAUCCUAUGGUUUCCCCAGUACAACCAAUUUUUUUAACUAAAAAAUCUAAAUAAAUUUUUGUAAAUUUUAGAGUAAGCAAGAUAUAAAAUUUACAUCAAUACACACACACACACACACACACACACACAUAUAUAUAGUAUUUUUUGUAAUAUAUUGCUACUCAGUUGAACCCACUUAUAUUAUCUUAUAGCACGCAUACUACUUUAGUUAGCUGCAAAGCUGGACACACUUACAUCUCCAUCAUAUAUAGUUUCAAGUAUGAAAUAAUAUAAUUAAUAUUUCUUAGCUAAAUAAUAUAUAUCUCCGGCCUUUGAACUAAGAGACCAAGCAAAAAAUUUCUAUAUAUGCGUCCAUGUGGUUAAAUCGACACUCAAAAGUUGACUCAUGGUGUCAUUUUUCGGCAAAUAAAGUACUUAAAAACUGAUAAUACUAAGUAAUGAGAGAGAGAGAGAGAGAGAGAGAGAGAGAGAGAGAGAGAGGACACUGUAAAGUUGACCAAUUAAUUAAUCAUGGGGAUUAUUAACAUAAGACAGAGCUCAAUAUACUGUACAAAUUUUAUGAUGCAGGUACGUGAGGCUGGGUAGGAAGGAAUACAAGGGGCCAAAUGAGAAUUUAUUGCGUGCACCCAAAGCACCAGGCAGUAUGCACCAGCACCACACUCUAUAUCUGAUUAUUAAUAUUUUGCACCACAAAUCUAGUACCAUAGGUAUGAAUAUGAUGUACGAAUCUAAGUACUAAAAUUCAAUUAGAUACAUGUGCUUUGCAUAAAAUGCCAUUAGUUCUUAGAACAUAACUAUUAUCUAAGCACUAAGUCAUGCCAACAAAAAAUAUAAGAAAUAAAUAUUCAUUCUGAUUAUAGAAUUUCAUAAUUGAUUUUUAGAAAUACCGUGCACUGGGAUCAUGAAAAAAAAAAAAAUCUCAGCACAGGAGUAAAACAUUUGGUAGCAGGUCAAUUUGUUAGGUGGGGGGGGGGAAGCAGAUUCUUUUUUUUAUUUAUUUAUUUUUCUUUCUUUUGAAAACUAGGGAGAAAAGCAGCAUCAAAUUCUUGAAUAUGGUAGUUUAUGCUUUUUCUUUACUCUGCUUUCCAACAAAUUAAAAUUAAACUUUUUGGUUAAUUAAGUUAUGUUGUAUGAAACAAAGUCAAGCACUUUGCUUGACCUAACUUGCUACUACAGUAAUAGAAUUGCAGCAAUAAAAAUAAUUUAUUUGUUCGUGUAUAAAAGCACAGGACAUACGUACAUAAGAAUAAAGAGAACCGAUAAGGAAAUUGAUAUUGUGAGUAUAUUUCUUUUAUUAUUUAUGAGCCAAAAAACAUAAAUUCUGAUUAAGCGUAAUGUACGUGCUCUGUAAAUAUUAGAUAACAUUGGCAAAAUCAAUUUUGCUUCAUAAGGAGGAAAAUUCCAAAGAAAUUUUCAGAUCUACAACUAAUUGAACUGUAUACAAACGUCCAAUGCUCGCUUGCAUCAAAUCGACUGCAAAUUAAUUAAGCAGUGAUCUUAAAUGGCCCAUGCUCACGAUGGUGCAACCACUAUUCAUUUGUGUUGGCCCCGCCAAUAUAUACAUAUGCGCGCACACGUGUAUAUAUAUAUAUAUAGUAUCAUUCAUGUAAGCUACCUCUAUAUUAAUUUCUUUGUGGAGGAAGCGAUGUCGAAGAUAUAUAUUCAUUAUGAUCUGAUUUUUCAUUACAUUAUCUAGCUAAUCCCACAGAAGUUAAAGCAAUUUUCGGUAAAAAUGUUGGUAAAAAUGUAUUGAUACUGCCUCUCCAACACCUCCUUCGUUUUAUUUACUUUUAGUUGACAUAUAAAAUUGAUAGAAUUACUUUUGGUCACUUUUCAUCGUAUAUAAUCAAAACCGAUCAAUAAGCAAUAGCUAAUGGAGUAACUAAAUUUAACAAAAUUAUAUUUACUUACCUUUCUGUAAUACUGCAAAAAAAAAAAAAAAAAAAAAAAUCAAAAUCAAGAACAUAUCAGUUAGAUUGAACUUGAGAGGCCCACUCCAAGAUGGCCUAUUGUUGAGAGGAUCUCAUACGAUUUUACCACAAGUUUACCGAACGUCUCUAAUACAAAUGGAAAAAAGCUUGGUGGUUGGUAUCCGAAUUCUCAAUUCAAAUUUUAGUUGAUUCAUAUUUUCAGCUAAGUUUAUUUCUAAAAGAAAUAAACAAAGCAGGUAGCAUGCUACCUUUCUCUCUCAAAAAAAAAAAAAAAAAUUACCGCAAGUUUGUAGUACUUGACCUAGCCAUACGGGCUGUUUGAAAGUAAAAAAUAAGAAUACGAUAAGUUUAUGAGUUUUGCAAACCAAGAAGUCGCGAUCUCUAUACAAUUAUAAGUAAGAGUUAGUUGAAUCUCGCAAACUUUUUCAAAGACACAAGUUCAACUUUGAAGAUCCACAGAAACAAACAAGCCCAUAAUAGAGCUCGGCCUGGGCCUGACUUAUGUAUGGUCUAGAUCUAGCCUGGUCCUAUGGACGCCCAAGCCCGUAGAUAUAUAGUCGCGAGCUGGCCUUUGUAGCAUAUCAUGUGAGCACGAAAGGAUAAAGACAAAAAAUGGAAAUUUAAUGUUUAAUCCAAAUCCAAAUUAUUAUAAUGUGAAUUUUUCACGCCUAAAAAACUGCACCAAAAAAACAAAAAAAGAAAAAAACGAGCCCCGCUCUAAAGUUUUUUCAUGUAUGACGCGUGUCUUAUAGGUUGCGCUUGUGUGGGUACACGUGGUCUAAUCGCACAACGAAAACUACAUGUCUUUUGUGAUUUACAAGGUAAAUCAUGAUUUAUAGAAUUUUUUGUGCUAGUGUCCAAAUAGGGGCUUGCGGGUACACGUGGUCUACUCGAGAAAAUACUUUGAAAUUUGCAUUGUACAAAAAUUAUAGUUAUAGAAUUUUUGUACAAUGCACAUUUUGAAGUAUUCUCGAAUGAAGCAAGUAUCAACCACUUUGGCAAAGAGAUCUAAUUAGAAGGCAAAUUGAAGUUUUGCUUCUAAUUAUAUAAAGAAUUAUGAAAGCAUAUGUUAUAAUAUUUUUUUUUUUUGAGAGAUAGAUAGCACGCUAUUCAUUUCGUUUUUUUCAUCUAAAAAUAAAUUUAGCUGAAAAUGUGAAUCAACUAGGAUUUGAAAUAAGACAAUGUUACAAAGUUAGUAUUUGUGAGAAGCAUGUUAAUAGUUUCUGAUUAUAUUUCUUUAUUCCUUUCAAGGGAAAAAAAAAAAAAACUGCAUAGUUUGACUAAUUUAUGAAACUAAACAGCAUGUUAGUUUGGAAGUUGGAAUCCGUAAAAUUAAAGUUUGAUUUUUUUUUACAAAGUACGAAUCAUACAUUUAAGCCUAGAAUUUAUCAUUACUUUGUUAAUUUUGGUUUUGGGAAAUAGUUUAUCUUUGGAAGGGACUUUUCUGCACAAAGUGCUGUCAACGACUCGCUAAAACCACACACUAUUAUAUCCGAUCCACGAUUUUGGCAACUAAAGCGCUCUCGAAGAAUUGAACAAAGACACAGAAGGCGUAUACUCGUAAAAACCAAGGGUGAAGUUAUCAUACGCUAACCCACUCACCCAAGCGAUCCUCUCCCCCCGCCCCUUUCCUACGCCGUCUUCUACUGCCCCUAUUUCUGUGUCCGUUUCUUCAAUCUUCCCCCCACCCCCACAACAAUCCGAAAAGCGCUUCUCAACCCUACCAUACAACACCACCGCCACCACCACUUCCACCAAAAGCGCUUCCACCGUCCACCCGCAAAAGCGCUUUCUCGUCGAUGGAGCCGUCGCCGACUACUUCGUGGGCGGAGAUGCUCGGCGCCGUAAUCCACUCGUCGAAGCGCGUCGUCGCGGCGCACUCGCGCCACUUCCUCGCCCUCUCCGUCCUCUUCCUCCUCCCCCUCUCCCUCCUCCUCGUCGCCUUCGUCCCCAUCCCCACCCUCUUCUCCUCCUCCUCCUCCUCCCCCCCUUACCCUCCCCAAUCCCUCCUCUGCUCCUCCCGCUACUCCUCCUCCGCCGCCGCCGCCGCCGCCGCCGCCGUGGUGGCGCUACUCCUCCUCGCCGCCGCCGCCGCCGCCGUCGCCCACAGCGUCCACCGCGGCUUCUUCGGCCGCCCCGUGAAGCUCCUCCCCGCGCUCCGCUCCCUCCCCGGCCCCCUCGCCCGCCUCCUCCUCACCCUGCUCGCCGCGCUCCUCCCCGUCGCCCUAACCCUAACUCUAAUCGGCUCCCUCCUCGUCCUCUCCCUCCGCCUCGCUCCCCACACGCACCUCGCCCUCCUCCUCAUCCACUCCCUUUUCGCCUCCGCCUGUGCCCUUAUCCUCGCCUACCUCCUCGUCAACUGGUCGCUCGCUGCGACGAAGCGGAGAUCUCAUCGCCGGGAUGCGGUGGGCGGCGCUCUGCCUCCUACUCUUCUUCUCCGCCGGGAUCGGGCUCAUGCUGUGGGGAUUCAACCUCGGCCGCACGUUAGGAGAAUACGGCGAUUGGACCAAAUUGUUGCCGAUUAUCGCGAGAACGGUGUUUGGCUCCGGGAUCAUCACGGUGCUUCUGUUGUAUUGGUUGGUGACAGCUGUGGUGCUCUACAUGCAUUGCAAAGCCCUCCACGGUGAGCUCGCAGGGGAGAUUGCGGAGGAGUUCGCUUCGGAGUACAUCUUUCUCCCCUUUGAUGAUCGCAAGGUGCCACAUGUUGUUUCCGUGGUUCAUCCAUGAGGAAUUGUGGUUUGGCCAGGUUUCGCUCUCUGUUCUCUAUUGGGUGUGAAAUCAUGUUGUUUGCAGAAAUGCCAACCUGGGAUUGACUUAUUACAUGCCAAAGCUUGUGAAUUUUUGAUACCUGCAUUGUAUAAAUCCAUGCAUCUAAAAAUGUUACAGGACAAACUUCGUACUACUUUUUGUUUGUGCAACUUAGCUGUACACACUAUCAAUUUCGAAGAAGAAUGGAUCGUAAAUUCUCCUUUUGUAUGCCAUUAAAGUCUUUGAAUUUGGAGCGUAUGUGUGAGCAUGUUCUAUGCUACCAGUUGGAAUACAUUGCAGACUAUGAAUUAAGCUUACGAAGCUAAAUGCAGUUAUUGUGCUUAUUGUUCUUUACAUUAGUGUUUUUUAUGAGCCAUUUUGUACUUGGUUUGAUUCUUUUUGGGUAAUAAGGUAGUUGACUAGGAGCUGCAGUGCCAGGAACAUUUGUCGCCAUGGGCCGUGGUGAUACAUAUGAUUCAAGAUUGAUAUAGUUGAAUUAUUUUGUCUGCAAGAGGAUUGGAGAUGAAGUCUGAAAUGAUCUUUUUUAGGAUAGAGAUUAGUGUGAAUUGUUUUGUUUAGUUGAGAAAUAAUGAUCAAUGUUAGCAACUGCAAAAAGAAGCAAGUGGUGUUCCUGAAGUGGUGUUCCCGAUUGGAAUCAGCAGAUGAUUAAGCUGUGUGUUUAUCCAUCUUCACCAGUUAUUUUUCUGUGGAUUAACUUGGAACCAGCAUUACCAUAAGGUUCACACAUCAAAAGCAAACUGCUGGUCGAGCCUUUAGCUCGAGUUUCCACUAAAUAGUUCGCACAUGUUGCAUUGAUCUAGCCAUUGCCUGUAAAUAGUUUCCCAUAUCACAAGAAACAUGUUUACCUUAUUCUAACGAAAUUUAAUUGAAAGUAAUUGACAUGGGAAGAUAAUAUUCUGAUAUCUGCAUAUGCUAGUAUAUGGCUAAAUUAUAAUUUGUCUAUAUCUUUAACAUUUGUAUACAAUAGCUAUGCUGAGUUUGUCCACAAACCAAAUGAAACUGGAUCUUCAAUUGUUGGCUGUUGUAAAUUUUUUUGAGAAAGGACUGCUGUAAAUUCUACAUCGUGGAGAUCUUGUAGUUUGGAUUCCACCUUUAAUAUCCUGAAGAUUCUUUAAUAUCCUGAAGAUUCUUGUGAUGUUUUCUUCAUCUGCUUUUUAUCUGAGCAUUAUUUUGAGCUAACUCCUAUGUAAGCAGGUCACUUAUGAUUUACAGUGUUAUUGUGAAGAGAUCAAAAGAGGUAAGUAAGUUUCUCAUUUUCAGGAUGCGCUUAGUAUUUGGUACCAUAUGUACGGUGCUACUGGAUCUAUACUCGUUAUUUCUCAUCUUCUUUCCUCAUCUACUUCAUUGCUCAAGCUUUUACUAAUCAUGCAACGGUUACUUAGAACAAACAGUUGAUACUGCAUUUUGGUGGAGCAUUAUGUUUUGCUUUUAGAUUUCUUUUUUUUAUUUGUGUGUGGAAUAUUGCUUUACUAAUUAAACUUUCUCCUUGAAUCAUUGAUUUGAUGAUUUGUCUUAGCGUUGGGAUGUGCAUCAGAUUCUGUGUUCAUAUUAGCCGAUUAUGUUUGCGCUGGAUGCUGAUGCAUUUUAUUACUGUAACAAGCCAUCCAAUAUUAAUUGGUCUGCUGCUUAAAGGACAAAAUAUUCGAAAGAAAAAUGUUCAAAUUUGCACUAUCUCAUUCAAGAGUUUGUGUGGUUCUCCUAUAUAUGGUGUGGUGUAGUGUGAUAAAAUUUUAAACAGUACUGUUGUGUACAUAUUUGCCGAUUUUGUUUGUGCUGGAUGCUGAUGCAUUUUAUUACUUGUAACAAGCCAUCCAAUAGUAAUUGGUUUGCUGCUUUAAGGACAAAGUAUGCUGAAGAAAAAUGUUUGAAUCUGCACUGCUCAUUCAAGUGUUCAUUUGGUGCUGUUGUAAGGUAUAAUGUUGUUUGAUAAAAUUUUCUGCGAGCAGUACUUCAAUAUAUUUUUAACUGCUUUUUUCUGCAGCAAAAGCAGUUCCCGGUAUUUCAUAUUUGCUUCUCGCCGUACUAUUAGUUUCAGAAUGGCUGCUAUUGCUUAAAGCAGGAGGAGACCAGGGCCAAACAGGCCUUAAACCAGGCUGAAUCCUUUUCAUUCAGGUUGGGUUGAUGGGGUACUUCGUAGUUACUGAUCUACUUUGUCGCAGAACGUUAGUAUAAUUUGUUGGGCAUUUAAUACGCCAAGGCCCAAAUUUUUAUAUGCAGCUCGGGCUCAAACUGAGCCCUUUGAUAUAUACUUUUCCCUCUCUCUGGGCUCAAAGUAAGCCCCUUGCUCUUUCUAUAUGUAAACUGAGUCCAUUAAUAUAUGCAGCUCCUUUUUUCUGGGCCCAAAUUGAGCUCACUACAGAUGCUUUUUCGUUACUGUCCACUGUUCAGUUGUGCCUUCAUCAACUUCCUUCGUCAAAGGUCAUGCUUGUUGAAGUAAGCUUAUAUUUUAAAAAUUAUUGUCCAUUUACUGAGAAGAUAAAAUAAAUAUAAAUAAAAAAAGGCUGAAAGGUGAUGACAAGUAGAGGACAUUGUUUGUUCGCCUAACCAACUCAAAAGCAAAAUAUUUAAAACCUUAACUGCUUCGAUUUGCAUAACUCACUCAUCAUCUAACUGCUCUCAUUUCCGGGUAUUUUCUAGUUUUAUGUGAUUUUACAUCUUUCAAAUGCAUGCAACUAUCAAAAAAAAAAAAAGAAAAGAAAUGCAGCCACAGAAUAAUUCAUAGCUAAAUAAUUUUUUUAAGUAACAAAAUGAUAACAUCAUUAUCAGCUCCCCUCCAGCUAAAUUAGAUUAUAAAUCUACCUAAUAUUUGUAAAUUCAUUAAUAAGAUAAUUAGUAAUUAAGCAGUAUUAUCUCAUGCUCUGCAGUAAACUUUUUUUUUUAAAAAAAAGUGAUAGAAAAAUGAGAAUAAAAUCAGGCUACGAAGCAUAUCGGAGGAAGAUCGAGAGAGCUCCACAGCGUCAAAUCGCCAUCGCCGUUCGAAUCCGAAGCAGCAUGCGGAGGAGGAGGAGAAGAAGAAGUCGAACCAGGGGUCAUCAAUGGCGACGAUGAAGAGGAGGAAAAGGAGGAAGAAGACGAGGACGAUCCAACCUCAUUGGACACCUGUGAGUUCCCUCCCUCCACCUUCGCCUCCUCUUCAUGUGCUCUUCUUCUACACGCAUUCCUAAGGCUAGAGAGGUGGUCACCCUCCACCCCGAUCCCACCGCCAUUAACCCUCAUCCUCAAGCACUCCGAGAUCCCGCUGAGCGCGUACAGCGACGCCGAGAUCUUCCUCUCGUACUUCAUCCUCUUCAUCACCGCCCCUAUCGCCGACGCCUCUUCCCCCUCCUCCCCAUCCUCUUCGAUCACCCCAUCGAGCUCCGCCACCAUCUCAAACGGUGAGUAGUCGUAGCUCGUCAAUGGCGCCUCCUCCAUCAGCUCGAAAUCCAUGAUCCCCUCCUCCCCCUCCUCCUCCUCCCACCCUCCAAUUCCCCCCUGUUUGUGCCCAAAUUCCGACCCCGGACCCUCUCCCCCUCCAUUUCUAGGGCAAUUAGGUUCCGCGGCAUCAUAAAUAUCACAUAGACGACGAUCAUCGUGAUCGGUUUCACAAUCAAGAGUGAGAUCGAUCGCACAGUUAGCGGGAUCGUUUAAGAACUCAUCGAUCCGGAAGUCGUCGUCGUCAUCGUCGUCUUCUCCGCCGUGACAUCGCCCCUCGAUCUCGUCCUCCCGCACGGUUAUUUCCUGCGGGCGGCUCUGCUUGUUAUGCGCCGUCGCUUCCUUUCGGGCCUUGAGCCGCAGCUUGAGGAGGUUGGCGAUCUUGGCCGGGAGCGCGGGGGGCUGCUGCGGGCGCCCGCACGGCCAGAAGUUGGUGCGGGUGUUGGCCCCGCGGAGGAGGCACGCCGCCUCGUCGUAGGCGCGCGCCGCCGCCUCCGCCGUGUCGAACGUCCCGAGCCAAACUCGGAUCUUCUGCACCGUGUCCUUGAUCUCCGCCACCCACCUCCCCGACGGCCUCUGACGCACCCCCACGUACCGUUUGCGUCCCCCCGGCGCCCGCGCCUCACCCCCUUCCCAAACCCCUGUGGCAGUGGCGCCGCAGCGGUUCGCUGCCUUAUUGAAGCUCUCGGGCUCCUGCUCGUCAUCAGAGCACUUCCUUUUCCUAGCCAUGCCGAAUUUAGUUUGCUUAUUAGAACAUACGUUUGUGGUAGUAGUAACUACUAUACUUGGGAAUUAGACAGAGGGGUUUGAGUGCUUAUUUAUAAGGACUUGGAACAAUUAACGUACGUAGAGACAAAAAUAAGAGGGGGAGAAAUAGUUUAUUUGCUUGGGCCUUCUCCGUUGUUUCUUUUAGUUUUCGCUCUCGUACAUACGUAGUCUUGUAGCACAACAUGUGGAGGCCUGUAGCUCUCUCCAUCGCCACAGUAGAUCACUGGAGAGAAAGAGACUCGUUCUUUAAUUUUUUAAUAAUGAUUUUGCAUGGGCCCUUACGUAUCUUGUAGAGUUUAGUUUGACGAGGUCAGGAAAAGCCAAAAGUUGUCUUUUUGGCCGUUUGUUGAUGUCCUCAGUUGGUUAAUGGAGAGUUUUAUAGUUGAUUUUGUGGAUUAUGUGGAAAGUGUGGGCUUGAAUUGGUCCUGGUUUAAGACAACUUGGGGAUUUUUUUAAUCUACGAUGACAAUUUCACGCUUGGUUUCUCACGUCCAAUAUCUUGUCGUAAUUUACUGAAUCAAUAUGCGUAGUUUCAUCUUCACACUAUAUGUACGAGUCUGAUUUUACCGUUUGUCCUGAAUGAGGCCUAAAUAAAUUAAUUAAUCGAAACAAUAGCUCAACUACUAAUUUGGUUUUGGGGAAAUUGAAUUUAUUAGAUAGCUCAACAGCUACCAAUGAACCGAAUCCAACCAUUCGUGUUCAAAUCCUGACCCGCAGUUUUGUGUUAGGAUCGAAUUAAUUAAGGUUGUUGGGGUUUGAUCGGAUUGGGUUGCAUGUAGCAUUGCCAUGCAUAUGUUUUAAUGAAAUUUAGUUUAGAUCAAUUAACAACCCUAAUUAGAUUACUUUGGAAAUAGUUAGGAGUAAAAUGAUAGAGCAUUCGAUUCAGAAACUCAUGCUUUUGAAUGAGACAAUAAUAUACCUAUUUAUUGUUGCUUUAAUAAGUUUAUAUUUUUUCCAAACACAAGACAUCCUAGCACAACGUAUGCAUGUAUGCGUACGUGCAUAUAUGUAUGUAUUAGAAGCUUUCUUUCGCUGUAGCUAGCUAGAGAAAUUAUUUGAUGGGGACAAGAGCAGUGACAAAUUAACCAGCCUCGAGAUGUUAGUCCUUGAUCAAAUCAAUCUAAGCGAGAAGGACAAACUUUUAUCACUUUGUUGUUGUCAUGCACGGUAGAUAAUUCACGGCAACGGUAUCUCCGAGGCUAUGUCGUCGAUCAAAUUAAUCAAGUUAACACCGCUACGGGCGAAAUUUGGAGAUCAAAGAAAGUGUUUUUUUUUUUUUAACUAUUUAAUGGCACAUAGACUAUUAGAUGUUCGAUCGGGUUACGUAUUUAAUGAUUAAAUUAUGGACAAUCAGGAUCAAUCUGAGCGAACCACCUUGACUCCAAUUAGAAUUAGGUCGGAAAAAUGACCCUAAAACACGCAUAAAAUUGACCCUGGGAUUCAUUAAUUUGUUUCAAGAGGCGUCACAAAGGUCGACAUGAGACUUUGCCGUACACGAAGAUUUGGAAGUACCAGAAGGAGUUUGACUUAGUAAUCCAGGUUAAUUCUCCGAAUGAAGAGUUGGAUCCGGUCUAUAUAUAGUUGUGCUCACGUAUGAUUAAGAUCGAUUGAGGCUCACAAUUUAAACAAUAAUGGGUAAACCGUGUACAUUCUACUACUGGAACUCUCUUUUAUAGAGUAGUAGGACUCGGUUAAAUUGUAUCAACUUGGCUAGCUCACCAACUAAAAUUAAGCUAGUCGUAGCUCCUCAUAUCAGAGCUUUCCCGGUGACAAAGCACACAGUACUCUUUCGCUCCAAAUGAAAUUCGAAUCAGUACUGUAUAUAUAUAUAUAUAUAUAUAUAUAGGAGUACUUUUCGCCAACUAAUUAAUUAAACUUCGCCAGUAUGGGGUCGUUAUUUUGCUUACAAUUAAAAUUCACGUCUCUGGUAGCAAUAAAUCCAUAUGUCGUUAUCUGGAAUAGUAGAAUUGCUAAAGAAAUAGAACUCAAAUUUCAACAUAGAUGUUUAAGAAAUAUGGGAGAGGAAAGCAACAGCAAUUACAUGCAGCUACAUUAUUUUUUAACUGCUGAGAAGGGAGACAACGUAGACAAGUGGCUGCAGUGGCAUGUACGUUAUAUAACUGCUGACGCGUGUAGAGUGCUUAUUAUAUGAGCAAUGAACUGGUUCUCUUAAUGGUACUCCACUUGUCAAAAUUUUAAGAAAGUGCAUAAUGAAGGAAACUCAUGCAUGCAUCAUUAAUUCUCUUAAUUUCUCAAGUCUCAAUCAUACUAUGCCAAAAAAAAAGUUUUAAUUUUUAUAAUUCCUCAUCGAAUAAUAUCUAAAGUCUAAUUCAUCUUUUUUUAAAAAAAAAUGAUAAGGUUUUUUUAGUACAAUUGGCCUUAAAAUGGCUAAAAUGCAGGAUUACAGUUUAAAAUGAAUUGUAGACCUAGUAUUGCCCAAAACGUAAUCCCUUAUCUAACCUCUCUCUUCUUAAGCGGAUUCAUUGCAUGGCAAAAAAUUGAUUCAAAAUACAAAAAGGAAAAAAAAGAAGAAGAAAAUACUAGUGUUAGUUUUGUAUUGUAAUAUAAAUGAGUAUCACAGUCUAUACAUAAUAUAAAUUUUGUUUCAUUAAUCUACGAUGAACUUAAGCUUUAGAGUUGAUGGAUCCGAAGGUUAAUUCCAUACUAUUAUUGUGUUUCAUAGAUUUAUUUAUUUUACCAAAUUAUGGUUGAAUUUAUCAUAAAUUCACUAAAUCUUUCAAGUCUCUUACUUAUCUACGAUCGAAAACAAUCGAACUCCCUAACUUGGAUUUUCGGAGUCUUCUUGUUCCUAGCCCAAUGCAGGUGAAGUUGGGCCCUUGUACGAUCCAAUUAAAAUUUUACAGGAAUAUUAUAAGCCCAAAGUAUUAUUUAUUUCAAACUAUACGGCCCGAACAGCAAGGCGAAAGCCCAUUAUAGUUUAAUAACUACAAUACGCAAGUGACUCGACACUUUGACUUCGUUCUAUUGUUUAAGCAAAUUGUUAGACUAAUGCUAAAAAAAAUGAAUCAGACUCUCGUUGUCUAGCGUCAGUUAAUAUUCACAAGUGACUCAACAAUUUGGCGUUACUCAUUUUAUUUUCAACUAUAUAUUUUUGGCAUUGCUCAUUGUAAUUAAAGCGCUAGAUAUGCCAAAGAUAGAAGCAACAUAGCUGAUAUUUGACUCUUCAACUUCUAUGUUUUUCAUAUAAUAAUUAAUUUAAGCACGGCAAAUAUUGGAAAUAGAACGAAGCGAACCUUAUAUAUUUUUUUCCUUGUAUGUAAUGGCAGUUAAUUUUUAUAAGUUUUUGAAGGAUAAAUUUUUGGUCAUUCAAAUCAAUACAUGAGAAUGCCAGUAUAACACUAAGGGUCCGUUUGGUUCGAGUUAUGUAAUAUUACAAAGUAUCUCGACAUAUCCAGGUAUCUUAGAUUUCGGCGUGAAAUUACUACUGAUGCUGCAUUAGCGCAUUUGGUUUAAUGCAGUAAUGUAAUACUAGAUUACAGUAUUUAUAGCAUUAAUACGUUUGGUUCAGUUUAUAAAAUUUAGUAAUCCUGACAUAAAAGUAUAGUUUUUUCUAAAAUUGCCCUUGUUGUGGUCAUUUGAAUAUUAUUUUUUUGCGGAAAUGACGAAUGGAGGGAAGGAGAUCGUGAUGAUUAUCUGGGAGGACGACGCAAUUGAAGAUGAUAGAUGUUCGUGCGAGAGAGAGAAAGAGAGAGAGAGACGUCGAGAGAGAGAGAGAGCGAGAGAAAGCGGCGUGCGAAAGAGAGGGGCAAGGCGAGAGAGAUGAAAAUAAUGCUGUUAAUUAGAUUUGGGAUUGUUGGAGGGUAAAAUUGUCAUUUUACAUAAUAUGUAGUAUUAACGGGUUUCAGUAAUACAAGAUACACGACCCCCCUCCCGUUAAUAUUUUCGAUGUAAUCCUGCUCGAUUGGUCCUGGCAGGAUUGCUUGUAAUCCUGUCAGGAUAACUCGAACCAAACGCACCCUAAGACCAUUCAUGGUUAAUCCAAAGUAUUUCUAAAUAAAGGAAAAAAAAAGCCCCGGCACGAUAAGAAUGUUGCCCUUUCAAUUGAUAGAUUGACAAAUAAAUAGACUAUUAUUGUUUAUAAUAUAUGCAUGAAUAAAUUAAAAAUGUUUGUGUGCAUAUAUUAAGAGCAAUAUUUAUCUUUCCCGUAACAUAUAUAUAACAGCAUUUUAAUAAACAAAUUAAACAAAUGGCUAAAAUUGCGAAAAAAAAAAACCUUACAAAUAUUCACUUAUGUAUUUUACCUUCUUGUAUUUUAUUUUUUUUAAAUAAAUCUAAAAUUGUUACAUUUAAUUAAUCCAUUAUUAUUACUCAUUUUUCACUAUUCUGUGCAUAAGUUAUGUAACACGGUUUAUGGAAUAAGUUACUAAAUACCAUUAUAUUCUUAAAAAAAAUAAAAAUUCUUAUUUUUUGUCUGAAAUAAUUAGAUAACUUUACAAAAUAUAUCCCCUCCUAUUUAGUAAUUAUUAUUUUUCGUCAUUUAUUAAAAUAAAUAGAUAUGCCAGUAUUCUUCCACUUGCACUAUAUAUAUAUAGGGAACAUUAAUGAAAUGAUAAACGAUGCAGGAUUAAUUAAAACUAUAAUUUUAGGAUUUAAAAAAGCACAAAAGAUCUUUUAAAAAAUGAAUAUUUUUAAUAAGGUUCUUCUACGCGAAUAUUUAUAGAGAUGGGACACUGCGACACGGCUUCUCCUUUUGUAGGAUUGGGAUGGCGGUUUUGACUGGGCGACGACACCAAAUCCGACGCAGCACACCAGCACACCAAAGCAUCCAAAGCCAAACCCCUUCUCCCCUGCCCCCGAAAUAAGGGCUUGGACACGCACAACCCAACAAACAAAUCACAAAAGCUAAUUUACGCCACGCUCCUCACGCCACUAUUUCCAGGCUAGUUUAUUUUUUAAUUUUUUUUUUUAAUUUGAAGCUUCAUCCUAAAAUUAAUUAAAAAAAAUAAUCUUUAAUAAAAAUAAAAAAAAUUUGAUGGGAUAAGUAAAAUAUUAAUAAUUUUAGAAUGAAAUGGAUGUAAGAUAUAUAUAUAUAUAUAUUUUAUUGCGGGGUGUAUCAGUAGAAUUAUUCGUAUAUUCACCUGGCUUGUAAGAUUAAUUUUAACUUUAAAAAAAUGUUGGCAAAGUUGUAAUCAAGUUGUUUCUUCACCUAAUUGAACCCCUAAUAAUAUUAUUUUAACUUAAAAAAAGAACCUUGAUUUGAGGGACUAGAGUACAAAAACUUAAGUUUAGUGAAAUCAGAAAACAGGAAACUCCCUCUCCCGGUCAUGGGGCCCCAUUAAUGCGAGCAAGGCCCAUCUCCACCGUCCAUUUUAGUGGCCCAUCCGUGGCGCAGAGAUGCCAAAACAAAGCCGAAAGAUUCUCCGCAAAACAACGAAGAUGAGAAGACUCAUGAUUUAGAGCAAAAUAAAAUAAAAUAGGAAUUCAACAUGCCUUUACUCUUUUGCUCUCCAACUGAAUGAAGUGGGUCUCUUUAGUUCAUCACUUGCGCACACAGGUGUGAAUAAGAGAGAGAAGGUGAGUUUGUUUUUGACCUCUCCUUUGAGCUCUUCCUCCUCCACCCUCUUUCUCUCUCUCUCUUUCUCUUUCUUUAAUUUCUAUUAUUAUUAUUAUUUUUUUUUUUUUUUUCUUCAUAUUAUAUUUGGACAUGGAUGAGGAGGAGGAGGAGGAGGAGGAGGAGGAGGGGGAGGGGGAAGGGGAGGAGGAAAUGGAAGAAGGGAGCUUCUUGGAGAUGCUGGGGUCGGGGGAGGACGAAGGGGGGCAUCUCUUAUGCUUACCCGGUGCGCUCUCCUCACCACCACCACCACCACCACCACCACCACCCUCUUCUUCUUACUCCUCCCGCAUGCUGUACUUUGGGGGACAUGUCGAUCCAGGGGAAGCUUUAAUUCCUUUCCACGCGCUACUUCAGCAAAAGUCCACCGACUCCUCCUCCAUCUCUUCUCUCUCCUCUUCUCCUCCCCCUACUUCCACCACCACCGCCACCACCACCACCUCCUCCUCUAAGCCUUCAAAGGUAAUUAACUUAAUUCAUACAUACAUACGUACAUACAAACAUACAUAUAUCCUGACCUUCAUUAGUUGCUUAAUUGCAUGCUCUCUAUAUAUACUUGUGUUUAAUUUGCCAUUUUGUCGGGGUUUUGCAGAAAAAAGUGGAUGGUAGUGGAGGAAGGAGAACAUCAGCUACAUACAAUACACCCAAUAGUGUUAUUACAAGUAAGAAGCCCAAGACAGAGGCAUCUGGGGGCCAUGGAACAUUAAUAAAGGUGUGUUUUAUAUUAUAUUCUCGAUAAAGUAUCACCUUAAUAAUUUGGUGAUAAUGCUUGGUCGUUAAUUAAUGGGUGUUUUGUGCUUCAUAUAGUGGUUAAUUAAUGCAAUCCUCGUCUCUCUUUUUUUUUUGUUUUUUGUUUUUUUGUUUUUGAAUUUGGGAGAGGGGAGAGCAGGUGAGGAAGGAGAAGUUGGGAGAGAGAAUUAUGGCAUUGCAACAACUAGUCUCUCCUUUUGGAAAGGUGAAUUGCCCUCGUCACCAUCUCUCUAAUUAUUAAUCAUUUUUACUUAUAUAAAUUAUUUUUAAUAAAAUAGUUUUUACUAUGUAUUGCAUUUAACUCUGUUUCUCUGUCGUUUUCAUGGGUAGUUUAUUUUUACGAGUAUUGCUUAUAGUGCUUUGGAUGUGAUUUACGAAAGCUUAAUGCAACCACCAAGUUAUAUAGUUUGUAGUAGUAACUGGUAUUGAUAGUAACAUCUAGAGAGAGAGAGAGGGGGGGUAAAAGAAGCGAGUAGAAGGUGUUGUUUGGGUUCGAAACAAACUUGUCGCAUUGGUUUGACUUUGACUGAGCGAUUUAAUGCAUGCGAAACUAUAUAUAAUUUAAUAAUAUAAUAUAAUAAUAAGAUAAUUUUAAUAUAGAUAGAUAUAUAUGUUUGCAGUCGGAUACGGCCUCUGUUCUGCACGAAGCUCUGGGCUACAUCCGAUUCCUGCACGACCAGGUUCAGGUACCUACACAUUCAUUUAUCGUUCUCUCUCUCUCUCUCUCUCACUCUCUCUCUCUCUCUAUUUAUUUAUUUUUUUCAUUUUCAUGUUAUUAGUACUGGAGUUACCGCACAUUGUGGCAAAUUAAUACUAUAAAAAAAAAAAUUAAUAAAAUAAUAAAUUUAAAAUUUUUUUGAGUUGCAAUGAGACAUCAAUAAGUACAAAUAGUAUGAAAAAAAAAUAUAAAGAGAUUUUAUGCUACUCGUUUUUUUCUUACAAAAGCUAUUUAUUCAGAUGAUAAUAAAUCAUGUGAAUAAAUUAAUUAGAAAGUAAAUGAGUGACCAGACGAAACAUCCAAAUGGAGAUGGGAGGUGGAAAAGUGAAGCUCCAAGUUGUGGAAAGGGGGGAGAAGGUAAGGGUGAAGAAGGAAUUACCAUGUGACAAACUUAUGAGAAAUAAUAAUAAUAAUAAUAAUAAUAAGGAUAGAUUUUUUUUUUUCUUUGUAGGCUUUGUUCUCACGUGCUUUUAUCUUCUCUUUUUGAUUUGGUCUGUGAUUAAUAUCAGGUCUUGAGCUCUCCGUAUCUGCAACGCCUGCCAUCCUCUGCCUAUCAGCACGUAUAUUUAUUCUCUCUCUUUAUUUAAUUAUUAAAUAUAAAAUAUUUUAUUACAUUGAUUUGAAUUUUUGUAAAAAAAAAAGAAAAGAAGAAAUGAUUUGAGAGAUGCAUUAUAGUAUCUUGAAUUUUUUUUAAAAAAAAUACUUUAAAAGUGUUUAUAUUGAUUAUACUAUAUAAUAUAUUUUAUACAUAAUAUAUAAGCUAUAUCAUUUCAUUAAUAAUACAUAAAAGUAAUAUUUUAGAAUGUUACUAGCUAGCUAGCUAGUUAUAUUCGUUGGAAAAUAAAAAAAAUGUUAAAGCAGACGAUUCUGAAUUGAUGUCUUGUUACCAAGGAUAAGCAUGUGCUAUUUAAUUGAGAGUUCAUGUCUCAAACCUAUUAUUAAAGAAAACGUGUUGAAUAAAAAAAUUAAAGAUAUUGUUGGGUUUAUUAAUUUGUGUUUUAACUCUUAAUUUAGGAGGGGAUUGGAGCUGGUGAUCAACCAAGAGCAGGUGAUUUAAGGAGCCGAGGUCUCUGCCUGGUCCCAAUAUCAUGCACCGAACACGUGGCAAACACCAACGGCGCUGAUCUAUGGUCCCCGGCCAUGGGAAAGACCAAAUCCUCAAAGCACUAGCCCUUUUCUCUCUUUCUUCUUGGGUUUUGGCUCCAAUGUUUCUUCUCUCAUCAUUUUUCCAUAAAAAAGGAAAAAGGAUAAAAAAAAAACAGAGAGGAAGAACCAUUUUGGGUUUUAACACCAGUUUUUUGGGGUUUCUCUUGGGCUCCCUUUUUGGGUAAAGGAGCAGUUACACAGAAGAAGAACAAUGAAAAGAUAUAUAUAUAUAUAUAUAUAUAUAUAUAUAUAUAUAUAUGUAUAGGGUGAGAAGGGGAAUAGGGUAAAGCUUCUUAACUUGGAAAGUAGUGUAGUAGCAUUCAACACUGUUAAACUACUAUUAAUGCUUUGGUAAGGUUAAAGCUUGGGGUUUUUUUUGGGGGGGGGGGGAGGAGAAGAGGAGAAACUUUUGUAUGUAAAAGCGUGUCAGUGUGCAUGUCUUCUUCUGCUUCUUCUUACAUUCUUGGAAUUAUGUGGAUUGUGAUUAAUUAACUAAAGCCUAAGUAGGUCGACAUUAGCUUUAAAUCAUGUCACUAAUUAAAGGGCGGUUUAAGAUUAUCAUGUUUUGUGAUGAGUUUUAUUUAUUUAUUUAUUUUUUUCCAAGGCAUUUGUUUGUCUUUGAUCUUCUACUAGUGUUCUCUACAAUUAUGCAAAGGUGGAGGAUUUGUUUGGGUGAUUGGUGCAGUGGCUCAGCUGCACACUGUCCAAUGAGAGCAUGCCACCUUGCCAAUUAUUAUAUGGAAGAUUACAAAACACUGCAGGGCGAUAUCCUAUUUUGUACCUAUUAGUAACUUAUAAAUUUUAUAUCCUACUUAUUCAAAUUAUUAUUAUUUUGGUAGCUUUAUUAAUUUUACAUUUAAUACUAUAAGUUUUUUUUUAAAAAAAGAUUAAAUCUUUGACUGGUGGGUGUUAGAUAGGGACGCUAUGUAUAAACUGAGGGAGGGCCAUGAUUCUCUAGACUUUUCGUAAUUUGCAUAAUAAUUUUUUACAUAUAAAAAAUUUAAAGGAUAUACUUUUAUCUCAUCUCAAAAGUAUGUCCACUGACCUUUUUUUAAAAAAAAGUUCUUAAUGCUAAUGUAAUGUUCUCUCAACUAUGAAUUUUUUUUUUUUAUUUUUUUAGUACCUUUAGGACUUCUAAUUAUUUUAGAUAAUUUUUCUAUUUAAUUAAAUUAUAUAUUAUAUUAAAUUUAAUAGCUGUGUCAACUAAUAGUCAUCAAUUAUCAUAAUUGUAUUUACUAAAAAUUAAAAAAUUAGAUCAUUAACUGAACUAAUAUUAAAUUUAGUAAAUUUUAAAGUUAUUUGAGUGAAAUAAUACAAAUAAAAUAAUUAGAAGUUAAGUAAGUAUAAAUUAAAAAAAUGGUAAUAUUAUUUAUUAUUUAGCAACAUAUUUUUUCAUCAAAAAUUUGAUUUGGUAAAUCUUAUUUAUUUGCUAAAGUUUUAAUUUGUAUUUAUUUUGGCCCCCCUUAUAAUCGAGUACUAGCUUCGUCGUGUUAGAUGUAUUUUCUAUAAGAGGGUGCACAAGUUGCAUAUUUCGUGUUCUAGACAUGCACCGUGCAUAUGUUGUUCUAUUCAUAUAUAUACAUGCCUAAUUUGAUUUAUUUAUAGUUAAACACUUAAGAAUUUAUAUGGCUUAUUUAAUUGAGCUAAACCUUAUUGUUCAAAAGAUUGAUCUAGAAAACACAUGAUCAAUAAAAAAAUUUUAAUACCAGGAGAACUAUCAUAUUUAUUUAAAAUAUCAAUGCGAUAUAAGCAAUUCUAAAGAGUAUAAUUUCUGCAAGCUUGAGCUCAGCUUGUGUAGCUAACGAGAGCUGGAUAUAGAGCUUGAACUUAAGUCUAAAAUGUCUAGUGAAUACCACUGCAUUGUUUGACUCGUGGUUGAAAUUGAGAACUAAUGUAUAGUAUAUGAGUAUAAUGAUUGAUCUAAGUUUGGUUGUACGACCCCCUAGCCCGUGGUUAUAUAUAUUAUAUAUAAAACAGUACCUACAAUGGAGCAAGUUCUUCGGAUGGUGACUUUAGUUGUUCAUGUGAGUAUAUAUCUUGACGAAAGUGUUCUUGGAGUUAUUCUUAUUAGUUGCUAUCACCAAACAGCUUGAGAUUUUAUAGGUUAAUGAUAACGAUCGAUUAGGGAUAAAACAAACAAUUGUUUUGUUUCUAAGCAUCUAGUGGCCCUCAUGCUAUUAGAGAGUAUUUGUGUUUCUUUUUUUCUUUUUUUUUUUGCUCUUUCAAUUAGGAGGUGUGUGGACUUGAAAUGGACUUCUACGAUGCUGCUUUUUUUUUUUUCUUUAGAAAGGUUCAUGAAAAUGGCCCUCGUUAGGUGGCAAACAACAUAUCCAAAGUAGUAGUUUGACAAUGUCCCCUCUAAUGGACAAUGAAACCUCCAAAUUAUAGCCGAAUCUUCGGGCAUUAUUUCUGGUUAAUGAAAGUGACUCCCGAAAGGAACAUUACGAUCGUAUGUCCUUCUUUAUCUCGAAUAAUUGCUCUUAAGGACGUGCCGUGAGGCUGCCCUACGUUUCUGAUUGAACAUAGAACGGUCGGAUUCCAGCGAACUUCUAAAUCUAAUUAUAUGCAGCUCGAUAAAUCCCUAUCCUAUAAUUCAAUCCUUUUGUGUGUAAAACCCUUCUGUUCCUAACCUUAAUCAGAUACUUGAGGCGCUAAAAUGGCCUCGAUCUCUUCGAUCAUAACACAACUUGGAGUUGGUUUUUUCUUAAAAAAAAGGGGAGGGAAGUAACCUUCCAAGUACUAAGGAAAAUGUAGUUUUCCAAAAUCUGCAGGUCCCGCAAGAUCAAGUCAAAUUUAUCCUACUUCCCUAGUUCAAUAAUUGCAUGUCGUUUCGUAAUCUAAGCUAUUGAAAAGCAUGGCAUAUAGCAAAUUAUUCUAAACCUAUUUCUAACAACAUCAUUGUCCAUGUCUCCUAUGAAUUGAGAUGAAACACAAAUUAUGGGCUUCUGUAGUGGACAUCACAUUUCUGGGACCUCAAAAGAUCAGAUUAAUUUCUAAUAUUCUGAUGCAGUUGACAUGUGCAAUACAUUUCAUGUCAUUAAAGCUCGACAAAUAAACAGCGAUGUAUUGACUAGUUUUAAAGAGUUCCAAGGAGCUAAUAACUUGAUUUAUAAAUAAAAAAAAGGGGCCCAAUUCACCUUUCUUCUAAGUCUUUUUCCAUUAAGGGACAAAAGCUGAAUGAGCCCUCACCCUUUGCUUUAUUGCUGCAGAUAAAAAGCAUUUAUGCUUUUUCCUCUUGGGUUUUUUUUUUUUUUAAGAAACUGAAAUGGACACUUAUUGAAGAUACCAAUUCAUCACAAGUUGUCAUGGCAGUGGCACAAAGCAUCUCACUUCCAAAAAUAUGUCUACAUUUACUUUUUCAUAUGGGAAGCGUUUUUGGAGACCUCAAUCUCAGCCCACGGCCUACACAACCUAACAGGUACGAUACGUAAUGCAUUCAAAUCAGUUAAACCCAAUAAUAACAUAAGGUGGUGAAAUUGGUCUUAAUAGAACAGAAGCAUCAAUUCUUUAUUCACAUAUCUUUUAUUCCAUAAGGAUUAGUACUCAAUAAUGUCGUCCUUUCACAAGUAUAAACUAGUCAACUUGGCCAUCUUGAUACCAAUCCACUAAUUAAUAUUCAAUUAUCGCUUCAUAUCAUCUAACAUACUAUUUUUCAAUUCAUUCGAUUCCGUACUCUCCUUAUUCUCAGCCAAUACACCAAACUGAUAUCUCCAUGCUCUAUUAUUCUCUAAAGGCCUUACUAUUCCAUGCAUGCCCAAUUAUCAUGUCUCCCCAGAUUGUGAUGUUUACAAGAGCCAACCUAACCAGUCAAACCAUAUCACAGUGAAAAGUAACUCAAAAUCUAUAGCAUGUAAACUAUGAUACCAACAAAAUAGCACAAGCCUAUAGUAAAAUCUGGUGUUUUAUUUGGAAGUUUUUCUAUUGAGUCUUCAGAUCUCUUUUCAGUUUUUCAUUGCAUCAAAAACUUCAGAUUUUGUAAGGGAGAAACAGGAGCAAAAUGAAAUAAACACCGAAUCUUCACUUGUUUGAGGAGCCUCAAAGAUUCCACAUAGAAAUUUCACUCACCUUGGCCCAUUUUAAGUGACCUUAGUGUUGACUCUAACAAUGCCACCUACACUGAAAGGCAUCACAUUCCUCUAGUGACAAGUUAGCAACUGCACAAAGAGUAUACUUCACAAGGUAGCAAAUGAAACAUUUUCUACCUAAAUGUGAUCACUGAAACUAACCAGCUGAGUCAUAAUCUUGCAAUCAAUAUCUUUCAUUAGGAAUGAGCUUUACAGAGACAAUGCUAUAGACUAUUACAUUUGACCUCAUACUCAUGGUUCACCUGUAGUCAUUGUUGAAAAAAGUACUAAAAGCUAUAUAUCGAGCGUCAGAAACACGCUAUUAUUUUAUUUUAUUUUUCUGUCACAAGGAAAAGCAGUAUAGAAUUUGACUAUUUGGAGAGCCUAAUUGGCUCUCCAUUUUCAACAUAAAUAGCAAUUCCACUAAACAUAACUCUAAGUUAUGGGUGUAAUGUAGGCCGUGUCCACAUUUUUCGUGCAGAUUCGGGCUAGGGGCCGGGCCGGGCCGGAGCUACCUCAAAUUCGGGCCAGCCGUGCCGGGCUGGAGCUACCAACUCUCCUGCCCAGUACGGCCCUUCGGCCCGGAAGGCCCAGGUCGGGCCGAGCCGGGCCAGGCAGUGCUUCGAGUCGGCCCCUAAAAGGUUUUAUUUUUAAAAAAAUAUAUAAAAUUUAAAAUAUAAACAAAUAAUUAUUUCUAUUUUAUAAAAAUAAUUAUAAUAUAACAAAUAUUUAAAUUUUUUAAAAAAUAUAUAUUGUUUUUUUUUUUGAAAAAAAAAUGAUAGUGUUUUUGGUUCAAUGGACCAAAAUUGUCCAUCGGACCUAAACUCCUCCCAAGGUCCCCAGGAGAUCUCCUCCCAAGGCCCAAGGCAAGUGCUGCCUUGGGCCUUAGGGUUCGGGCCGUGCUGGCCCGACUGGCAGUGCUUCUCAGUCCGGCACGGUCCAAGCCCGUUUCGAGUUGUACCAGGUCGGGUCGUCGGACCCAAGAGGAGAGGCCCAACAUGGCCUUCAAGCUCGGUCUGCGCCGGGCAGCCGGACCGCCUGGCCCGUUUUACAUGCCUACUCAGUGCUAUGUAAAAUUGAAUGUUGUGAAGGAUAACAUGCGUUUAGUCCCUAACCAUGGAAUAGAAAUACUGUCAGCAAAAUAUUUUAAUUAUCUACUAGUCUUAUAAAUAUUGAAUUAUCAAUUCAUUCAUUCUUGAUCAACAACGCAUGCGCAGAUUAUUUAAUUCCCUCAAGGAGGAAAAUAUAUUGAGUACAAAUCAGCUGACUACGGCAUGCCGCAGGCCAGAAUUGCAAGCUAAUUGGCAGCAGAUUAACGGUCAGAUUUUCUCUAUUCACAGCUGAACUAUGGAUCAUUUAUUCUACGACGAAAUCAGAUUUUUCUUCUAUUCACAGAAUUGAACCAUCUAUCAUUCAUUCUACGACGAAAUGCGUGCCAAUUAUUAGAUUAGCCAUUCUUUAGAUGGCAGAGUUGACCUGACACUAAAAUAGUGCUUUAUGCAGAAAAUUCUGCACAUUGAGCCUCGAGCAUAUAUGAAUGUGCAAGUAUCUACAGCCAUACCUCACACAUUAUCAUGGAGAUGCUCCACUUCUUUGCCCUAGCAGCGCUACUCUUUAUAUUACUAUUUCUUCUCCUUCCCCGAGCGGCAAAACCCUCGAAGCCUCCGCUGCCUCCCUCCCCGAGCCGCUUCUCCCUCCCCAUCCUCGGCCACCUCCACCUCCUCCUACCCCUCGGCAAAAGCAACCCCCUCCACCGCUCCCUCGCCUCCCUAUCGUCCCUCCAUGGCGGCGUCCUCUCCCUCCGCCUCGGCUCCCGCCGCGCCCUCCGCUUCUCCUCCCGCGACGCCGCGUUCGCCUCGCGCCCCCGUUUCCUCGCCGGGAAACACCUCGGCUACGCCUACACCACCCUCGUCUGGGCCCCCUACGGCGCCCACUGGCGCAAUCUCCGCCGCAUCGCCGCCGUAGAGCUCUUCUCCCCCGCCCAACUGAGCGCUUCCGCCCAGAUCCGGGCCGAUGAGGUCGCGGAAUUGGUCAAAGCCCUAGCUAGGGCAUCCGGGGGCCCCGAUCGGAGGGUCGUGAUGAAGCCGAGGCUCUUCGCCAUGGCGAUGAACGUGAUGAUGCGGAUGAUCGCGGGGAAGAGGUACUUCGGAGGAGAAGGCCAAGGGGGCGAAUUAGGGUUAGCGGGAUCGGAGGAGGAGGCGAGGAGGUUUCAGGAGAUCGUGGAGGAGUCGUUCGCGGUGAGCGGCGCGACGAAUUUGGGGGAUUUCGUGCCGCUGCUUAGGGUUUUGGAUUACAAGGGUGUGGAGAGGAGGCUCGUGAGGUUGCAGGAGAAGAGGGAUACGUUUAUGCAGGGGAUCGUGGAUGAGCGUAGAAGAAUAAGAAGAAGAGGAGGAGAUGAUGAUGAUGAUGAUGACGACGACGACAAGGGCGAAGGAGGGAGGAAGACGAUAAUUGACGUGUUGCUGAAUCUUCAGGAAAGCGAUCCCGAGUACUACACGGACGAGAUCAUCAAAGGAGUUUUGGUGGUAAGUCACCGGUAUCUGCUGUCCCAGUUUCUUCUGAAAAUUCGUAUACAAACAACACUCUGUUUUGCAAUCUGCUUGGCGUGUUUCUCGGACGGUUCAUACCUCCUCUUGUUUUAUGGAAUAUUUGCUACUGCAUUCUUAUCGUUCUCCUACAAUUAUGCUGAGAAUAAUAGAUUUUAUAUAGCACCAAAAAUACUAUUGCAUGCGAAAGAACAUACCCAAAGUUAUGGACUAUUUUCGAGAAUAUUGAGGUGUUAGUGUAGAUUAUAACUUUUAAAAAUAUUAACUCAAAUGCAUGCAUGUUAAAAUUAAUCAUAACCGUACUGUACUCAAACGCUUGAACGGAGAAUGGUUUAGGCGUUCUGAAUCUUCUGAUCCACCCAAUGUUGCAGGUAAUGUUGUCGGCGGGAACCGACACUUCGGUGGUGACAAUCGAAUGGGCGAUGGCGCUCUUGCUGAGCCACCCAGAUGUAAUGGAGAAGGCCCGUGCCGAGCUCGACCUUCGAGUAGGCUCAGGUCGACUCGUUCAGGAAUCGGACCUCUCCGACCUCCCCUAUCUCCAAUGCAUCAUCAAAGAGACUCUCCGGCUCUACCCCGCAGGCCCACUCAUCCCAGCGCAUGAGUCCACUGAGGACUGCACUGUUGCAGGUUACCACGUGCCACGCGGCACGAUGCUACUCGUCAACGCAUGGGCCAUUCAUAGGGACCCCACAAAUUGGACCGAGCCAACGCAGUUUCGGCCGGAGAGGUUCUUGGUGGAAAGGGAAGAGGUGGAGGGGUCGAUGGUGAUGUUGCCGUUCGGGCUGGGACGGAGGAGGUGCCCGGGCGAGGGCCUGGCCAUGCGUGUGGUAGGCCUAGCGUUGGCUGCGCUGGUGCAGUGCUUCGAGUGGGAUGUCGGGAGCGAGGGCGUGGACAUGACCGAGGGGACCGGGCUCACGAUGCCCAUGGCAAAGCCGUUGGUGGCCGCAUGCAAGCCCCGGACGGCCGUGAUCCACGCACAGUUAGCUACCGUUGGUGCAGCAUGAUUGACGACCGCCUGCACAUGUUGUAUCUGCACAUCUCGUGCGUUGUUUUCACUCAAGUCUCUUACAUAUAGUUGUUGAAAUUACUUUGGUUGGUGCAGAUGAAAGAUGUAUGAAAGCAAUUUUAGAGAUCCAAGCUUGAAAUGUGAGUGAACUUUGAAAGGAUGCAGUGUAGGAGAUAUUCUGAUGCACAUCGUGUGGGCACGAAUUUUACCGGUGUUAAUCAGAUGAUAUUCUUAUGAUGUUAGCUACAAUACAGAGGGAGGAAGGCACCACCGAGUUUAUUAUAACUUCCAUUGAUAUUGGUUAAUCACAUCCUGCGCUGAAAACGUGGCUAGAUUAAAAACUAUCCCCACGGCGCUCUUCACUUCGUGUCUCACAUAUCUUUCAUGUAAACAAGAUGAAAAAAAUUUCAUCCCACACUUUGUAACCAUCUUAAUUAGGUCCCAAGAAAAAAAGAAAUAUAAUUGUUAAAUUCGCUUGUAAAACUCUUUGAAUAAUAAUAUGCAAUAAUUGCUUCAACAGGCCAGGUUCAAUCCGACCCGGCCCGGUCAAUUUGGGUCGAAGUUGGGCCUGAAUUUUUAAUUUGUGAGCCCCAAAAAUCACGCUCGGCCUUAAGCUCAGCUCGGCCUGCAACUUAGUCAGCUGUAGACUUAAUCGACGGUCGGGAUUGGCUCAGGCACUUUCCAGCUUCACGAUAUAUAAAUAAUGGUCUGUUCCUAUCCUGUUCCAUUUGAAACAUUUGCCCCCGCCAAUCUCCUUCCCUCCCACUCUCCCCGCUGCGACGCGCGCAAGAACUCCACGAAGCAGGCGACGAUCGUGUUCCACUCCUCCUCUCUUCGAUUAUAGCUUCUCCAAGAAGCAGUGGAAACAGCGGAGGAGAAGAAGCACUUUUCCGAGAAGCCGUGCGAAAAGCGCAGGAGAAGAAGCCCUUUUCUCCCCGCUUCGCCAUCGGCGGGAUCCAUGGCGAAAUACUCGAUCGCCGAUAAAGAUCUCAAUCUCGUCGUCCUCCGCUAUCUCCUUGACUCAGGUCGACCCCCUCCUCGGAAUCCCCCUUAUAGCUGUGAUUCUUUGUAGCAUCGUUGGAUUUUUAACCACCUCUUAUGCUUCUGUGGUAGUUUUGGUGUUUUUAUGCGUUCGAUUUGAUCUUCUAGGUUUGCUUUAUGUUCUUGAUGCUGCAAUUGUUCGGUGUUCUGGUUCUCUGGGGUUUCUUUCGCCGAUUUUGGUGGCUUUCUUCAAUACCUCCUCUCUUUGUGAUUUGUUACUGCUGCUGUUUGGUGUUGCAAUUUGUUUAAUUUGACUUCUCAGUAGUUCUGUAUGUUCUUGAUCCCAGUUGUUUGUUGUUUUGCUUCUCUAGGGUUUCUUUUGCCUAUUCUGGUUCCUUUUUUGCUUCUCAGGUUUCCAAGUCUCUUCUCUUGAGAAGUCAGAAAUGUUACAGAUGCAUUUGGUAACCACUCUUAGGGCUGGGGCACGUACGCUUAUUACGUACUCAUGUGACAAAUUUCAGGUUUCAAGCACUCAGCAUUUUGUUUUGAAAAUGAGUUGCGGGAGAACGGAUGUGGCGUUGAUGGAGAUACAAUUUCAUUUGCUACUCUAAAAACAAUUAUGCAAAACAGCAUCCGGCACAAAGUGUUGGAACCUAACGCGAGCAAUGUAAAUGUGUUGCAUAUUAAUAAGUUAUUUAGUACAGCAAUUGUUUGUAUUGUUUCCUUGGAUAACAUGUUUCUGUUCGGUUUUUUUGCAGUUGUUGACUCGCCAGAGUGACACUGACACAGAUGAAGACUUUUCUUUUCUCAAACCUAUGGACAUUAUCAAGGAAGAUGCUAAUGAGCUGAAAGAAAUCAUAAAGAAGAGAAGGGAGAAAGAGAAGGACGAAGUAGAGGAAAAGCAAGGUGAGACCAAACUUCAAAAAAAAAAAAAAAAAAAAAGUAUGGUGCUAGUGUUGCCAAAUUACAUAUAUGUAACGGACUAAUGUUAAUCAGUUAGUGUUGGUGCUUCGUUCAUAAUGUUGUCCAUUGCUUUGUUUUAUCAUUUGCCCGUCUUUCUUUCUCUUCUCCUCUUUUUCUUCCAUUUUAAGUUUUUCUUGCUUUAUCGUGCAGAAAUCUUGUGACCCUUUUUGUUUUUCUUUAUUCUGAGAUAAGUGUGAUUGGAUUAUAUCUUCCAUUGUAUAAAUUAGGAAAUCUGAAAUGAUAACUUUCAAAUGAUGUAUUAGGCGCCAACUAUCUGCAUCCUUCAUACCGAAAGUCCGUCAUUAAUCUGAUUCACUUGAAGGCCACCCACUUGCUGUAACAUCUAGUUAGCCCACAAUCACGUUUAGUCUAAAACUCUUUGGUUGAUGGCCAUGUAUUUUCAAUCGAGUUUUGAGCUAACUGUAUCUUAGCCUUUAGUUGAACCAGGACAUCCUUUAACAUUUGGCAUAAAAUGAUUAUUUCAUCCAUACAUGCCAAUCAACCUAUCUUUGAUCAGUGGUGUAAAGUUCUCAAUUGCCUUCUCAAGCCCCUGCAAAACAUGACAGAUGUCGCAUAUGUUUCUUCCUGUGGAGCAGUUGAUUGUAGAAGCAUAUAUGCAGUAUUAAAGUCUCAUAGCUAUUCAUAUGCGGGAUUAUGUUUUUUGACUUGUUAUAUAAGUGAGUUUUGGAAGGUAUCCACAUGCAAUUCCGCAGGUUAAGUGGUAAUAACACAAAUAAGAACUUUUUGAUGGACAUAUUUUGAAAGAUCUAUUUAUGCUAAUCAUUUUGGUUUACCAGUAUGUUAUUUCAUCUUUUGUUGCAGUUGCCUCUAUAUCUAAAUAUAAAAGUCUCACAUCACUAAUUUUUUUUAAUAGGGCUUGAACAAGCAGACAUCUCCCCUGACUCUCGCUCGUUAUCCUGCAAGACUUCUAGAUCUGAUUUGACUAUUUUGGAGGGCCAUACUUCUUGGGUUUGAUUUUCCUUCUCUUUUUUUUUUUGUUUUGGCAAAUUGUCUUUUCUCUAAUUCUCUUGACUAUGAACUUUUACUCAGGUUACAUUCAUUUUCUUUUAUGUCUGUUUAGGCCACUGUUUGUGCAUGGAGUCCAACAGAUUCUUUACUAGCAUCUGGGUAAGUAAUAGUACUCCUAGAACUUGGUUAGCAUGUAAGAGUUAGUUUAUUUAGUUUGUGUAAAUCAGUACUUCUAUUAGCAUUUUUCUGCCCAUAUUUAAUUACUUAGGUUUGACGGUGGUGCCUUUUUAUAUCCUGAUACUUGAAUUGUAACAUUACCAAUUUCAAUAAUUAUUGUUGUCCUGCAGAUCUUUCUAGCGUAUCAGCGAAGCCUUUGUUGUAUCCCACGAUUAGCAGUCAAUAUUAGGAGAUUCAGUCAUGCAGUUGCCUUUGCUGAAUUUAUUGUUCUUUAACAUCAUUUCUCAAUUUACUGAGCCCCUGUCAUGGGAAUUUGGUGCCUAAAAUUUUUUCCCCUUCAUGUCAAGUAUGUGUUAACCAUUGCAAAUUUUUGCCAAAGGUGCUAUGGGACAAGAAUACUACUUUCUAAACUAAGCCUUCUCAUAAUUGAGAAGGCGAUCUUUGCAGACUUGUUUUGUUGAUUUAUUUAGCACUUAGUCCGCAUAAUAGUUAUUCAUUUGAGUCAUUUCCAUUAUUAGGGGAUGUUCGAAGGUGAGCCAACUUUAAUGACUAUCUGGGGCUCUGAUGUGAGCACAUUGCACUUGAGGGAGAAGUCUGAUGGGAAAAGUAGUUGUUUUUUCCCAUAAACCAUCAUGCCUCACGCAGACCACAGGCAAACAGUUAUGUUAUGAUUUUUGUGGUGCUUGAGGGGGAUAUCAGUUUCUGCUUUCACUGCAACUUCAUUUCGUCUGGCAGUGUUAGGUGGUCCUCAAUAGCAAACUGAGCCUUAGGCUUCAUUCCCCGCUGAUGGAUCGACUAUAAGAAAACUAUCAAGAAUUCUGAUAUGAUUCCUCUGUUGUUGCUGAAUCCUAUUUUUGAGCUCUGUCAAAGUGGAAAGUUACUGCUACGCUUGGCUAUGCUUAUCUUUUUCUUUCUGUUUUUGCUCAAGUACUAUGCAACUGAAUGUGCCUGUGGAUGGACUUAGAUGCCCUUGUUAAUAUUGGUUAGUGCAAACCAGCUAUAAAAAUACGGAUAAAGAGGUGGAAAGAGUUGUUAUUUUUUUCACCAGACAAAAAUGACAUAGAUGUAUAGUUUUUAAAUGUUUGCCAAUGCAUUCAAUUGCAUUGAACUCAUGGAAAAACAAAAAAGCGGAAAAAAAUAUUGCAUAGCAAAACAAGGCCUACAAUAUUUUGAAUAAAGUUCAUCCUUAGCAGCAAAUAGAAGAUGCAUAUAUCAUAAUCAUAACUUGAAAUUUUAAAGUCUAUGAUUGCUGUCCCAAAUUUCUUUCUUUUAUUCAGUAUGGAGUAGUUUCCUGCUGUUCAUCACUGUGUGGUUUUUUUGCAAUUCAUUUUGUUAAGGUGAUUGUUACCUUGCUUUGUGGAUUGCUUUACUGCUACUAACUAGCUAGCAGAUUUCUCUAGAAAGCUUUUUGGGUUGUCCAUUUGUCCUCUAACAAGUAAUGCUGUUAUUGUGCAAUUGUUAGAUCUUCAGACUGGACGACUAGGAUUUGGAGAAUUCCACAUGGCCAUUGUGGAUCUGGUGAACAAAAAUCUCCUUCAAGUUUUGUGCUGAAACAUUUUAAGACUGGAAAGAUAAGAGAUGCUAGUGAGGAAAGAGAUCUCCCAAGCCUUGCUUGGAAUGUAAGUUCUCUUAAGUAUGAUGGCACUACCACCUACAUUCUGUAGAAGGCCAAAACAAUUCCUUUCAUAAUUAAGGGAAAAAAGCUUAAGACUCACCAGAACUUUGAUGUGCUUGGAAAUCACCACCCGAAGUAUAAAAAACUGAAAUUUAUGAAUAAUCAAUUUUUCAAUCAAACACUUAGCCCAAAUUGCCGUCAUGUUCUCUCUGAUUGCCAUCAACCUGUGACUGUCAUGUGAACGUAUUCAUAACAGAUCACUUAAAUUGUGAUUUGUUAGAAUCCCCUGAACUUUGGCCAGAUUACAUAUGACUACUAGUACUUUAAACUCCAUGUGCUAUUUUUUUGGUCAUGUGAUAGUUACCUACUAACGACAGUUAGAAUGCUUGACUCAAGUUGUGUAGUUGAUUAGAAUAAAUUAAUUGUUGAUUGUUUAGGUUAACUUUUUAAACUUACAUGGCUAUUUGCAAUCAGGCCAAAUUUCAAGUUUCCCUAGAGCUUUUGUCCUGUAGUUAAAUAAUACCUUUAGUCCUUUACAGUAACUUCCACCUCCAACUUGAAUUCCUAAACAUACAUAGAUGGUCAACUUCAGGCAAAUCUUUGGCAGUCAGAAUCUGCUUCCCAUUUGUGUUUCAAUUAGAGAUUAUUUACUGAUUUCUUGCUGUUUUCUGUUUCGGCAUUGUAGGGUGAUGGUUCAUUGCUUGCCACAGGUUCUUGUGAUUUUUUGGCAAGAAUUUGGGGUUGCGAUGGUAAAUGUUCGAGGAUUCCCUGUGUUUAUUUUUCUUGCUUUCGACUUUGUGCACUGUGCUUAUUAUCGAACUUAUCAGCUUGCCACAAUCAGGCAUCUAAACUAGUUCCAUUCUAUGUUUCUUUGUAGUCAAUUCUGAGUUUUCUUAGAUUGAUAAAUUUGUCUGAAUUAACUAUAGGUAGAAAAAAGGACCUUUUUAUGUGUUUGUACGGGAGGAAGAGGAUCUGUGCUAGGUGAUUUAUCUGGAUGAUUGGUCUAAGAACCAAUUUUGUGAAAAUAUAUCAUUUGCUGAUGUUUCCACUAGUUGACCUCAAUAUCCAUCAUGUGGGCACCUCCUCCCUCCAGAGAUAUAGGUUGUGCAGCUGCUUUUUCCUUUUUUUAUUGAUGUUAAAUAGAGAGAGAGAGCUACCAUUGUCGUUUUAGGCAUACUUGGCUAUAGUUACGAGGUGGUUACCAGGUUGUUACAUGUAACAAGUCAAACGUAAUUUCUCUUUCUUAAAUAGUUCUUCUUAAACUAAUGUAAGCCAUUUAUCUUUUCAAUACUCCAAUAUAUGUUAUGUUGUUACUUGCUUUUUGCCUUUUCAUGGUGUGGACUAAAAUGUGCAGGAGAAUCGAUAACAACUUUGGAUAAACAUAAAGGCUCUGUGAGUUCUUUGAAGUGGAAUGAGAAUGGUGAUUUUCUUCUGAGCGGAAGCUAUGACCGUACUGCUGUAGUCUGGGACACAAAGACAUGGCAGCGUAAGCAACGGUUCAAAUAUCAUUCAGGUAAUGCAACAAAUGCAGUAAAUGUGUACCAGUUCCUCUCAGCAUUAUGAGAAGCAGCUUUCUCUAAUAUAUCUGUACUUUUGUUGUCUUCCAGAUAAAGUUUACGAUGUUGAUUGGAUGAACAAUGACACUUUUGCCACAUGUUCAAAAGAUAGAAAAAUUUAUGUUUGGCAGAUUGGAGAGGACAUCCCUAUAAGGAAAUUCUCUGGGCAUAAGGUUCUUCAUUAUAAAAGCUCUUGUUUUCUGUUGUGUAUGCAUUAUAGCUUGUAAAAGUUCCCAUUCCAGCCUUUACGAUUUGGGUUUCCUGACCUCACACUCCAGAACUCCCUAGAAAUGUGAUUUGAUUUUACUAGACAAAAUAAUAUGAUACAAUGGCUUCAUUCUGACAAUAGUCUUAUAGAGGCAAUGGCUGCAAUCGUCUAUUAUGAUAUCGUAGUAGGUUCAUGAAAAUAAAUAUUGGCGGUUUAUCUUCCCAUAACAUCCUAUUGAUCUCUUCCAGCAUGAAGUUUAUGCUAUAAAAUGGGAUCCAACUGGCUCUUUGUUGGCUUCAUGCUCGGGAGAUAAGACUGUAAAGGUGAGUCAUAUAUAUUUGAAUAAACAACAGUAUGUGCCUGUUUCAUUAUUAUGCGGACAAGUUAAUAUCAACCUCUUUUUAGCCGAUUGAUCUUUUAUGCUUGGGUUCUUUCAACAGUUUAAACUUUUUUUUUUGACAGAUAUGGAGAAUUGAUGAACAAAAACAUUUGUAUGACUUUCGGGAGCACACUGAGGUUGUAAUAAUCUCUUGUUGAACACCCCUCUUCUACUCUUUACAGAUGAAUAUCUAAGUAGCAAGGUGGUUCUUACUCUUCCAGCUAGUGCGUACCAUUAGCUGGAGGCCGCCAGGGCCUAAUGGAGCAAACAAUUCCAAUCAGCAAGCAGUGCUGGCUAGGUAAGUUGUUCUAUAUGCAGAUUAAACAUAAUUUGAGACAUUAUUAUAUUAUGGACAUAAAUUAUCUUUUUGCAUAAUUUGGAGCAUCCACCUAUCGCUUACAGUAGACUGACUUCUGCUCACCCUGGUCACUCUGGGUCUAGUUAGGGUAGGGUAGAGUCCAAUAAUCUAAACCCCUAAUCCAACCCUAACUGUUUGGGUAGGAGGGUGAACGACCCUUGGCCUACUGUAAUUUAUAAUACAUAUGGGGUAAUCAGUAACAUGUUGGGUCACCCAAAAAAAAGAUUUUCAGAUUCAUAAGUCAUCCCAUGCUGGUUUAACCCAUUAACCCAUUUUUUCUAUAUAAUUACUAGUGUGUACACAUAAUAAAUAUCACAAGAUGAAAACAAUACUUGAAUAAAUCAGGUAAUAAGUGUCUAGUCUAUCUCAUUUCCUCCAUGGACUGGUUAAGAUAGAGGGGACAAAAAAUCUAGUGAUUGAAAUUUGAAAAUGAAAGUCUUAGAUGGAUAGGACAGGUAGCGAGCAGUUUAUUCCUCUCAACCCUACUAUCAUGACCUUCAAACAACAAAUUUUUACUACCAUUAACCUAUCAUUAAAAUUUUGGAGGCCGCAUGAAGGUACCAAAAGCAUUACUUCUUGCACUAAUCAUAUUUGUUCUUUUCACUCAGUUAUUGUGGUCUUACUUCAGGCUAUUCUUUGUUGCUGAUAAAUAUUAUGCUUAUAGAUGCUUCUCCUUGACUACUGUUGUUUUAGAACCUUGAAUUCCAUUUUCGAGUUGUAUUUAACACCAAUUAACGGAUUUCCCAUGGGGUAUCACUUGUUGCUUUGUAUGUUUAAAAUCUGUUGGCUCAAAUAUCUUGUCGAGUUCUCUAGCAGGCCCCUUAAACUUUUUGAAUUAUAUCACUCCAUAAAUCUCUGUUGCAUAUUUUGAUUUGGUGGCGGCUAGCCAUUUUUUACCAUGAUCUUUUCCUAUCAUUUUGAUGCACAGUGCUUCAUUUGACUCGACUAUCAAGCUAUGGGAUGUAGGGCAAGGAAGGCUUUUGAACAGCUUGAACGUCCACAGGUACAGCUUUAGCUACUUAUAUAAAAGAUAGUUUUUAUUUUCCCCCUCAAAAAAAAAAAAGGGCAAAACGAAACAAAACAAUAGUACAGAUUUGUUUCCUAUUCCCAACUGAUUCAUAUACAAUGCUCUUUUAUAGUAAAAAAAUAUACAAACCUCUUUAUCGCACGCCAUAGACUCACAUCAUAGUAAUCCUCAGGGAUGCAAUAUAUACCAUUGCAUUUAGCCCGAACUGUGAGUAUUUGGCAAGCGGGGGUGCCGAUCAGUGCCUGCAUAUAUGGUCUGUGAAAGAAGGCAAGAUAGUGAAGAUCCGCAGAAUGAAUGUUUCUAUUUUUGCGGUAUGUUGGAACAGAGAAGGUGACAAGAUCGCCGCGAGUUUGGCAAGCGGUGCCGUAUGUGUUGUGGAUUUCAGGUAUUAACUAGCUCCAUCACUCCAUCUACUCUUGGGUGCUUGUCAUUCCCAUUUCAAAGCAUACGCACACGCGCACCCGUGUGCGCACGCACACACACCCGAAAAAAAGAAAUAGAAAAUGGAACGUACAAGAGUUUGUCUCUUAAUCUCAGGCAGGUUCUAUAAGGACCUGUUGCUUAUUGUGGAGAUCUGUUUGAUUUGCUUUUUUCUCUUUUCAUUUCCCUUUCUGGGGAAGAGAUUGUUUGAUUAGCUGGAGUGGAUAAUUGUGCUGAUCAAUUGUUCGGCAUAGACAUUUGUUCCUCUUGAGGAUAAUUGAUAUAAAAACUUUUUGUUGCCAUGCGGAGGAACUGUAUUAACAGAAAUGUUGCUUACCAUUACACAUUCUUUGGAUGGACUGAGGUGGAUGAUAUACACUUUCUUUGGAGGCAUGCUAGCAGUGUUGCUCAAUAAUUAUUCAGUGUUUUGUUACAAAUUUUUUUAAAAAUAAUCUUAUAAAAAUUUUAAUUGGUCAAAUGAUCUUUUUAAAAAAUUUUUAGUCAACUAAUCUUGUUCUUAUCAUAGCAGAUAUGGUGAAUCGUUUGCUAUAUUUAGAAAGUGGAUUUAUUUAUCGCAUUUAAAAAGUGGUGCAUCAUUUAUUAUUUUCGAAAUAUUAUUGCUGUUUUGUAAGUGGGUUAUUAAAAUUUUUGUUUAAUUAUUAAGAUUAUCAAAUAGGUUGUUAGAAUUCUUUUGGACCGAAUUAUUUAAAUUUUUAUAUAAUUGUUAGAAUUAUAUAUAAGUUGGAAAGAAAAAACUCUGAUCGAUUUACCAUUUUUCAAUUGUUCAAAUUAUAACUUUUAAAGUAUCAAUUUCAAAAAAAAAGGUCCUAUUACAUAUCUCCGUUUCAAACGACAACGCGAGGCCAUUAGCUCCACUGGUGUGGGGUCCGAAUGAUCCCCGCUGAAAACUGAAAACUUUCUAUUUUGCUUAAAAUAAAGACGAACUAGUCCAAAAAUAGACCUAUCAGUGACAAGUUUGGGCUCGGACAAAACCCACCUAUAUAUGGGCCCGGCCCAUUAAAUACUCAAUCGACAGGCCUUCGUUGGGACUACGAUCCGGGCCAGAAGCGCUUGCACCGUCCGAUGGCCGAGUCUCGGCGAACUUCUUUUUAUUUUAAGGUAAAAAUGCAUGGAGAUUCCCCCACUUGUAGCCCAUUCCAGCAUAGGCCCUUCAACUUUCACUUUUUUAAAAAAAAAAUUUAAUUAACACCUUCCUUAACUUUUUUCUUUUUUCCCAUUUAAGUUAUUUUAAUUAACUGGACGUAGAAAUUCGAAGUGAAUUAAAUAGCUCUAUCAGAUAUUAACUACUGCAGUUUCAUUUGACCAAAAACUACAUAUAAUCAUUUUAUUUAGUAAAAUGUUAACGAAUUAAUAAAAUUUUCAACAUAUGUAACUAAAAUCACUUAAUUUACAAGGGAAAAAAAAAGAAUAAUCAAACAUAGUAAAGGGAGUCUUUAGAAUGGCAAAUAGUUGAGGUCUUUUAUUCAUCUUUAUCCUCUUACUUAUAUAUAUAUAUAGAACAUUUUUUUUUAAGAGAAAAGCCCAGCACAAUUUACAGCGAGUGACGAGAACAAAAAUCGACCUGACUUAUUAAGCGUACACUGAAAAAGUCACCACCAAGUGAGUGGAGACAACGCAUACACACCUUAACGCAAGUGUAUACAGCGAAAAAUCCAACAAACUUGGUCCCAUUAAAGAUUAUGCCAGGAUUUCUCCUUCCAAAGUUGUUUUCUCACCAGAUUUUCAUCAUAACAAAAACAGGAGUUUCGAAGUGAACCUUUUGCUUUUGAGAACAUGGGGAUAGUUUCAGCACCUUGCUACAGAAACGGCUACGCACUUUUUAUCCACCAACAAUUUUCUUGCUGCUUCCUCAGAGAUGUUUGGUUAGAAAUAAUUAAAAACAUAAUAUAAUUCGAAAUAUAUACAGUUAAAAAAACACAACAAUCACAACUACAUACAACUUGCUUUAUUGGAUGCAGUCAAAACAUUUCAAUUAUAAAUAAUUUAUUUAGUUGCAUGCGAUUGGAAAUUGCUUUUGUAAAAAUUUAUCACUUCGUAUAUUGAGCAGUGAGGAAACCUCCACCAUAGAGGGGAAAAAAAAAUUUGUUUGAAAAGUAACUACUGCAGUUGAACCGCGGUUCAUUUGAACAUAAUUUCAACUGUUGCAGUCGAACCACCUGAUGCAAUUCUAACUGGAUCGGCUAGAUUCAACUGCAUCAAACUAGAUGCUAGAUUUGAAUAUAUAUAUAUAGUUGGAACUACAAUAUAGUUAUCGCUAAAUGCAACUAAAUAGUCACUUAGGCUUCGUUUGGUUCGGAAUUAAAUAAAAACUAGUUAUUCUAGGGAUAGAAAUAAGUUUAGGGUUAAGGUGGGGUUAGAGUAAUUUUGUAUUUGAUUGAGAAUUGAGUUUAGUCCAGGUAUAAAUAAAAUAGUGUUUGUUUGGAACAAGUAGAAUAAAAAGAAUAGUGGAUAGUUAUAAAUAAAAAAUAAUAAUAUUGCCCCAAUUAUUAUAUUUAAAUUUAAAUUUCAAAAUUAAAUAAUUUAAAAUAAUAAUUUAAAAUUUAAAAUUUAAAAUUUAAAAUUAUUUUUAAAUUUCAAAUUUAAAAAUUUAAAGUUACAAAUAUAAAAUAUCAAAUUUAUAAUUUAAAUAAUUAAAAAUAAUAAUUUAAAAUUCAAAAUUUAAAAUUUAAAAUUAUUUUUAAAUCUCAAAUUUAAAGUUACAAAUAUAAAAUACAAAAUUUAAAUUUUAAAUAAUUAAAAAUAAUAAUUAAAAAUUUAAAUUUUAAAAUUUUUAAUUUUUAAUUUUUAAAAUUAAAAAUUAAAAAAUUAAAAUUUAUAUUUAUAUUUAAAUAUUAAAUAGGAAUGAGAUUAACUUAAUCCCAAUCCUAUUCCUGAGGAGGGGUGGGGUCAGCUAACCCCACCCUAAAUAGGCUAUCCCCAAAUAGACUAUCCCAGCAUAACCCAUUUGGGAUGGAGUUAGUUAAUCCCACCCCUCCAAAUUCUUGUUUGGGGUUAAAGGGGGAUAAAGAGUUAUCCUCCCCUUUAAUCCCGAACCAAAAAAAGUGGCUUCAAAAAAAAAAAAAAAAAAGGUUUUAGGCCGAAUCGCAAUUUGGAAGCAGAAUGACUAAGGUUAUAUUUUGCAGAUUAUUCCUGGCUACCGUCCCAUCCUCACUUGGGGAAGAACUUCACUCAAAAUUCUCCAUCUGUUGACAAAGAGAGAUAUUUUAGUUCCUUCCGCAUGCAUACACAAGUUGAUAAAAAGCAUCAAUUCCAGUUUUCUGGUCUGAAAAGAAGUUUAACAAACUAGAAACUCAGGUACCAUCCUCCAUUUCUAUAAAGAAACUUGAAAGAACUGUAGUUAAGAAAAUUUUGAGGAAAAAGAAUUGAUGCCUUUUGAGAGCACACAUGACAUGACACCUUCCUGAGGCAUGACCCAAAUUGGAAGAUGGUGGGAUACUACAGGAGAGAUCACUACAACUGCAUAGCAAUAAUUGCGCUUUGCACAUUAAUAGACCCCUGCGCGCAUAUUGCUUUAUUAUGUGAAAAGGAAGUAGGAUGCCUCUCCUUUUCCAUCCUGAUCAGGUUCUGACUCCCCAACAGUGUGUAUUCUAUUCUAUCCUUCCAAACUAUACUUCAAUAAAGAGUGCCAAAGUUGGCAUCAUCAUUUCAGAAUAGAAGGAAAAUAUAGAGAGAAUUGAGCUUCCUGUUUGUCUUCUCCACACUAUUUUAUUUUCUAUAACAGGAAGAUUCCGCCUGCGUGCUCUUAGUGGUUCACAAAGGCACUACUGAGACAUUGUCCAUUAUAAGACAUGAAUGUCAACUACAUUGAAUUCAUAAAAAGUAUAAUGAGUUACAAGACUAUUAUAUGUACUUUGAGUGGAGAGUGGAUACUGAAACAGGGAUGAGAAAAUAAUAAGAAGAAUAAUGCAAUGUGAUGGCAUCCCACUCUAACAUUACUAACAUACUCUUUAUAAGCUUAACUGUCGACCAUAGUAAAAAGCGCAUUGCACUACAUAAUGCACUAACCUUUGCGGUGACAGAUCUAGAGCCCUAUGCGAUAAGAUAAUUACCAUGCAGGUCGCUUCAAGCAAUUGAAAAUGAUUCUUUGUUGUGGCAAGUUUUUUUUUUUUUAAAAAAGAAUAACUGAAUGAGUCAUCUACAUAUAUUACCGAAAAACUCUUCGACAAAAUUUGGUUACCCUAGAGGUAGUUUCCUCUUCCCACUUUCCAAUAUGUCACAGCAUUUCUCUCCACUACCUCGAAACAGAAAAGAUCCAGAAUAGACAUAACGGGCAUCAGUGCAUACAGAAGCUAGUACGGAGACAGGUCUUGUUGGACCAUUAACAAAGAGGACUAUGACCUAUGCAAAAUGAAAAAUAACCUAACAAGUGAAAACGAUGUCCAAAUCUAGAGGUUGAUAUACGACAUACGAUGGUAAACACAACCAAAGCAUUGUCCAAGGAAUUAGUAACACCACGGUGUGGGCCGGCUAAGAAGAGAUAAGCAUCUAAAGAUAUUAGAUAUCAACUGAACUGACAAAGUUCUUUACCUACUGAUUCCUCUUAUAUUAAAAAAAAAAAAAGGACCACUCACAAGCUUCCCACAUGAUAAUUUGUUCCCACUACCCACUAGCUUGUUCUCCUUUUUAAGGAAAGCAAUCGUAACCCAACCGAUCCUCCAUGAUGUCUAAUACCACUUCUUUCAUUAACACUAGAAGAAUGACAAGCCUUGAAAGAGAAAAUGAAGAGAUGGAAGAGGUAUCAGUAAACAAGGAGAGAUCAACACCACAUACCAGUGAAAUUUAUACAGGUGAAGCCACUGAUAAAAACUCUCCUACAUGGUUGAAUUUGACUCUAGGGGGGAACUUAUCAUCAACGGCUACGGACUGCUUAAAUUCCCAGCUGAAAGCUGCAGCUCCUCUGAAGGUGUUCUCAUGCAACUUCUGCACAAGGAAGUUCUUCAGCUCACAGGCAUUGGGAGGGCAUCAGAAUGCUCACAAGAGAGAAAGAGGUACUGUAAAAAAAUCUAGUAAUCCACAAAGAAUGAUGAGGGGAUUACCUCUUGAUGCUGCUUUUGUACGUUCUCUACGACCUCAACCCCAUUCGAUAAUUCAAAAGGCAAGCAGAGAUAGAGGGAGUGGACCAGCGGUAAGAUUUGAUGAAACCAAAAUAGGUCUGACGGCAUUACACUAUGAGGAGGCCACAACCUCAGCAUGGCCUGGAAGUUUUCGGAUGACUUCGCAGGAAUCUUCUGCUCAAUCAACAGAGCAAAAUAAGCUAGAUUUGAGUCUUCGGCUUUGAUAUAUUUAUAAUUUAUCUAUCCGGUUCAUUUGCAGGUUGCUAAUUUACUCUUUUGCUCAGAGUUGUAAAUAAACCAUUUCAAAAAGCUACCGAAGUAGGCUUCAGUCCAACAGAUAGUAAAUUACAGUUGAAAAGACUAGUAUGAAUUCUAUGAAGACAACUGGUAGUAAAUGUAGAUAAAAGCGACAGUCCAAAUGCUUUUAGGCAAUGCAUUCUUUAGAAUGAUGUACAUCUUGAUUUACCAUUCUGCACUUUCCUCUAGUAGAGUAGAUUUGAAUACAGUCUGAAAGAGUAUCCACAUGGAAAAUUAAUUACAAAAAGUAUUGAAUUCAAGCUCCCCUGCAAUGAAGAUUCAAAACCUAUGCAACAAGAAAACAAAUAAAUCAUAUAGGAAUCUAUUUGCAUCACUACCCUGUAAUUUAAAUAGAGUACGAAUAUCCUGAUUACCACAAAUAGGCAGUAUAGAAGAUAAGUUAAUCAGAUAUUAAUUUUCCAAACACACAAGAUUACAGCAUUAAAUCCUAAUUUUAGGUGGUUUUAUACUACUAUUGUCUGAUGAAACUAUUUGAUGCUCUUUCGGCUACAUAUUAAACAAUCAGCUGCCAACAAACAUCCUAACCCCUUCCCUAUUUUGUAUACCAGAAAUGCAGCUUUAACUCGAUGGACAAAGGUCAAAGCCCCUCGGAUUUUUUUUUUCCAUCAUAAGAUUCUGCUGUUAAUGAGCAGAAGAAAGUGCAGUGCAUAAGAAAAACCCAACUUAGAAAGCCACUCAACAGGAUUUUGUAAAACUACAACAUAUUAAAUAACAUAAAAUUCUACAAAAGUUUGACUUCAUCUUGUAUACAUGCCAUCAUGCAAGUGUGAUGCAUGCAUGACCAUGAAAAUUGCUUUGAUACAACAAUGCAAUAAGAAAGGAAACACCAACAGAAAUAUCAGAGGAAAAUAGGGAGAGGAAAAGGAUAAUAGUAAGCAAUCUGUUCAAAACUGAAGCCAAAUCAAGAACAAUACCUAGCUCUGAGCAAGUGGCUUUACAUAAAUACCUGGAAGCAGAUUCCACCAUGAAGAGGCAAGCGUUGCAAGAGAGGGGGAAUUGCAAAAAGAGAAGGCGACUUGAGGAAUGUUCACACAAAGAAGAUGAUGUUUGAAUACUUUACGCAACUUUUAUGCUGAACUCAGUGUUAAUUCAUGAGCAGCUGGCUUCAUCCGCUUCUAUGAGUUUACUUGGUGGCAAAACAGCAAACUGACGCCAAUUUGAACUUCUUGGUGGCGAAACAGCAUGAAAUGCAGACUUCAUCAUUCUUCAAUUCUAAAAACACAGGGAAAAAUCACCAAAACAAGACGAGUACAUCGAUCAUACAGAAAUCGCUCAUGAAACACACUGAGAAGCUCACUUCACCCUCUGCUAUGAAUUCAGUGAUGAAACACCGUGAAAGACCGGUUUUCCGGGAACACGUCAUCUUCUCUCUCCAGACUUUUCAGAGAGUUAAGUCCAGAAAGAGGGUUGGGGUUGGGGGAGGGGUGGUGGUAAGAGGAGUGAAACUCAUCUUCCCUCUCUUGACUUUUUGGGGCCAUGUCAGAGGGGAAUCACUGCUGUUGAUCAGUUCAUAUGCUCAAAUCUUAAAGCAACAAGGAUGGUGGUGCUCCCCAUCUCACGCAGAAUUUUAUUUUAUUUUUGAAUACGCAGGAACAUGAUAGUUUUCACGAUCCAACUCAGAGUUUAGCUAUUUUCUGUGUUAUGAGUCCACAUGAUAAGGCUAUGGACAUGCAGGUUAUUCUAAAAAAUACAUUAAAAAUAAAAUUACUGCCCACUAAUUUUAUAAUAAACUCAUAUAGAGGAAAAACUCUACUAAGAAUCAUUCUAGCUGUUACAUUGUUGUGCAGUUUAUAUUGCAAGUUUGACUUGGAAAACUUUGUAACCGGUACACUAUGUGAAGGCUACAACUUUCAUUUCUUAGUUCCAUGCAGCCAAAUGAAACCUCUUUGGGGACAAAAAUACAAAGUUUCCAAAUACGUACAGUGGAAUAUUGAAUGACUGCACCAUGAGAUCUCCUGGUCGAGUACAAUCCACUCAUUUCAUAACAUCUUGGGCCUAGAUUAAUGGCCUUCAACCAUUACCUACCACUUUUUAACUUCCUCAGUUCACGUGCUAUUGCCUUUUGCCUGCUGCUGUUCGCAAAUUCUCUAGAACUUCUGCAAUCAUUUUUUAUGCCAUUGUUCGAUCCAGUUUCACAUGUUGCACCUCUAUCAGAAGAAAUAGGUGUAUCAGGAUAACUAGUUGAAUUCUCUGGUAUUUCCUCAUUGGACUCGAAGACUUUUCUUCCUCUUCCACUGGUAAUUUUCUGGUUCGGAAUGAUAAAAGCUCCACUGUUAGCAGGAUCGGUAAAGGAGGGUUCUUUGCCAGAAACUUUAAAGCUGUGACGUGCAUUCUCAAACCAUUUGCUAACCUGUGAGAGCAUAACACCUUAUAAGCAUAGCAGUAAGAGACCACAACGCAAGAGAGAGAGAGAGAGAGAGAGAGAGAGAGAGGACCUGACGAAAUGUCAGCCCUAAUUCUUGUGCCAGACUUUCCUUUUCCUCACGGGUAGGAUAUUGAUUUGCUUCAAAAGAUUCGACAAGUUUCUGGUUUGAAAGAAACAAAAAUGAGACUAGUAAAUACAGUAUUUCAUUAGCUAUUAAAAUGCACCGUGCAAAGUAGCUCCAACUAUCAACACACAAUACAUCAUCUUACAAGCUAAUCGUCUCAAUCAAGAAUUUUCAAGAACAGCAAGUAAAUGAUCAAGCAUAUGGAACAAGGGCUUAUUCACAAGGCAAGCAACUCAGAUUGGAUAGAUUUGUAACUCAUUAUCACAUUUUAGCUAAAAAAACACAAAACUGUUCCAAGAUUUGACCACAACUGAAUAUUUGUUCUGGCCAGAAAUGAUUAAGUUUAAUCUGGAACUACCUUCAGUUUUGCACAUAGGUCAAUAACUCAUAAAAGUUUACCAAAGCUGUCAAUGAUUGCCUUUAAUUGAUCAAAAAAUAAUGCUGCAGAGUAAAAAUGGUAAAGCAAUCCUUGAAUAUAUUAGUGAAUACACAUGGUAAAGAUCAAGCUCCUGCUUUGGUGAAUAUUUUUAGCAUGCUGUUAUUACAUAUGCAAUAUCUUAAUCUUCAAUAGGGCGGGGACAUCAGAUUGGCCUAGACUAAAAUCCCUAGCUUUAAAUUUAGACCAGCUAAUCCAUAAAAAACAACACAAAGCAAGAGAAUAUGCUUAAAAAAUGUCUGACAACUUCUUAGACUAGCUUAUCUUUAUCCGUAUUUUCUUACUUGAUAUUUGUCAAAAGAAUAAAUAGUAUCUGGCAUUCAAACUUAUCAACUUAAUUAAAGCAUAAGAAGGAAGAAUCUAGGACACUCAAAUUGCAAUACCUGAGAGAAUACUCGACCAUAUUGCCUUUCUCGGGAGGGAGCACUUAAAUCUGAUCUAUCCUCUUUUUGCUUGCCCUUAACCCUCCUAGACCUUUUCUGAUUCUCAGUUGAUUGAGGAGAUUCAACCGAGUCUUCUCCGUCAUCUUUUCUUCCUUUCUUCAGGAUACUCUUUUCUGACCAAUCUUCAUCUUCACUUGAAUCUGAAGAUGCUUCACCAUAGGCCUCCUUGAAAAUCAGAAGAUACAAAAACAUAAGUAUAUGAUGAACUUAAGAGUCAAGCUAGUUUUACGUAUCAUAAAAAUAAUAAUUAUAUAAUAACAAGAAAGUAGAAUCCUGUCCAAUUGAGUACUUCCCCUCUUUAUUCCUCUCUAUUUUCCCGGCAGUGACAAAAUUUUUGACCCACCUUGGAAGACUUUUCCGGAGCCGAAAAUACUAAUUUGCUAUUUCCUAUUGCUACCCGGCGAACAUAAUGCAUAGAAAGAACUGAUUAGCAAGGCCAAAUAGGAUUAACUAAAAUUAAAAAACUUAGGUGGGCUAGAAAAGCUCAAAAUUGGGUCAGAAGGGCAUAUAAUAAGGUGGCCUUGAUUUUUCACUCUCCUUUUUUUUGUUUGUAGUUAAAAGUUAUAUUGGCUGUUUUGUUUUAGGUAGUUUCACUUUUUUCUGCUGAGGGUUACAAAAAGGAUUAAUGUUGACGAGCCCAACCCAAGGCCAAACCACCAAAAGGAUAAAAAAGACCCAAUAUAUCUCCAUGACAUAUACAAAAAACUACCAACAAAUAUAUGGAUGCAUCUUACAUCAUAUAGCUUCUUGUAGUCUAAAUGCUCACGCUGUCUUUUCCCUGGAUUUGGUAAAGGACUCCCCUGGCCCAGCUCGGGUUCCAUUAUAGAUCUUUGCUCACCAUGAUGGUCGAAUGGCUUAUCGUUGGGAAGUGCUGAAACUUCAUCACCAACUGAAGCUUUGACAAUCUCAGAACAAAAUUCAUCCGAGUCAGAAGUAAAAUCCGAUUCAUCUGAAUUUGAUUCCUCUUUCUGGCUGUCUUUAUCUGGAUCUGGACAAUCGGGAUCAUAAUCGUCAUCCUCUGAAUCAUCAGAAGGUAAUCCCGUGUAAUCAUAUUGCUUGUUAGGAUUAGGGUUCGAAGGGCCUGAACCCUCAGAUGAGGCAGUGAAAUCUGAUUCAUCUGCAGAACUCGAUUCUUCUUCUUCUUCUUUGUCGUCAUCUGAGUGAGUUUUAGGGUUGCUUGGAUCAUAAUCACUGUCCUCUGAAUCAUCUGAAGGUAAAUUGGACAUAUCAUAAUUUGCAGUACCAUUGGCAAUAGCAGCUGCCUCAGGAAAAACUUUCUACAAAAAAGAGAUGUGACUGUGAGCAGAAAAACAGCUACAUAGCCCUAUGAAAAUGGGUUAAUAACAUCAGGGGCUUUCAAAAUAGUCGUCAGACCCUUAUAUUGGUACAAUCGGCUCCCAAAGUUUUAAAUUCUGUUGAAAUCUUGAUCUUUCCAGUAAUUUGCUUUAUCAAGAUGGACAGAAAUACCCAAGUAAUCACCAUGUAAGUGACUUUUCGGACUUCUCUUCGGGUGAUUUCUUAGGAAUUGCAGUCCAAUUUAAUGCAGGAAGUUAACUGAAAAAUGAAAGGUAAAACUGAAUGCCAAUUAUGGGACCCGAUUGUAAGAACCUAAAUUUUGGUGACCAAACCACAAACUCCUAAAAGUUUGGAGAACCCUGGUGUGAUUUACCACUUUAGAAAUUGUACCAUGAAUAUGUACAUCUCAGAAAAAAAAAAAAAAAAAGAAAAAAAAAAGAAAAAAAAAAAAGAGAAGAAAGUGAUCAUUCCACAAAAGGUGUAGGUUACAAGAUAAGGUUUUUUUUACCUCCCAUGAGUCCUCAAUUGUGAGAUCACUUCCUUGAGAUUCGUUAAGUAAGUCAAUACAAUCUACCUUGCAAUCGCAUGCUGGGCACAACCACCCUUCAUCCCCUGGAGGUACUGGGAAAAAGCAUUUAAUUAGUUAGUUCUACUUUUACAGUGCUUUACUACUGAAGCUAUCACUCUAGACUAAUAGGAUGGAGAACUCCUCAACUGCAGGCCCUUGUGUAUAGACCCCUUAACUUUAUUUUAUUGGUUGAUGGCCCCUCACCUCUUAAUUGCCUUGAUUUGAGUUAUUCUGUUGGCUAAAUUGGGGAUUCAAUUCAAAUUAACGGUUCCAUUAGCUAUUGGUUGUGAACAAUUAAAUCAUAAAAAGAAAGUCAAAGUUCCGUCAGCUAAAAAGCGGGUAAAGUUAUUCAAUGUAACGAAAUCACUGUUACAUUUAGAAGAAUCCCCACUACUGCAAAUCAGAAUAAGCAAAAGUUGAGGGGUUCUUGGAAACAGAUAAAUAGAAGUUCAGGACUCUAUUUCAAAAUGGCCUAUAGUUGAUACGGUCGCCAUACACUUUUACCAACUAAGUGGUUGUGAAAUAAGAAGAUCAUGAAUUACUAUUUUCAGUUAGUAAUGGCGGAUUCAAGCACUUCUGAUGAAACCCUCUUUCACACGCUCCAUCACAAAGGAUGAUAUCAUUAUUAACAGAUACAUCCUUUGAACCACAUUUGGCACAAAAUAUCUGCAAGGAGAUGACAAAUUGCCUUUUAUUAAGGGUAUUCAAAGUAAAAUUAAUCCUCCGCUCCAGGAAAAGAACAUGUACAUUUGAUUAGGGCGAGCGAGGUCACAUACAUCCUCACUGGAAAUUUCUCCCUCUGAAUCGAAUAAAGACUCGUCGAACUUUCCCUCAGAGAUUAACGUAUCUAGAUGCUUAAAUGUAUCGCGUAAUCUCAGCUUACACCGAAGUAUUUCACUCUUAGCUCGUUCAAGCUCUUUCUCAGGUCUAAUCUUCUCCAAGCUGCAGUUUAGAGAAACAGUUAUGAACUGUAAAAAAGAAAAAAGAAAUUGUCGAAAAAGCAUUUGGCAACGGAAUAGAAAUAUGCUCAACAGUUAUAAAAGCACAUAAAAGUGACAGGAUGACACGAAGAUGCCCUCAAAAUGUAAGUACAUGGAAAAGCAGCAAAUGCAGCUGCACUCACUAAAGCAUAGAAAAUGCUUCUUCUUAGAACAUCAACUACAAACAAACCGCAUUUAUUGGUUUAAAACGAAAUUUCAGCAUUUUAUAAUCAUGAAGGUAGAUAUUAUUCUAUGCAAUCAUGAACAGAGUGAAAAGAAUGUAUAUUCGUGAUCCGCAAUUUGAGUUUACUUGCUCAUGCAAAAACUCCUAGGAUCUCCAUACAUUUCAACACUCGAGAACAGCUCAAUGUAAACAGCUCUAAAGAAGCUCAACAGGGCUAAGAACUAAAUAAGCCAAAUAUAUCUUUGUCAAGCAGAAUAACUUCAUAAUUUCCCGUUUAUAAAGUACUGUAACAUGUUGUAUAGCUUUAAUGCGAACUAUCACUCACCUUAAAAUAUUAAAACGUGAAGAGAUUAUAAACAUGGACCCUCAUGCAAAACGUUAGAUCUUAGGAUUCAGCAAUUUUCUAAAGAGUAACAAUAUAAAGCAUAGGACAAAGAUUGCACAGAGUAUAUCAUGGAUGAAAUCUUUGAUUGGCAAAAGCAUACCUUUGUCCUUUCCAUCCUUCGCCAGAAUAAGCAUCAAUCAAGUUCUGCUCGUAGUUCAUUCGCGUCAGCAAGUAUCUUAUUCUCUUCCUCGUUCUCGAUAACUCGUCGUUUGAAGCUCUCUUUGCUCUCCCCCUCUUCGCUCUCCUCUUUACUACCGGAUUUACGGAAGAACUCGGUGUUUCAACGUGAGUCUCGCUUUUCCCAUUCAACAUAGAUCGAAGAACUCUAACACCAUCCAUAGAAGAUCGCAAAGGAUAUCUUCUACCUUGGAUCUUUUGAGAAAGUUUCUUACGCUUCCGUACUGCUUUCUUGGAGUUCUUUCUUGCACUCAUGUCGGCUUUUUCAGAUCCAGAUGCAACUUUCUUGCCGAGCUCAGCUUCUUUAGCGUGUUUCCCUUCGUUGACGCGACCAAGCUCCGCAGAUUCUUGAAUCGCACAUUCUAACUUACAAUCUUGCUCUGGAUGUUUUGAGCUCUUAUCCGAACACGAAUUUACUAGAGGAACAGCAGCAUUGUCCAUUUGCCCUGCAUGAGAUAGUUCGUGCUCACAAAAUUAAUUCCACAGAAUAUAAAUAUCUAUGUCUAUACCAUUCUUAUACGCAAAAGUGCUUAGUAGUUAAUUGUCACUCCUCUUUUAGUAGUUCUUGCUAUUUUACCAACCUUUCACAUACUACUUAUACGUUACUGACACAAAAAAGGGGGAAAAACAAAAGUAAGGAAAAUAACUACACUGGCAGAUAUUUCGACUUAGUCCCAAGAACCAAGAAGAUCAAAGAGAGUCAUUUUAACCUAUGAAAUGAUCUUCCUAACCUUCUUGUUUCAGAUACGCUGAGAAAAAAUGGAGUCAUUUUACGAAAAAGAUCGAGGAAACCUAAAAGAAAAUGACACUCUCGCAACGAACAACAAAGAAAAACACAAAGAAGCAAACCAAAAAAAAAAAAAGAACCGAUUAAAUCUACAAAAUUACCCAAAAACACCAAAAAAAAACAAACGAGAAGGGUGGAGCAAUUACCGAUCCUACAUCCAGAUAAAGAUGUGUAAAAUAGAGGUUGAGAGGAGAAGAGCGGAAACAAGAAAGAAACGAGUUAUCGAUCGAACGAGGAGAGCGAGAGCUAAAUUUAGUUCGGUUAGGGUUUGUCGCAGGACGCAAUUGAGCCUAUUUACGACCCCGCCGUUUGGAUCAGACCCAACCAAACUGAGCAAACCUAUAGUAAAGUUUUGUUUGGGAUUGCGGUGAGAUUGCAUUACGUGCGGUAAGAAACGACGAUGAAAAAAUACCCUAUUUGUUUCCGUACGUUUCGCAUUUUGCAGUUAGUCGGUUACGAUAUAUUUUCUGUAGUUCCACCAGAGAACGCAGAAACAGAUCACUAUAUGCUUUUUUUCAAUCCCAUUCUAUCUAAUAGCGUUAGAUAGACCUCAAUGCCAAACUAAGCCUUAAUUGCUUCAAAAACAGUAUAAUACCAUGUGACCGCAAUUGAUCCCAAGUCUCUCUCUCUCAAUAUAUAUAUAUAUAUAUAUAUAUAUAUAUAUAGAAUAUAGGUAUAAAUAUGGCAAAUAUUAAGAUGGUAAAUGUUGGCUACAUAAUUUUAAUUUGAUGCUAAAAAAGUACUGCAGUUUAGUUGGUCUGUUUGAUCUGCACAGUUUUUUAAUUCAUGAAAUCAAAUCGAGAAAAAUUACUGAUAAAAUUAAAAUUUUCAGCUAGUUAAAUUAGUUCAGUUGGGUCACUCGGUGUAGACCAAAUAGUACUAACACCUAAAUAGAAAACCACUCUUGUGUCUUCUAUUAUUGUAAGAUAUAAGAAGAAGAAGAAAACAAAAUUUUUAAUCCAAAAGUUAAAAUUUCAAAUUAUUUAAAACUAAAAUUUAUAAAAUGUGAAACUGUAAUAAAUUUAAAAAUUUAAUUAAUAUCUUUGCGGGAACCGGGGAUUCCGGUGCAAAGGACACUUGGAGGGAACUAGUGUGUCUCGGUUCUCGAGUUGAAACAAUAAAGGACACCUUAAUUAAAUUGCGUUAAUUACCUCCUUAUAUUUUACAUUUUUACUACUAAAAAAUAGAACUAAAAAUUUGAGAUGAUUAUUAGACUUAUUUGAGAAACUUCAUAGAAAUAAAUUGGCAAAUAAAAUUUAUAGAAUUAUAUAAAUUGAAUAAAAUUAUUCAAUCAACUAUUAAUUUUUGAUAGUAUUAACAAAAUAAAAUAUCUCGUUUAUCUAAUUUUUUUAUUUAUUUUUAAUUAAAAGUCAGAUAGAUAUUGAAAUGUAAAAUAAUAUGAUAUUUUUUAGAAGUUUCACAACUUAAUUUGCUGAAAUCUUAAAUUCUUAGACCUAUUUGAAACAAUGACAAAAUACAGUAGGCUAAUCAUUUCUCAAAAAAAAAAAAAAAACAGUAGGCUAAUCAAUGCAAUUUUUAAUGCAAAUGGGUAAAUACAUAAAUUGUAAGGAAAGUUUUUAUAAUUUAGCUUUAAGGGCACGUUUGGUUCGCACUAUGAAAAAUUAGUAGGAGUAAAAAGAUAUCCGAAAAUCUUAUUCCUAUCCAUCAUAUUAGUAAGAAUGUGGCAUUCAUGUGUUUGGUUCGCACGGUCAUAUAAUUUAGUCAUGUUAUUUAAUAUUAUAAAAAAUAUACAAUUAAUUUAUUUAUUUCUUUAAUUAAUUUUAGAUAAUGCUACCAAAAAUUUCAACAUCUUUUUAGAAAAAAUGGAGAGAAAAUAUAGGUUAGAGAGAGAGAGCAUAAUUAAAUAAUAGGAAGAGAAAUAGAAUCGAGAUUAAAGGGAGUGAGGGAGUUGAAAUUUUAGAAAAAGAGGGGGAGAGAGAGCUUAGUUUAGAGAGAGAAAAAGAGUUGAAAUUUAGAGAGGAAAAGAUAAGUUUAGAGAGAGAUAUGAGGUUAGAGUGUAAAGGAUAAUAAUACUAAUUAGCCGGCGGGUAAGGAGAAAGAAAGAGAUUAGACAUAUUAUGAUUACCUAAUUUAUUAAUAUGAGGAUACCCACUCUCCCGCAAGGGAAUGAGAUUAGUACUUUGGGAUGAAUCUCAUUCCCAAGUGAAUCUAAUAUUACCAACUAGAUUACUUAGUGCCUUUAGCCAAACACCGUCAUAUUUUUUUAUUCCCAUUGCAUUAUUAGGAAUCUUAAAAAGAUAACGCGAACCAAAAGCACCCUAAAGAAAAGGUGCUUAUGAUGGUAUGGAAGAAUCCAAAGAAUUUACGAGGAGAAAUUGGACGUAGAAGGUUGAAGCACGUAGACCAUUUCAACUUUGAUCCUCAAAUUGUAAAUUGAUGUAUCUGGGUUUUAUGGAUUUGUAUCAAGUUGCAAUCUUCACUCAUUAAAUUGGAAACUAUAUUAAAGUGAGAGAUGUCUACGUAAUCGCCAUAUAAAGCAACUUUUGGAUAUCUCCAAGUAUGCAGUGGGUUGAUGACAUUAUUAGCACGGCAUUAACACAAAAUCAUUGUUCUUUACCAAGUUGUUGACGUGACGUAAAGAAAAUAGAUGGUCUUCAAACAACACUACUCAAAAUAGUUACCAAACCAAGUGCUGUUUCCACCCUAGAGUAUAACUAUACAAACAAACAGAGAGAGAGAGAGAGAGAGAGAGAGAGAGAGAGAGAGAGAGAGAGAGAGAGAGAGAGAGAUCUAGCAGAUACAAAACACUAGCACACCAAACAAAGGGUUACCACAGGAUCCAACCAUUUUGGUUUGCUUAAGGAUGCACAGGAAGAUUAGGGUGCUAGCAACAUGUAGGACUGACCCCAGAAAAGGUCAAAUCUUAUCUUGCCUCUUGAGGUGAUCAUGCUCGAAGCCACAUGAUCUUUUAUUUACUUCAUGUAGGCAACAUUUCAUCCCAGCAAUAAGUGUUCAAGAAAAAAUCAUCUUCACCGGCUGUUCCUACCCUCAAUCAUGGUCACCUCACUAUUCCAUUCAAAAACGGUUUAACAUCCAGAUAAAUGCUGAAUAAGUGAAUAUACCUGAGCUUGAACUACUACUAAUAUGCCAAACACUUAACAUGCGACUCCAAUUUACAGUAAUAACAGCGAGAAGAAGUAAAAUGGUAAUCAUACUUUCUAUUGUACCAAUAUUUUGGGGCCCAUAAUGAAACUAUGCAGUGCAAAUACAAGGCCUCCAAAUGGUUUGACGAAUAGCCUUUUGGAAACUUCUCAAACAAUGUAAUCACUGUCAUGAGAACCAGAUCCUGCAUCAGUAGAGAUAGACAAUAGCUGCAUCAGCUCAAGCCGAUAUUCCAUACCCCUGAGGUAGUGACCCAAUAGCAUGCACCUACAAUUAUCAAAAAUGCCAAAUUUGCGCCAAUUAAAAUGCCUGAUUAUCUAAUUUUAAUCGGGGUUUCCAAAUAAUACACAUCUUUACCAGAACAAGAGUCGAGCAAGAUAAUCCCGAGGGACUGAUAUGAGGGGUUGAAAAUGAAGGGAGGUGUUCUCCACAAGCUCCGCAUAGUCGUCCUUCCCGAAAUUGAGGGUUCCGCCUGUCGCAUUCUCCGACGGAGUAGGAGCCUUUGAAUGCAUCUUUGGAGAGAGAGUAGCAAGUAGACCAUGUGCAAUAGAGUGCAUAGCUUCUUGAACCCCAGAACAGGUCGGCUCUGAUAGUUCAGCUACCUGUGAAUAGAAUUGGUUGAAGUAGGUACCAAUUAACCAUAAUAAGAUAAUUUAUCCUCUGGUUGUUCCCUUUUACUGCAUGUUCAGCAUUUCGAAAAAGAACCUCCAACCCCUUUUCAUCCUCAAAACACCAUGAACCUUUGAUUGCUUCAAUGUGAAAUAUUUCUAUCAAUCAAAUUGCAGGUUUUGUUAAACUUAACAGCGGUACCAUUAAAUUCAACACUUGGUGCUCAGCAGAAGGAACUGUGAAUUUUGCUUAAGUUAAUAGCUGAUAGCUGAUAAAGCCAUUCAAGUUAACAAAACCCCCAAUAAAACUGAUGGAAAUAACUAAAGUUUAAAAAAAAAAGAUUUAAGUUGAGGCGCUGAUCAGAAAAAGUUAGGGGGGCUCAUUUCAAAAGUGCAGACAGUUGAGAGGAUUUCCAUACAAUUUUGAAUUAUGACACCUAAGCUUGAGACAUAACUGCUGUUGAUCUGUUGGGCUCAGAAGUUCUAGCAUGUGGUCCCUUCAAGUUUAUGACUGAGUUUUAGUUUUCUUACUAAGCAUGCAAUGAAACUUUAUUUGAAUCAGCAGUAAGGGGGCAAUAGAUUUUGAUAGUUGAGAGCCAAAAGCCAGUGGAUCAACAGAAUCACAAUUAAUAGAAUGAAAAAAUGCCCAAGAUAACCUCUAAUUUCUCUAUUUUCAUGUGUUACAUUAUUAAAUGAUCAUGAGAGGAAAUGUGGUGAAACAGUCAAAAAGAAAAGCAUAACUUAAUAGUCGGCAGAAAAAAAAAAACAAAUCUAUCUAAGAUUAAAUGAACUAAAAAGAAUCAGACCUUCUCAGGUUUUAGUGAUCUUAAGUAGUCCAACAAGUCAUUCUUUUCUUCUCCAACAAACUGUUGCAUCUGUAGGGCGGAGUUUUUUCUUUUGACUUCAUGCAAUUCCUGUAGCAUUGUGAAUAAAAACUUUAAUAAGUGGGAAGUUAAACGUAAGCAUAAAGAUACCGAUCCUCUUGGUACAAACUCGAUGGACCAAAUGUUUUUUGCAAAAGUCUAUGAGAGUCUUCAAAAGUAAAACGGAAAUAUAUCAUGAAAUCAAACAGUAAAAAAGAGAGAGCAAGAACACCGAGGAGAUUAAUUCAAACUUUUCAAACAGUGGAAAAUGUUAAUCAUCGUGUUUUAGUGAACGCAUAAAGAAAAUCAACAAAUGCUCUUAUCCAUAUCUAGCAAGGUGACACAUAAAUAAAUUAGCAAAACGAUACAGCAAGCCUGAGAAUGUUGAAACAGAAUGAAUAAAAUAUUAUAGGGAUAAACGAGCUUAGUAGUGCUAAUGCAAGAUGAAACCAUGGUAACCCAAUAAUGUACCAACAACAACAGAUGAACAAUGGAUAACUGCAAAUGACUCAACUAGAUUCAAGAUAACAAAAAUAAAUCAAGUUAAAGAAGAUAAGAAAAAGUACUUCAGUAAAAUACAUGAAAAGAAAGAUUUUCUAUUUCUGAGAAGCAGACAACGCUCAUGUAUCACAGAAAGAGCAGAAAAGUUAAGAUGACAGUAAAAACGACUUUUUCAGAACAAAAGCAAAAUUUGAAAAUGGAGGAUAAGCGCUCAACUACCUAUUAGGACAUGGCCUUAUCUAGAAUGGAUUUGAACAGGCCAUAUUAGUUUAACUCCAAAAAUCCAACUUUACUGAGAGGGAAAUAAUCAAAUGCAUAUCAGAAAUUUCUCAAGGAAGCAAAAUCUCCAUCUCUUAAACUUAGUGUUCAGAAAUGAAGUAUAAAAGAAAUGUGUAAAAUAAAGUAUGAUAAAAGAGGGGAAAACAUCAGCUCCAUCUGUAUUUCUAUCAAUACUGCAUCCAUAUCGUUUUCCAAUUUAAUACAAAAAGCAAAUUGCUUUUUGUGAGAGUAUGGUUCUACCUUUUUCAUAGAAUUCAAACGAGAUUGGAGGUGAAGAAUAUAUUCUUUCACUUCAGGAGUUAUGCCUCCUAGUUCUUCAAUGCCCAUAUUAUCACACAACUGCUCUUCAUUACUUUCGGUGCCAUAUAGCAUAUCUUCGUCCCCAGAAAAACUGAACGUUGUAGGAAUCCGAUCAACAAAGGCUCGAUGACUAUUAUCUUCUGUACUUUCUGUUUCCUGCUGUUCAGUAUCUUCUUCAAAAAGUUCUAGGUUUCUUUCAAAUGAUAGCCUAUAUUCGGCAUUGCGGAGGGUAUACCUGCAAAGUACAGAUAAAGUAUAUUUGAGCUCCUAUACUUUUCAGGAAAUACUACAAGAAUAAAAGAAAGAGGAGGGCGAAGUUCUGUUUGUAUCAAUAGAAUACAGAAAUAAACCGACAGAAAGUACAGAAAAGUUGCAAUAAGGAACAUGACGUUUGGCACCUCUCAGCUAAUUCCUAAGCUUUACAGAAUUACGAGGCUAUCAGUAGGGAGAAUAGCAUUGGACGAGUUUACAAAACCGUUUGAAAAGUUCAUAGUUUCAAAACAAAUCAUUUUGAUAUGCAUUUCGAUGGAUCUCCACCCCCUAACAGGGUUUCUGUUUAUGCAAACACCUUUCUUUACGCCUUACUUGAUCUAUAAGGACUCACAUUACAGGUACUGAGACAACAGCAUCAUAUGACAUAGCAAAUACUCUUAAGGAAUUGAUCAUUGGUUUCAUUUAAGAGAGAAACCAAGAAUUUAAGCAGAGUGGAAAAUCACUUUAAUGUCUUUGAUAAACACUGGAAGAAACAGUCCAAAUCCUCAACUUCGUCCGCCCCAAGGAUAAAUAACUUAUCCUUAUAAUAAAUAUUGAACUUAUCUGGGUGGUUUUGUUUAGUAUUAGAUCCUCCUGACCCCAUAACUGACUGAUGAAUUACAUAAAAAAGUAACAUUAAUCUCCAUUAAAAAAAAAUGGCAUUAGUAUAUUACUCUAUCCAGCUUCCUUGAACUUCUGAGCAUUUAAAGCUCUCAAUACUAUUUGCAUAUCACAAGGGACAGAAAUCCAAUUAAAGAUCUACCACUAACAAAGGUUCGUCUUUUUGUAUACUAUCUAAACUAAAAUUCAUAUUCAUUGUUGGAGAAGCAUACCCAGUCGUCAUCGAAGAUACCAAUAACUUGAAGAGGGGCUCCCAAAAGGCUUCUACCAGGACAUGAAACUGAUCAGACGGCAGUAAACCCAGCAUACCCGAGAUGGUCCUUUUCAUCGCAUCAAUUGUCUCAGCUGGUACGUCCUUUUGGAUGAUGCUCACAUCCAAAGGCUCUAUAUCUUGAAUCAAAUUCAAGAGAAUCGACUUCUACUAGCAAAAAAAUGACAAAAGCUUUGAGAAAUUAACAUGUAAUAAGAAAUUAACAUGCGUUACAGUACAAUGUAGAAAUUAACUGGAUGAUGGGAUCAAUACAAAGAUAUGCAUGUAUAUAGUGCAAACAGGGAAUUCUCCACUUGUGUGUAGUAAAUGCCAAAUUAGGAUCACUACAACAAGAUUAAAAAAACUGCAGCUGAAUAGCUUAAAAUUUAGAUAGUCCUAACUCCUAAGGCCUUACUCUUUUGGCUCUAGGAGCGUAGAGGCUAAUAAGAUGGUCUCUAUAGUUCUUUUAACCGUAUAAAAGGGCUCAAUUGUCUGUUUUACUUACUGCCCCAGAAAUCCUCUGGCAUGCCACGCAAAUUCUCUGUUUUACUUACUGCCCCAGAAAUCCUUUGGCAUUCAUAAGAAAGAGAAGGAAAAACAAGACAGACAGCUGCUUGCAUCUGAGUAGCUAAAUAUUUUGUUAACCAAGAGAAACUUUUUGAGGACAUGGCAAGGGCAGUUCGGUGAACUUGCUAGUUCACAAGCCUCUCAAAAUAUGCAUUAAGUAGUACAGUUAAUGCAUGCAGCCACAGGGGCACCUAUACUAUACAUAUCUAAGAGAAAGCACUCUACUUGAUAACAAGUUUUCCUGCCCAAUUUGACAACCUAAGCGACAAUUAGCAUUCAAAAAGUACAAAACCGGCCUCCGAGAAGUAUCGAGCAUGAAGAGUUCAUCAAAAUUACAUCUAAAAGUUACAAAUAGGAUUAUAAGCUGCUUCUCCCAAGUCUCGAUUUAGCAUCACAAUCCACAACCGGCAUUAAAUUCUUCCGAGUAGGGGAAAUUAAGACACAGUAAGAUCCAAUUAGGAGAGUAUUUCGCAUCUAAAUCAGAUUAAUUCCCGAGAAAUUUGGGAACCCUAAGUGAAAACAGUGCCAGAAAACGAAGGCGGGGAAUCCGAAGGGAGGAAUUGCUAGCGCUCACCUUGGAGGAGCCGCGAGGGGAGUCGCCCUCGGAAUCGAGCUCGUCGAAGGAGGAGGAGGAGGCGGCGGCGACGACGAUGGCGGCUGCGGAGGAGGCGAGGCGAGGGGGUUUCGACGAACGGAGCAGAGGAAGGGGAGGGUGCGCCGAGCGCGAGGAAAGCGACGAAGGGGGGAGGAGACGACGAGGUCGAAGGAGGAGCAGAGCCCGCGGGGAGAAAACGGCGACGCUCGGCAUACCCGUCGCCGACUUCGCCCUCUCCCCCUUCUCCCCCUUCCUCUACGCCGUGUUCACCACUCUUGCUGUUGUGAAAAAACUGGUGGGUGAGGUGCUAUUGCUAAGGUGGAGGUGCCGGGGAAGGCUUGGGGCCCGCAUAAAAUGUUCGGUGGGAUUAAAAUCCAGGUCGGAGGCUCACCCGUUGCCACGUCAGAGGAUUCGGGGCCCACCUUGUGACCGGCGCGAGCAGCCACCAGUUUUGUUGGACGGUUCUCUGCUCCCGCUGAUGAUCAUCAUCAGACGUCCGUUUUUGUGGGCCCCGCUUUCUCUUGGAUAUCUAACGAGUAACGGCCGUGCAUCUGCGUAGCAAUUUGGAUAAACUUCAAAUAUCUUUCAUAUAAUUUUAUAUUUUUUUAUUUUAAUAUUUUAUAAUUUAAAAUAUAUUAAUUUAUUAUUUUAUAUUUUUAUUUGUUUUAUUUUGUCGACUAUUUCAUUAGCUUUUUAUUAAAUCAUAUAUAAAAAAAUUUUAGAUACUCAUUUAUAAUUUAUUAAAUAUUCACUUUAAUACUCCUUAAUUUUAACUUUGUUACUGGUUUAAUAAAAAAAAUUAGUGAAGGAAUAACAAAAAUUAAAAAAAAAAUCACAUAAUACGAAAGUGAUAUACUUUAAACCACAUUGCACUAAAUUGAGAAAGUGCGAAACUAUAUGAUUGGUAUUUGAAGUUUUUUCUAAAAUUAUGUCAAGCAUACGGUGUAUUGAGUCCAUAUAGAUUUCCAAAUAAUAUAUAUAUAUUUUUAGAAAAAUAUAUGUGACUUGUCUUCCUAUUACAAACUAUAAUUUUUUUUAUAUAAAUAAACACUGCCUCUGUUAAUCGCAAAUUUUUGGAAUUAACUGAGACAAAAGCAAUAGAUUUGUGAAGUUUACAAACUUUUCUAUAUAAACUAUUUUGGAUCUUGUGCAUCGUGUAUGUUAUUCUAAUUUUGAUUGUAAGAGUUUGAUUGUCAAAAUUUUGAAACGGUGCAUGAAUGUCUGAAUACAAUUUAUAUUUGGAUCAUUUCAACUCGAAGCUUGAAUCACAACGUCGUCUGAAGGUUUGGUAUGCAUGCAUGGAUUUCGAGUUUCGUCGAGCUCACACACAGUCUCUCUCAAAGUUUUUUGAAUUCCAUGGUUGUAAAAAGAAUAUGAAACAAUCAAUAUUCUCAAAAACUCGAGUUACAAGAGCUCAAAUUAAUAAUUUAUCAUGUUAAAAAAUAUAAAAUAAUCAUUGUUAUCCACAAAGUUAUGCUAUCAAAAAUAAUAUUUUUAAUAGUUAUAGUUAGCAAUGGUUUUAUUUAUGUUAAUUUUGAAUUAAAAAGCAGGUCCACCAUGCGUAAGCAAUAAUUUCUCGAAUCCAAACCCGAGUUCUGAGUGGUAGUUCUAGUCCUUUUGUUUCAACAAAUAAAAUCUUCUAAUUGCUUGAUCAUCACAAUGGAAUAACUACGUUUAGCUACCAUAAUAUAAACAAGAAUUUUUAUUUUUCGCGACAAAGAAGAACCUAUUUGGUGCCCAAACAGGAAACCAGGAUAUUUCUAAUCAAUUACUCUUUCAGUUGGUUACUGGUUCUGAUAUGAUGUGGAAAAUUAGUUUUUUGUUAAAAUUUUAAUUUUCUUUUGUAUAGUAAGUAGACUCCAAAAUAUCAUAAUUCAAAUUUAUUAAAUUUGAAACCGAGUAUCUUAGACAGUAAAAAACACGGUCACAUUAAUUAGGAAUAGCAAAUGAUAGUGUUGGAAUCGGGCAAGAUCUAGUUGGAUCAAAUGAAGAAAAAAAAAUAAAUCUCUAACAUUUGCUGGAUUAACCAAAGCAGUUAAAAACUAAAAAUCACGGGUUGAUCCAAAAUGGAAUCAGGUACUCGUAAUUUUGAUCAUGAUUUUCAUUUUAUAAUAAGGGAGUUCCUACUGAUGUAGACUUUAGCAUAUACUCUGCUCUUUUAUUAUAUACAAAUUUCUUGGGCACUACCAAUGUAGACUUUAAUGUUAAAGGAGCAUGCAUAUACUCAAAUGGGUGGACACAAUAAUUUGACGUUAUAUGCAAAGGGUUAAAAUGGGUUUAUGAUUAUAUUAGUGUUAAAAUGGGUGGACACAUUAAUUAGAUAUUAUAUGCAGAGAGAAGGCAAAGGGUUGGGCCUUUUGGAUGUGUUUUUAGAUUUACGGUUUAGAUAGGAUUAAAUUAGGUGGAUGCAUUAAUUAGACGUUAUAUGUAGAAGGAAUGCGAAGAGUUGGUUUUAUAAGGUAAAAGUCCAAGAGUAAAGAAAAUACAACCACGUCGCAUUUCUUUUGGGGAUUAAUGUCACUAUUGCUUAGUAGUUCAAUGAAUCUACAUCAGUUCAUAUUAAACAGAAUGAAUUUAUUAGCAAUAAAAUCAAUUAGCGGGUAAAUAAGGACAGUUAGUUAGUACCAGGUGCGUUAUUUUGUUAAUUUGAUAUUUAGAUAAAGGAAGUAGUUUCAUUUAUUUAUUUAUUUAUUUAUGAGGAUAAAGUGAUGAAAGGUGACUUGCCACAUGGUAAAAAAUAUUGUGCUUUCAUUUGGAUUUAUUAUUUAUAGAUGUAGUUAACAUUCAAGUUGAAAAAAAAUGUGUUACAGCUAACCCAAGGUUGGCAAGUGAGGUUUACUCCGUGCACGGCUCCAUGUGAUAGACCAAUCACAAUAUGGCUAAUGUCGUAGCUUCUUAAAUUUAAAUAAUAAAAAAUUAUAGCAUAAAUAAUAAAAAUAUUUUAACAUUGUAAUAAUACCUAACUAUUGAAAUUAAAUAUUUUAUUUGAUAGCUUGUUCUUCACACGAAUUAACUAUAGACUUAUGGGGAAAUUAUUGGUUCUACCUGAUCAAUUGGAUCAGAUGGUAUAGAUUUUAUUAUCAUAUAUUUACCUUACAGUUGGAAUGCUUUUCUGAUAGGAAAUAUAUAGUUUUGAUCAGAUAUUUUUAAAUUAAAAUACUUUUGUAUUUUUUAAGUAAAAAAUAUACGAAAUUUAUGUGAGCUGUAGAUCAUUUAGAUUUACUAUUCAAUUUUUCAGUAUUUUGGUUUUACCAUCAAACAUUUUAUUUCAUUUGAUUUGAAUUAGUCAACUGUAUUUUGACUCUAGAAUUUAAACUAAUUAUUUACUUUAAUAAAUUUAUAGUGUUGAGAACUAUAUAAUAUUUUUUAAGUAAAAUUAUGAAGAUAAAUGAUACAUUCAAAUUUUAAAAUUAAAGUAUUAAUUAUUGAUUCAAAUAAAAUAAAUUAAAAAUUAGAGAGGAAAAUUAAAAUUUUUAAAAAUUAAAAAAUUCAAUAAAUAGCUCAUAAUUUAAGUAAAUUUUAUAAAUUUCUAAUUGAUUUUUUUUUUACUAUGAGCACUGCACACAAGAUCUCAUGAUUGCCUUUGAGGCCCAGAAUAUUUUAGACAAUAAUGGAGAGUGAAUGAGAAAGGUUUUUCCUUUUAAUUUAUAAAAAAAAAGGUAUAAUUUCAUAUCGAGGGAUAUGGCUUAGUGCACACUGCCGGCCACCAAAGAUGAUUCUUUUUUGUAUAGUAUUUGGAGCGCAUUAGGUCUCUGUUGCAUUAUGGGAAACACGCUAGCAUUACAUAUUUACAUAUUGUUUAUGUUUAUAAAAUAUAAUUAUAUAUUGAUUACUUUUAUUAUAGGUUGAUAAAAAAAUAAAAAUAAUUAUUUGUAUAUUUUAAUCAUUUAUACUCCACUUAUUCUGGAUGAGAGUUAACCACUAAUCUUAUCUGAGUGACUAGUGAAAAACAUUCCACUCGUAUGCAUUUUGAUUGAAAUAUAUAUACAUCGUAUUACUCAGAAAAAUAUAAUAAUUAAUAUAUCAAAUAUAAAAUUUAAUUAUUUUUGUUAUGUCUUAUUAUUAUUACUUUUUUAAUUUGUAAACUUCUUUAGGAUAGCCAAGCUGCUAUAGUCAAGGUAGCGUUUGGUUCGGAUAUAAGUAAAAACUAGUUAUUACAGAAAUAGAUAUAAGUAUGAGGAUAAGAAAAAAAGCGUUUGGAUAAAAAUUGAGUUGUUUCCGGGAAUAAGAAAAAUAGCGUUUGAAUAGAUAAUAUGGAAUAAGAAAAAUAGUAUAUAGUUUUAUAUAAAAAAUGAAGGUAUUGGUGGAAAUAAUUAUAUAUAAUUAUUAUAGUUAAUCGAAAAUUACUAUUGUCAUAUAAAAAAUUAAUAUUUAGAUAUAAAGGGGAGAUAAGGGGUUAUCCCUAUCCCUGUCCCCUAUCCAAACGGUGGAGAUCCAAUUUUAUUAGCUCUCAAUAUAUAUAUAUAUAUAUAUAUAUAUAUAUAGCUAGGCUCCUAUGCUUUCGAAAGUACUGGAGGCCCCGUGCUUGUAAGUUGUUUUCGAUGAUGGGACAUCCGAUUCGGCGAUCGGUUCCGUUAAACUUGAUCUAAGCUAUUGGAACUAUCUAGAAACCAAAUUUCAUAAUUUUUUGAUUUUGUUUGUCUAGUGAACGAGUAGCCUCAAAAUGAACGGCUGAAAAUAAAAAUCUCAUAAAAAACAGUGGUAAAGGAUUCAAAUUUUAAAUCGGAAGUAUUGAUCUUGCUACUGAUGUUAAGUAGAAUUUUCUAUUAAAUUUUCAUGUAAUUUGAAACUUCUUACACCGUUUGAACUUAAAAAUGUGCCACAUCGACCGUUGAAAUAGUUAUUUUUAGACCUUUUGAUCGCUUAGUAAAUGAUGUCAAAAAAAUCUAAAAUUUGGUUUUUAGAUAGUUCCAAUAGGGUAGAUCAUGCCUAACGGAGCCGAUCGUCGAAUCGAACGUCCUAUCUUCGAAACAACUUACAAGCACGGGGCCUCCCGUACUUUCGAAAGACACAGGAGACGGACUCUAUAUAUAUAUAUAUAUAUAUAUAUUAUAUAUAUAAUAUAUAUUAUAUAUAUAUAUAUAUAUUUGAACGAAAAUUUUGCUAAAAGGACAGCAUCUACCACGAUGUCCACGGUUGGGCGCACGGGCCGAAGCAAUAGCAGCGUUGCUAAAAACGCGAACGCCACGAGGAAGGCGCAAGGGGAUGCCUCCUCCUACCGCGGACAUCGUACUCCCCUCGCCCGUCCCCAGCGCCUCCUCUUCGCCUCCUCCUCCUCCUCCUCCGCACCAUAAAUCCCCCUCUCCACCCUCCUACUUCCCUAUCCGCCUCCUCUCCGCUCCCAUGGCCGAAAACGAGGAGGAGGCGGCGGCGGCGGCGGAGGAGGAGCUCUCCCUACUCCCCAUCCAACCCCUCGAAUCCAAGCGCCGCGUUGCGAACGAAGACGAUGAUGGCGAGGAGCGCGCGUACGAGGCGAGGGAGAAAAUCGUGGUGGCGGUCGAUGGCGAGGGGGAAGGGGACGAGGACGCGGACGAAGAGGGAGGCGGCGGCGGGGGAUCUGUUCCGCCAUUUUCAUGGCGGAAGCUAUGGCUCUUCACGGGGCCGGGGUUCCUGAUGAGCAUCGCGUUCUUAGAUCCGGGGAAUUUGGAGGGGGAUCUGCAAGCGGGGGCGAUCGCGGGGUACUCGCUCCUGUGGCUGCUGCUGUGGGCGACGGCGAUGGGGCUCCUGAUCCAGAUGCUCUCGGCGAGGCUUGGCGUCGCCACGGGGCGGCACCUCGCGGAGCUCUGCCGCGAGGAGUACCCCACGUGGGCGCGCCUCGCGCUCUGGUUCAUGGCCGAGGUCGCCAUGAUCGGGGCCGAUAUCCAGGAGGUGAUCGGGAGCGCCAUCGCCAUUAAGAUCCUAAGCAGAGGGUUUCUCCCCCUCUGGGCUGGGGUCGUCAUCACCGCCAUGGACUGGUGAGAACAUCACUUCUCCCCCUCUAUUGCACGAAUCAGCUCUUAUUUUGUUAUUCUUGUUGUGGAUCUACUAUGAAGAUCUCAUUUUCGUUUGAAUUUCCGAAUUUGCAGCAGAUAAUCGAUUAAGAUCUUUCUUCUUCUCUAGUUGGUUACAAUCUGAGGGUUUUAGAAAGAUGCUUCCUAAGAUUCUGCAAUUUUUCUCUGCUUUCGUUGUUUUGUCGACACUCCAGGUCUAUAGUUAGCCCUUUUUGCUGGCAUUGAUAGGAAGACUUCGAGAUUCAAACCUAUCUUCUUCGAGCCUAUAGUAUUUUGAUGGAAAUUUUUAACCCUUGAAAUAGUCCAUGUAUCAGUCAAAAUAUCCAAGUAAAUUGUUGGCAUUAGCUCUAUACAUCACUCUUUAAUCGUUUAAUGGUGUUAGAAAAUAUAAAAUAUCUGUGCUAUGGAAUGGACGAUUUUUUGAAAGUCAUUCAAAUAAUGAUAAAUUUGUUUAUUUUAAUCUAGCCGCAGAGUCUUUUGUUUAUCUUGUUUUAGUUAACUUCAUAUCUACGAAGUUGAAGUGGUUGCAAUUGUAUGAAAGAAGGAAAUGCCAUACUUCGUCUUGUGCAUGUUGGAUUGAUCUUAUUUUUGGCUCUUUAUCAAUCCAUCAAGAUGAAGACAAAUCCUUAAAUUAAAAGUAGUUUCCUUAAUUCUCCAGCUUAACUAUUUCCGUAUUUGGUAGAUAUUUUGUAGCAUUGCUCUUAAUUUACGUGUUUAAGCUGCAAUCUAAAAGGUAGUUCUUAUUUUAAGUUGUUUGUUAUUGAGAGACAGUCAUGAAAAUUUAUCAAUUCAUUGAUCCCAUUAAAUCUUUGAGCUGUCCACUAGUUGAAUGUGUAUUUUGGGGAGAAGUCUUAAAUGUUUGUGGUGAAUUUGGUCUUGUUGAGGAGCUAUUUAUUAUGUAUGGGUUAUUUUUCGGGCUGAAUAGUAUUUUUUUCUAUUCAGCACAGUGUUUUCCGAGACGUCAUAACCAUGUGAUGUGUUAUGUGAUAGUUAUUCCUACUAUACUGUUUCUGUGAUUGUUUUUCUACUUUUCCCUGUACUUUCGUUAUAUGCCAUAAUUUUCCGUUGUGGAGGCCUUAUCCUCGUCACUUUAUGGCAGCUUCAUUUUUCUGUUUCUUGAGAACUAUGGAGUAAGGAAACUAGAAGCUGUAUUUGCCCUUCUCAUUGCAACAAUGGCCUUUUCCUUUGCUUGGAUGUUUGGUGAAAUCAAACCUAGUGGAAAAGAGCUUCUCAUGGGUAAGCACCUAACUGCAAUAACUAUUUGUAUUUUCACCUUCAACUACUGCUGUACUUUCUUAAUUCAUUCUUCUAAAACUCUAGUUGAUCCAUUUUUUGUUCGAUAGGUAUUUUAAUUCCAAAAUUGGGCUCAAAAACCAUAAGGCAAGCCGUUGGUGUUGUCGGCUGUGUUAUUAUGCCCCACAAUGUCUUCCUACAUUCAGCUCUUGUACAGUCAAGAAAAGUCAAUCCAAAGAAAGAAACCCGUAUUCGUGAAGCCAUUAGAUAUUACUCAAUCGAGGCGACUGUAGCCUUGAUUGUCUCCUUCAUGAUUAAUCUAUUUGUGACAACAGUUUUUGCAAAAGGAUUUUAUGGUACUAAAGAAGCCGGGAGUAUAGGUCUUGAAAAUGCUGGACAGUAUCUGCAAAAGAAAUUUGGUGGGGGGCUGUUCCCUAUUCUUUACAUAUGGGGAGUUGGGUUAUUAGCUGCUGGGCAAAGUAGUACGAUAACGGGCACUUAUGCUGGACAAUUUAUAAUGGGCGGGUUCUUGAAUCUUCGAUUGAAGAAAUGGGUUAGGUCGUUGAUCACUAGAAGCUUUGCAAUUGUGCCGACUAUCAUUGUGGCUCUGUUCUUUGACAGAUCUGACUCUGCACUGGAUACUCUAAAUGAGUGGCUUAAUGUGCUCCAAUCAGUUCAGAUCCCAUUUGCCCUUGUUCCGCUGCUGACCUUGGUAUCAAAGGAGCAAGUUAUGGGAGUAUUUAAAAUUGGUACCAACACUCAAGUAAGUGAUAUCCAAGAUUUCUAUUCUAUUAGGUAUUUUCUUAUUUGCUAAAACUGUACAGACCUUACCUGAACAAUAACACAGUUUGAAACAGGCAUAAAUUGGAAAGUUUCGCUUUUAGUCUUUUACCAACUAACCUUUCAUUGUUUUUGGUUUCAUAAAGUUCUAUUUAGUUCUAUCGUUUUCUAUGGAAAGGUCAAAAUUAAAUGAUUUUCGUCAAAAAAAAAGUUAUAAAACAACUUGUCAAAUAAUAGAAUAUUCUAUUAGAUUACAAAAAAAUAUUCUAUUAGAUUACAAAAUUUUCGAUAAAAAAUGUUGCAAACUUUUUAAGGUUAUGUUGACUAGUUGAAACUUUUAAAUUCAUUUGUUUGCAAAGAGUCAAAAACAUGCAUGCCAUAGCUUAACUAAAAGUAUUUGUGUUCUUUGGAGGUGCGCAUUCAUCAUUAAAUUAUAUGCUUGUCGAUGUAGACAGUAGACUAAUUAAAAAUAACAUAGACAAAUCUAGUUCCUUUAUUCAUGUAUCUUAUCAUGCUUUUAAAAUGGAUUUCCAAUGAUCUCUGCCUAUUUUUAUACAGUAGUUUAUGUUUGUUUUUGAAAAACUUAUAUUGAAGAAAUUUGUUGCUAGUUAGACAGCACACACUAUAUAAUAAAUUUAGCAAUUUGGAUUUUUUUUAAAAAAAAGCUUAUGCAAUAUAUUAUCUGGUUUCAAUCAUUUAUUAAUAACAAUGGCAAGUAGACUAGAUUAGCUUGACCCGUAUGAAUAUUAUGCUUCGCAUGUCUUUUAUUUUUUGAUGGGCAGAUUUUAUUUGUUUUAACGUGUCCAUAUAUACAUUCUUUGAAGUUCUCAUUCAUCUUUGGUGUUUUUGUUUUUGUUUUUGUAUGUAGAUUGUAACCUGGAUGGUCGCUGCUUUAUUGAUAAUAAUUAAUGGCUACCUCUUGUUGGAUUUCUUCUCUUCUGAAAUACGUGGCCUGUUGCUUGGCUCUUUUGUCUCUGCAGCUAUAGCUAUUUAUGCCUCAUUUAUAAUUUAUCUCAUUCUCCGCGGCAGUGAGUUUUCAACUCGGCUUUUCUCAGAAAUCCGAAAGAGAUUCUUAUGAUUAGAAUUUAGAAGGAUAGUGACAUAGUGAACUCCUCUCUCCGUCACCGGAAUGUAGAGAGCAUAAGUUUGAAUUACCAUUAUUUUUGGGAUACAGGCGACAUUAUACAGCAAAGAUAUGAAAUAUCGAAGAGUAUGGCCUCUUGUAUUUCCAUCCAACAAGGACUCACAGAAUGCAGCAAUAGACUAAAUUACAGGACCCCCUUACAAUUAUCGAGUUUUUCUUUUUUCCAUCAUGAGAUACUGAUACUUGUAUAUCACCCUCACACCUCCUUCCUGCAUGUUCCGCCUAGAAAGACGUAUUGCUAAUGGAGUAGAAUGGAGGCUACAAUUGUUCAGGGGGAAAGUAUGGCGGAUACAUAAUUUUUGGAGGGGGGCAUGUAGAAGGGCUUUUCUUGUAUUUUGGAAUAAUAAAGUGUGGCAGCGAAAUUAUGUGAACGGAAAUUUUGGCUUACUCGGCUGCUGUGUUGAAGCAGCCAAUAUUUUUGUAAUAAUACAUGUUAUAUUUCACUUCUUUCGGUUGUAACAGAUUCAUGUCAUCAGCUGAGCCAAUUCAUAUAGCCAUGUACUAAAUAGGUAAUUCUGGACUACAUCAUUAUAGAGUAUUAUUGCCUUUGCCUAAAUACUGUAUGUCAUUACUUUUUCCUGUAAGAAUUUGAACAGUUGUGGAAGAGAAGAACGAUACUGGAAGAGGAAUAAGCAAAUUAUAUUUGUUUGCCGAGCCUGCUAUCAUCUCAAUGCUUGGUUACCGAACAUUUCAAGUUUAUUCUCGAAUCACAUGGAUCGUUUAUAUUGCACGCAUUUCAUUUUUCCUCUUAUUUCGACUUGUAUUUGGGUAUUUCUUUUCUUUUCAUUUCACUUGCCGCGGUAAACUGGUUCCGUUCUGCAUGUCUAUGCAGUUUCCAGAUGUUGUGUUAACAAUAAUUCGAUUUCAUGUUAGGCUUGCGCGAGGGAGAAAGCCCAUACGUAUGUACCAAAACUGGGUCUUGGGUCACAGGAGGGUCCAUGUAAGCUGUGGGGCCACAACCUCGUUUCCCAACUUGUAGCCCAGCUUCUUCGUCGACUGGAUGAAACAGAAGAUUCUCGCUGUGUUGCAAAGCAAAUGCAAACAACAAUAUUGCCUCAGGUAUCAACUGCUUAGCUAUAUAUGAUUAUCUAAUUUGAUCUAAUUUGCUUCGAUCGUAUCAUUAUUCAUUAACGAGGUCAUUGUUACUAUCUAUGCAUCAAAUUUACUAAAUGAUAAUAAAAUUCAAUAAAUCAUCUCUCAUUCAAAUUUUUGUUUGUUUGUUUUUUUUUUUUUUAUAACUAAAAGCGAUCGACCGGGUACAUCACAAGUUCAUUUAUAUUAUUAUCUUUUAACAGCUAGGAAAGAUAAAAGAGGAGGCUAGCUAGAGGCUAUAAGUGGUGGCAGUGGGGAGUGAUACUUUAACUAGAUUCGCCGUGGCACGGGUUCUUUGUACCUUGCUGCCUCUUCAAGUAGGGAACAAAACCUAGCUAAAGUGGUUCACGUGAACGACUCGCGUAAUGCGUACAUAAUCACCGAAUUAAAUGAUCUUAAUUGAAAGAUACGUUAACCCUGUGGCUCUUUUCUUCAGCAGAAAAGGCUUUGGUGCUGGCCUUUUCUUUUCUUAAUUUUUGUAAGGCAAUUAUUUGAGCACAAAAACUGGCCGUCCCUAGAGCAAGUGGCAAAGGGCUUGAUGGUUGGUACCUGAGACCCAAGUUCGAAUCCUAGUUGAUUCAUAUUUUCAGCUAAGUUUAUUUCUAAAUGAAAUAAACGAAGCGGGUAGCGUGCUACCUAUCUCUCUCAAAAAAAAAAAAAAAAAUAUUAUUUGAGCACAAAAUCAUUCAACUCCUAAGUGCGAGAAUCAGAGUUACAAAACGUCGACUCUUUUACAAUCUAUAAGAUCGAUAACAGUGCACAAGCGCGGUCGAAGACUUAUCCUGACGUCCGUUAUCAUUUAAAUUCUGAAGCAACUUCUCAUACAUGGAACUCUUCAUUAAUCUUUAUUAAACGUUAACACACGUACGUACGUGCGUACAAAGCUAGCUAGCUGCAUGAAAGAUGGUGCAUGGCGUGCAUGCAUCCAUCAAACAUGAAUUACGUACGUAGGGACACGCGAUAUACUUCUAGGGGCACUUGGGGCGCCUCCUGCGGCCGUGGCCCGUGAACUUGUCGCGGUAGCAUGGGCACCUGUCCUUGUUGCCGUAGGUCCCGGGGGGCACGCACCGGCACUCCUCGCAGCACAGCCCGCAGUACUUGAGGCACCGCUCCUGCUCGCUCGCCUUCGAGCACCUCACCUUGCAUUUUCCAUUGCAGAAUGCUGCGCAACUCAUUCACGCACCAUCGAUCACCACAAAUUAUACAUACAUAUAUAUAUAUAUAUAUAUAUGUGACACACGCAGCUUGUUAAUUAGUUGUUACUACCUAGCUAGGUACACCUAAUUGUUAAUGAAAGAAUAUAUAUAUCUUAACAAAGAAUUCAAAAAAACAAAAAAAGCGGAGGAACGACACCUGAACCAGCCAUGGUGGCUUGGAAAUGAUCAGAGGCCAAGAGGAGGAGGAGGAGGAGGAGGAGGAGGGGUAACGCGGUGUAGAGGAGCUUCAUGAUUCUCCUUGUAGGUAGUAUAGAGUUAAUGUGGGAUGAUCGGUUUGGUGAUCAAGCUGAGGAGCUAGAGGCUUGUUUAAUAUUUAUAGGUGUGAGAUGGAGAUAUAUAUAUAUAUAUAUAUAGAGAGAGAGAGAGAGAGAGAGAGAGAGUGGAGUGGUAACUGGUAAUUAAUCAAGGUUCCUUAGCUCAGCAGGGGUUUGGCAUCUGAAAGGCUGAGCCAGAAGGCUUGAAUGAGGGUGAUGAUUAAGUAAGGCACGAUACAGUACAGUACGAAGCAUCGUUUAAUAAUUAGUACUGUCAAAUAAAAACAAACUUAUUCACAAUAUAUUGUUUAAUUAGUUCUUUAUUUGCAAAUUAAGCUUUAUUAGGUUAUAUUGAUUAUAUAAUUUUUGCUAAAUCUCAAUGGUUCACCUGCGUCCACUUCCUCAUUAAGGAGUUCUCCAAGAGAGAAAAAAAAAAACAAAAACAAAAUUAUUUAUCUUUGAGAAUGUAGGACGCAGGAAUGUGUCAAAGCUUUCAAGGGGAAGAAGCAUGAAUAAGCAUGAAUGAUAUGAGCGCACGCGAGUGGGGUCCGUGUUGCUUUGCUUGCUUUUUAAGCUACCGUCUCAGGAGUGCAAUUUCGCGACACCGACGGGCUAGGCUUUAAUAAGAGUGCGCACUCCCAUUUCUGUUUUCUGGAGCUCGAUCGUUUGAUCCCACUUUUUUUUUUUUUUUUUUGAGAGAGAUAGGUAGCACGCUACCUGCUUCGUUUAUUUUAUUUAAAAAUAAACUUAGUUAGAGAUGUAAAUCAACUAAGAUUCGAACUUGGGUCUCGAAUACCAACCAUCAAACUUUUUACCACUUGCUAUAGGAACGGUCGGUUAUAGGCCUGAGUUUCGAUAACUAUAUAUAUAUAUGUACACCUUCAUAUGUUGUCUUCCGUUUGAUGAUACAUCAACAGGUCAUAUGCUUCACACACGGAGCUAUCCUUAUGAACCAAUGGGCAUACAUUGGGCCGAUGGGCUCCUUGCAUUAUUAUUAUUGCGUUGCUUUAUUUUUAAACUGGGCUAAAUGGCCGAUUAUAUGCUUAGCUUUUUUUCAGCUCACUAUCUCAUAUGUAGAUUAAUAGAUAAGUUAUCUUCCGAACAUAAUAUUGCGUUUCGCUAUUUUCUGCAUUCCCAUCGAAGAAGAAUACAGAAACAUAUUCCUAUAUAUACAUAUGCUUUUAUCUCAACUAAAUUUUAUCUGAUAGCGUCAGAUAAAUCUCAAUACCAAACUAGGGCUUAAUCAGUUGGGGUGCAGCUAAGUAAUUGGUGGUGAUCUAAUAGGCCUAGGCCUAUGUCCAAGCCCAUCUAAAUAUUGCUCCUCAUACUAUCAGGCCUUUCGGGCCUACGAGCAUUUGCAUCCGCGUCGGCGGCGGAGAUGAACCAGACUUUCAGGUGUGUUUGGUAGUUAUGAACAGUGACUUUUCUGAACUCGACAUUGCUCGUAGUUCGCACGGAGUCAUGACUUCCUAUCGUAUAUGAAGUGAGAUCGAGGACUGACUUGAGACGGAUGGUACAUGAAUUGGAGAGCACAGAUCAGGCACUUCUCCGUGAGACUUCAAAGAAGACGAACAGGCAGGCGAUCUCCGUGCCAGUCACGGAUUCUAUUGUUUUACGUACGCAGUAAAAAUUCGAACAAUUAUAAUGGAAAAGAAACUGAUACAACCGAAUUUAUUCCAGUGCUCUUUGUUCUCUGUGGACCAAAACUUCAUAUUGCUCAGUAACAAUCUACGUUGCCAUGUGAAAACGUUUGACUAGCAGAGUACUAUCUCCCUUCAAUUACUCUUACUAACGUUCUCCUGUAAACAACAGUUUCUCUCUCUCAGAUUACCUACGGCAGACAGACUGCUUCGUCGAGGGUGCAUUGUGGAGCAGCACUGCAGGUUCUGUGUGCUACUACCCGAAACAGCUGAUCACCUUUUCCACGACUGUAUCGUUGUCAGAUUUCUCCGUUUUAAAGUAGGAGCCUUAGUGGAGGCGGAUUCGGAUGAGGGGGAUGUACGACAGCUUUGGACACAGUUCUCGGACAUUCCCGAGGCUGUAAUAUAUAUAUAUAUAUCGUCCCGACGAUACGAGAGUCCUCGUGCCUCCGGAGGCACGAGGACUCGGUAAAAGCUACUACCUUAAAAGCUUAACUGCUAGCCGAGGUAAUCUGAACUAGAUUCCUUAAACUUCAAAGAUCUUUUAUUAAAAACGCUAAAAAGCUAUAGUAAAUAGAUCACUAGCUUUCUUAAGACGGCAAAAGUUCAAAUUGCCACAUCUUCGUAAUUUUAGUCUACUUUAAAAGUAUGUUUUAAAUAAUAUGAUAGAUGUUGUUCUAUUUAUAAAGACUAGCUUUUAAAAUUACGAUAUAGUAGUGAAAAAUAUCCCAAAAAUAAAAGUCAUCAAUUUUUAAUAAUUAAAACUUAGGAAAGCUAACGAUCCAUUUACUAUAACUUUUUAGCGUUUUUAAUAAAAAGAUCUUUGAAGUUUAUGCGAUCUAGUUCAGAUUGCCUCGGCUAGCAGCUAAGCUUUUAAGGUAGUAGCUUUUGCCGAGUGCAGGCACGAGGACUCUCGUAUCGUCGGGACGAUAUAUAUAUAUAUAUAUAUAUAUAUAUAUAUCAACUCGAUCUUAUGACAGCCAAUUUGCUCGGUAAAAUGAUGGCUAAACAAAAGCUACUAUCUCGAAGGUUUAACUGCUAGCCGAGGUAAUUUAUACUAGAUUUGGUAAAUUUGAUGGAUCUUUAGUUUAAAGUGCGUAAAAGCUAUUACAAGAAAAUAGGUAGUUCACUUGUCUUUUUACUUUCCGACUUUUACUUAUGAGAAAUUUUUUACUACUAUCCUCAGAACAUUAGUUCUAGUUCUCAUAUCUAUAACAAAAUUUAUCAAAUUUCUUAAAAGAUUGUUUUUAAGUUAAUUAAACCUAUAGAAAUGCGACAAUUUGCUCUUUUGCGGAGUAUAGCUGGUAAUUUUAAUGUUUAAAACUUUGGGAAACUAGUAAUUCGUUUAUUACAGCUUUUCUAAACUUUAAACUAAAGAUUUAUAAAGUUCAUCAUAUCUAGUACAAGUUGCCACGGCUAGCAGCUAAACCUCCGAGGUAGUAGCUUUUAUUUACCUACCGUUUUUACGGCUAAAUGAUAGCUAUCGUAAGAUCGAGUUGAGAUAUAUAUAUAUAUAUAUAUAUAUAUAUAUAUAUAUAUAUAUAUAUUUUGGUCCUACUACCACAUGUAAAGUAAGGGGUCUCCUGUCACCGUCCCUUUCUAUUUCGGAUUUCCACCCCCAUUUUUUCAUUUCGUUCUUCUCUUCUAGUUUCUCUCCUACUCCAACGUCCACCGUUCCUGUGAUGGAAGUACACCAAAACAAACAAUUUGUCAAAUGUGAAAUUACUACGAACCUCACCUUCGCUACAUCACACACUCACACACACACACACACACACACACACACACUCUCUCUCUCUCUCUCUCUUUGACAACAAAUGUCCUCUUACACACACACACACACUCUCUUUCUCUCUCUCUCUUUGAAAAAAAAAAAAAAAAAAACUCUUUGUCCAUCGUUCGAUAGACGAAGUAAGUAAUUCGUUGUACUUAAAUCGUAUGUUUGACCUUCGUCGAUCCCGGAGGCUCGGCUCCCCUGCUCCUUUUUUGUUCUCUUGUUUUUGGUCCAGGCACGCUGGGUCCUUUGUUUUCUUUUGGUUUUAUUUGUUUUUACCCUUUUGCCUCCCGUUUCGCGUCUAGAGCCCUCUCUUAGUUUCACGAGGCAAGGUCCGUAGCUAGUUUUGCCGCUGUGCAAGCUCUCGGGCCCUUUGUAAUUCUCCAUGCAGCGCCUUCGUUUACGGCAAUGCGAGGCAGGUCUAUUGGGUGGUUUAACGGCGGUUGAACCAAUUUUAUAAACUAGAGCNCUAUAGCAUUUUAGCUCAACUCUCUCUCUCUCUCUCUCUCUCUCUCUCUCUCUCUCUCUCUCUCUCUCUCUAUAUAUAUAUAUAUAUAUAUAUAUAUAUAUAUAUAUAUAUACACACAAAGAGAGAGAGAGAGAGAGAGAGAGUCCAAAUGCAAAGGUAACAAACCCCACCAUCACUGCUUGGGCUUCAAAGUUUACAAUGCAUGUGGUUCAAAAGAGCAUGCCCAUGCUAAUCCUUGGCAUGACCCAUGUGUCAUGUCAUGCCCAACCCCUGUGCUUUUGUGAAGAGAAAAGGGGUUGCUGCGGAUCCCAAUUUUCUGAUAUGGAUCUAAUCACAUCACCAAAGAACUGAGAAGUAGGGUGUACUACCGAUAAUAGCAAAAGAAUCAAGACUUAAUUAGUUUUAGUAAUCUAACUUUUUUUUUUCUUUUAAUCUGCAUUCUGAUUCCAAAUAUUGUUCAGAAUUUAUAUAUCCUGGCCGUAGUUGUUCUUUCCGUAUGAAAAGUAGUGAGAAUUCAGAUUGAGCAUUCAAAUUAAUUUGCGAACAGAUUGAUUUGAUGGGUAAAAUGGUAUGAAUCCCUCCCACAUGUCAAAGUUAAUUUGAGUCAUUCAUGUCCAUUAGUUAACAACUAUAUAAAUAAAGAAAAAAAAAAUCCACGUGAAAACACGAGAAUUAGAGAAAUUUUUUCAUUCAGAAAUAAUUUCUAACUUUUAACCCCGUAAUAUUACUUGAGUUGAGAGCGCGGACAAAUCAAGCAGAUUCAAUGUAAGUACUACGCCAUGGAAAUUAACAUCAAUUGAAUUAAAUAUACAAAUUGUACUGAGUUAACACUAUAACGAAAAUAGUGUGUAGCGACACUUUUAAAUGUCGGUACAGAUAAAAAAAAUGUUGCUGGCUAAAUUACCGACACUUUUAAAAAGUGUUUCUAUAUAUGAAAUCGCUAGGUAUAUAGUGACAGUUUAAGAAUGUCGAUAUAACCUAAAAAAAGUGCUACUAAUUUACAAACACUUAUUUGAGUAUUUAGCAAUUAUCGGAACUCUACAUCGUUGGCUGUUAUUGCGGAGGAGGAGGAGGAGAGCAAAGGGCUCUUCGUCUAAGGUUUCAGUGCAUUGAGUGAUGGGGAAAGGGAAGAUGAUGAUCUAUUAUUUUUUUUGUUCUUUUUUUAUUUAUAAUCGGGCUGAAUGGGCUGGGUGGGAUGGGUUGAGUAGAGAAUCUUUUAUUUUCAAUUGGAUUGAGUUUUAUAUUUAGGCCUUAGUAAAUUUUUAAAAAAGUUUUGAUAUAAAUACGACACUUACAUAAAAGUGUUCUAAAUAUGUUCCUAUAAUCUAAUUCUUUUGUAGUGUAAUAUGGUGCUUUAUAUCUUACCUGACUGGUUUGAUUGGACUCGAGAUGCUUUGGGUCAGUUCUAAAUACUAAUUGUGCUAAUGGGUCGCGUCCGGAUACUUUGCAUCAAGUACCUGGCUCGUGGGUCCGAUUGGACCACUAUGGCUCGGCCGAAUCCGUGCACGGUUCAGCUGAAUGAACGUGGAGCGGGCCAGGGUGCGCCAUUCAGUGAUGCAGAGUACAACUCUAGCAUUCUUUUUUUUUUUUUUUCCUUUUUUCAAAAAAAGGAGUGGUGAGAGGUGGUCAAGCUUAAUGAUUAAGAAUGUACGUGAGACCUAAUGAGAUGAGGUAGAUAUGGCGUCUUACAGGCUACUUUUUGGGCAAAGAAGUUGUGACAUCGUAAUUAAGGAGGAUCUAAAAUCAUACUAUGUUCAUAAACAAGAAAAAAAUAAAAGAAAAAAAAGAAAAAAAAAAGAAGAGAAGAAUGGGAAUAAAUGAUACUAUACAUUGAUCGAUAAGAGAUGUCCCAAGAAAAGAUAAACUAACAUAAGGAGGGAGAGAGAGAUAGAGGUACGUUUAAAUAUUGUCAAGUUAAAUUUUUAUGUUUAGAAGGGUACAAGUAAUAAAUUUAUAUAUUUAUAGCGGUAUGAAUUAAUAAUAUUUUAGAUUUUGAAGGGACGUGUAUGAUAUCUUGAAGUUUUAGUCGAGAAUUUUGUUUGAAAUUGCUCCAAUAUUAUUUAAAACUCUCUUGCCAAAAGAUUAACUGCAUUUUGUUGGGUAUGAAACUAGUUUACUUCUCAUCAUAAUAAUGAAUUCUAAAGAACAGGAUAAUGAAGUCGCAUCUUUCUAUUAUUGUAUCCAACAAAUAAUAUAUUCUUAGAGAACAAGAUGCUGUUGGAUAGUAAUAAUGAUGAUGAUAAUAUAUUGACCGAUAAGAAGCCAUGCAGGAAGGCGAAUAAUUCCUUAUAAUCCCCACAUUCAUGAUUUAUUUAGUUUUAUGUCGCAUAAAAUAGAAGAAAAAGUAAAAAGACAAACAAGUCAUAUGGUAUAUAUAUAUAUAUAUAUAUAUAUAUAUAUAUAUAUAUAUAUAUAUAUAUAUAUAUAUAUAUAUAUAUAUAUAUAAAAUAAAUACGCAUCGCAUCACGACCAUAUUUAGAUUACUGGAAUACUAACGGUAAGGCGCAAGUUGUGAUUAGUAAUGUUACUUGUUGAAUUCCAGUUCAAUUAAAGAGACUUUGGAAUUAAAAUGUAGGAGAUUAACCUUCUAAUUCUUUAAACAAAAAAAGAAAAUUACUACUUACACACAGGCAUGCAGUACUGCAUUAAUGAUAAGUAUAUAUAGUAAUGAAAAGAAAAAAAAAAAAAGAGAAAAAGUUAGAGUACAAAAAUAUAUUUCAUAUUAAUUCCAGAUAUUUGGAACAUAGGAUACCUAACGACACCUUUUGAUGGGGAGCUUUCAUGUACAGUGGCCAAUGCCCAGGAUAUAGCACACCUCCGUAGAGGACGUUUUUUGCAUUUAGCAAUUAAUAAUAAUUAACACUUCAGUUUGAUCCAUAGUUAAUUGUUUUUCUUUUUUUUAAGGCACUGAGAAUUGAGCAUCAUGCACAAUAAUUAUUCUUUUGAGAAGCAUUGCAACUUGAGAGUAACACCAAUUAAAUACAAAGAUUUAAUGAAGACAGUUUUUAACAUGAGAUUAUUUGAGUGGCCAUUCAUGCGGCUUUAAGAGUAGCACCAUACACGUAAUGAAUAGUAGAUAGAACAGUUUCAUUUUAAAGACCAUCUCCAAUAAAUUUUUAUUUGCUAUAGAAUACGAUAUUGUAGUAUACAAAUAGGCACUUCUCAAACAAUGUAUGAGGCAUCAUUUGGCGUACUUGUAGUGUUGGAUUUGGAGAAUACAUAUAUAUAUAUAUAUAUAUAUAUAUAUAUAUAUAUAUAUUAGUCCGGCUACUAUGCUAUUAAUAGCACGAAACACUUGGUGCUACCAAGUUUUCUGCCGUUAGAUCUACCAUUUUGAUCAUUUUCAUCCGUUAGAUCAUACUAUUCAACCAACCACCNUAUAUAUAUAUAUAUAUAUAUAUAUAUAUAUAUAUAUAUAUAUUCAAGUAAUGACUCCAUACAAUAGGUCCCAUUCAUCCCUCCAUUUUUAUUUUAUUUUUUUCCCAAUUGUGAUAGUUGAUAUCCAAACAUUUAUGAAGGAAAAACUCAUUUUUUGCAUGCAUUCACCAUUAUCAUAUCUCCUCCUCUAAAAACACUAAUUCUUUCUCCUUCCAAAAGGUCAGUAAGGCUUCGUAAAGUCCUCUUCAAAUCAUGUAUCUCAAACAAGUUUUCCAAUCUUUUUAAUUCAAGAUAUAUCAAUGCAAGAGGAUUUGGAUGGAUGGUUUUCUAAGAUUCUCAAUAUACAACAGGAUAUCGAAAGCGAUUAAAUGGGGAAGAGGAUCCGAGUACUAGUUUGAGAAAACUAUUUGGAUGGUAUUCUAUAUAAACUCCGAUUCUGCGACAUCAAAAAAUAAAAAAACAAAAAAUAUAUAUAUAAAAAAAAAAAAGAGGAAGGAGCUGAUCAAACGAGGGGGCUCCAUUGUCUUUUGGUGCACAAUUGGAACCUCUAGCUAGCUAGGCUGGUCCCAUGUUAGCAUGUGAUCAGGCACUGUAGUGCAACGUACCCAACGUCACGAAAUACAUGGAUUCAUGCAUCGUUUUAUACAUAUACUAUUGUAUCUUUGUUGUUGUUUUCGAAUAGUCACUUUCGAACUACUAAGUUUUUAACCAUUCAUGCAUACAUUUACACAAAUGCGCGAUUUAGAUUGUUUCAUAAAAUUUAUUAAGAUCAAGAUGCCUGUACGUGUGCCCUGCAUAUUUUGUUUUUAUUUUUGUACCAACAAUAAAACCGAGAUUGUAACUUCGCUUUCUCCAACCCCCCAUUUUAGCUGCGGAUAAUUCCAAAAGCCACGACUAAAAGCGCUUUUUUGAGAAGCCCAUAGCAACUGGGUACAAUUCUCCUCGGAUCGUAAUUUGGACGGUUGUCACUCGCAUCAUUUUCAGGGUUACGAGGCCGAAACCAUUUGCUACGGGUACUCUAAAUGUACCCAGCCCAUAAAUGUUCCCCUUUUAAUUAAGUUCCACAAUUACCUGCUGCGAACUCUAAUUUAAAUAACUCUCCUUAAUUUAUCUCCUUGAGUUUUGAAUUUACCUCCGUUUCAAUUAUACCUACAAAAAUUGUAAUCAUAUUCUUAAAGUUUAGACUCAGCUUCAGUUCAAACGAAAAUGAUCCUAGCACGAAGUCAUCAAUAAUGAUAGUAACUUGGCCCAGCUCGAAAGAAACGUUCAAUAACAUCGUAUGAAAAAAGAAACUCUGAGGUAACGUUUGGUUCGGGUAUAAUUAAAUAAGAACUAGCUAUUACAGGAAUAGAUACAAAUAUGGAGAUAAGAAAAAUAGUAUUUAAAUAAAAAUUGGGUUGUUCCCGAAAAUAAGAAAAAUAGCGUUCGGAUAAAUAAUAUGGAAUAAGAAAAAUAAUGAGUAUUUAUAUAUAAAAAAUAAAAAUAUUGCUGAGAAUAAUUAUACCGACUUAUUUCAAAUAACCGAAAAUUACUAUUUUCGGAUACAAAAUUUACGUUUGGGUAUAAAGGGGGGAUAGGGGUUAUCCCUUUCCUUGUUCCAAUUAAAACUACCAAAGUAAAAUUCAAAAUUUAGAUCAAAAUUUGCAGGGAAAAAAAAAAGUAAUUUGACUGGUACACUUUUGGGAAACACUUGGGUAUGCCAAAUAUUUUUACCAUUUCCUUUUUUUUUUUUUUUGGCAAUGCAUGAUGGGGACUGCAUUAAUUCUGGCAUUGAGUUGCCCCAUUGCACGGGUGUUAUUGUGCGGAACCCCACCUCAUUAUAACUCCGUGCUUAUUAAACAUCACCCACCAUUUCAUUUAAAAAACUAUAGUGAUGUGACAACCUCAAAACUCUGCAUAUUAAUUCACUUUAUUAUGCCCAUUAUUACAAAAAAACAAAAAUCUAAAUAAUAGAAAGAGAUAAAUGCAUAAAGAUCUUCAAAAUUUUAUUAAAUAGUUUAAUAGCCGGGCAUUACUAUUAAAAAAAUUAUUUAUUAAAUAGCCCUUCUUUUUUUUUUUUGAGAAAGAUUUAUUAAAUAGCCACUCUUAACUUAUAUGUCAUAUAUGCCUGCUAUGUAAUCUUAGGUGUCUUUAUAUUUUUUAGGCUUGAUUUUUUAUUUUUAUCUCAUAGAAGAGUAGUAAUUAUUUUAGGCUAAAUUACAUAAGAUUCUUCUGUAAAUAUUCGCUUUUUUACUUUUUUUUUUUUGAUUUUCAAAAAUCUAUAUUUUAUCCUUUUAAUAUUUUAAAAAUAUUUUCAGAGAGUUACGAUAUUAAUGGAGAGAAAAAAAACCAAAUUUCUCUUAUUUCGUAUAUAAGAAAAAAAUAAAAUUUUAAAUAUAAUUUUGUUAUUUUGAAAGGUAUUUUAAAUAUAAAUCAUAAGAAAUAAACGGAACUAGCGAUGGAACUUAUUCGGAGAGAUGCUAAAUAUAAUAACUUGAAAUAUUGAGAGGAUAAAAUAUAAAUUUUAAAAGUUAAAGAGAAAAAGUGAAAAGACGAAUAUUUAUAAGAAUAUUUUUUAUAAUUUAGCUUUUUUUUUUUUUACAUUUUUAAGUUGUAUAUAAGAUUAUUUAUAGGACCUGUCGCCUAUAUGACUAUUCAAUUAGUAAUUUUACUUAAAAAAUUAAUUAAAUAGAUUUAAUUAAAUUUAAAGAAUUUAGCUGUUAAAAUUAAAUGUUUACAAGGCCAUCUAACAAAACUUUAAAAAGUUUGGUGAGCAUUUUUACCCUUUUUUUUUCCCUAAUAAGAAAGUUUAUUUACUCAAAAAAAUAAAAGCUAUGAAAAUUAAUAUAGUUUUGAGAGUAAACAUAGGAUUAUUGCUAUUUUUGUAUGAACAUAGUACCGUUGCGACAUCAACGUCAUCACAAAUCCGAGUUUAGCAUCUGUCUCCUUUUAAUUUAAUUUUGAUAUUUUUUUGAUAGUGGGAUUAAUUAAUUCUAAAUUUUUAUUUUAAUUAUAUUUUCUCCACCCCAAAUCACGUGCCGCGGCAUACAUUCGCAUCCUUUCCGUUACGAAACCGCGUUCCACGUGACGCGCGACCGUUACUUGCCUAACGGCGCCGUCAAAUUAGAGUCCGGUCACCUUCAGUAAGUUCACCUCCAAAAGACAACCAAUCCGAACCACGCUGUAUUACACUUAGGCUUUAUUUGGGAUUACGAAAAGAUUGCUUUACAUGCAGUGAGAAAGUACGUUGUAAAAAUAAGUUGUUUGUUUCCGUACGUAAUAUUGCGUUCCGCAUAUCGCGAUGAAUCGGUUACGAUAUAUUUUCUACGGUUCCACUGAAGAACACAGAAACAUAUCCCUAUAUAUUUUUUUCUCAACUUUAUUUUAUCUAAUAGCGUUAAAUAGAGCUCAAUACCAAACUAAACCUUACACCGUAUCAUCAUUAACAAGCUAAUUAUUUUAUAUAUUUUUUUAAAAAAUAUAAUAAAAAUAUUUUUAUAAUCAUAAAAUAAUAAAUAAUUUUUUAAAAAAUUAUUUAAUUAAUUAGGAACGCCACGUCACAAAUAUUCUUUCAUUGGCGACCGCGGAACAUGCUUCUCCUUCGGAGGUAACUUUAAGGGCGGUGACCUUACCGGAUCCUGACACUCCCUAUAACUAACUGUAAAACCACUCCCCGCGCACCCCCUCGCUCCAGUAUCAAGUGGCGACUGUGUUCUCACUUCUAUUUCGUCCCUUUAUUCUUUUUUAAUUUAUUUUGCCCCCUCUUAGCAAUUUUUUUUUUUUCGUUAUUACCCCCCGGUAUUAUUUUAAAUUCGCAUCCCAAUCCAAUGUCCACAAAUUCCGGUGCUUCUAUUUCCCACUCUCUUAUUGUGGAAAGUGGAAACACUCAUCGCACCAAACCCACACACAGGCUAGCAACUUUCUAUAUAUCUGCCGUACGCUUUCACUCUCUCCAUUCCUCUUUUGCUCUGGGAGAUAUUUUUUUUUCUUUUUUUUUUUUUACAAAUAGGUCCUUUGAAGAAGAAGAGUUGUUGGCAUGAUCGGUACGUGUAGUUGGAGAGACUAGGGUUUGGUUCUCGGUGAUUUGGGGUUUGGAUGGAGAAGAAGCAAGGGUUCUUCUCGGCGCUCCGGGAGGAGGUGGCGCGGGGGCUGUCGCCGGGGAGGGCGAGGUCGGAGAGCCCCGGUAGGGCUCCGUCCCAGGUGGCGCGGUUGUUCCGCCCGCGGCGGUGGAAGGAGCGGUACUACGGGGCGGGGGCGGCGGCGGCGGAGGUGGAGGUGGUGCCGAGAUACGGGGGCAUGAGGGGCGGCGGAGGAGGAGGGGGAGGGGAAACGUUGGCGCCGCUCAUGGAGGGGCCGGAUCCGGGGGAGGGGGAGGAGUGGAGGAAGGAGGGGUGGGCGAGGUGGGUGAAGGGGCACCUCGCGCGCGCGACCUCCGUCUCCGGCGGCGGCGGCGGCGGCGGCGGAGGAAGCGGCGCGGCCUCCUCCGGGCGACGCUCCGACCUCCGCCUCCUCCUCGGCGUCAUGGGGGCGCCGCUCGCCCCCAUCCACGUUUGCGCCGCCGAGCCGCUCCCGCACCUCAGCAUAAAGGACACACCCAUUGUAAGCUCACUGCCCCUUUUUUUUUUUUUUUCCAUCCUAGUUUUAUUUAUCUUUUCCCCAAUAUUUUUGUACUUUAAUGAAUUUAUUGUUGUUGCAGUUCUCUUGUUUGAUCAAAUGCCACAGUGGCUUUUGUUGGCUCUUUAUGCAAGCAUUGCUCUUAAAAUUAUUUGAUUUCUUGAAAAACUCAUGAAUAUUUCACAAUAGAAAAUCGCAGGAACUAUGUAAAGUUUACAAACUAUCCAAAUUGUUUAAGAAACUUAGCCAUGAUGAAUUAUUGAUUGUGUUUUAACUUAUUUGUACUUUUACAUGAAAGUUUGCGUGAUUAUACACUUAGGAUUGAAAACUUCUACUUUAACUAAUUAAGCUACUCUGGAAUUAUUUACGAAUAUUGAUUAUACACUUAGAAUUAUUUAUUGAUUGUGUUUUAACUUUGCUAAAUUCUGUACUUUUUAGCUUUGAUGAUUGUAUUUCUCCUGGAUGCCAAGCUUGUAACUGUACCAUGAAAUAAAUGUUUUACCGUUAAAUAAUAUGAUCAUCAUGUGGCACUUCAAUUCAUGGAUUUCCUUGAAAAUGCACGGCGAUCUUACACCUGAAUCCCUUACAAUAGGAAACUUCAUCUGCUCAGUACAUACUGCAACAGUACACGGCGGCAUGUGGCGGCGUGAAGCUACUGAGCUCCAUCCGGAACUCAUAUGCAAUGGGAAAGGUGAAAAUGGUGGCAACCGAGUUUGAAAGUGCGAACAAGAUCAUAAAGAAUCGCCAUGCAAUGAGGUCGGCGGAAUCGGGCGGCUUUGUGCUGUGGCAGAUGGCGCCUGAGAUGUGGUACGUUGAGAUUGUAGUCGGGGGGAGCAAGGUGCAUGCCGGCUGCAACGGCCAGCUCGUCUGGCGCCACACCCCCUGGCUUGGGGCCCAUGCUGCCAAGGGCCCCGUCCGGCCUCUCCGUCGAGCUCUCCAGGUAAAAAGGAUAAAUGAUUAAAGAAGAGUGUAAUCUGUGAAGUUUGAAACAAGUUCGGGAAAAAGAAGAAUGUUUGAUCCAUGCUUGAUGCGGCACUUUUGUAAAGGAUGGUGAGGAAAUUCUAUAUUGGUAUGUGUCAGUUACUUUAGGGACAAAUUGGAUUAGUUGAAAUUAUGAGCCGAAAUUGAAAUCCUGAGUCAAAUUACAGUGCCUGAAUUUAGAAUAAACCCUUGAGUCAAUCACAUUAAGGUAGCCUUUAGUUGGGGUGUAGAGUUUGGAUAAUCAAACAUUGGAAGCAGUGGAGUUUCUACCUAGAGCUGUGCGGAGGGGAUCUCCCCAUGGUUAUCAAUUCCAUGGAGAACAUUGAUCCUCCAAUCUUCUAGUGUCGUUUUUUUUCUUUUUUUCCAACAGUCGGAUAAUUUUAUGUCCAUGCAAUUUCCACCUUUUUUUUGUGAAUUUAUUUAAUCAAGUAAAUGGACAAAAAUGGUCAUGUAGUUUCCUUAUAAGCUAAAUCAACUCUAUUUUAUAAUUUGAAAGGUCAGAAAAUGGCUUUUAUGAUGAUCAUGUGUAAUUCAUCAUAUGAUAUCAAUCCUUUUUCCAAAUUGAAGCUAUGCUAAGGUUGCUCCCCUGUUCUAUUUUUUUAGAUAUUCCAUUAUAUCAUGAUCACGGUUCUCAUAAUACGUAGUGAUUGUUUGAUCUCUGCUAAUAAUACCUAGGGCCUGGAUCCACUGACAACUGCAAGCAUGUUUGCCAAUGCUCGAUGCAUCGGGGAGAAGAAGGUGAACGGAGAGGACUGCUUCAUCCUGAAGCUUUCUGCGGAUCCGCAGACCCUUCAGGCUCGGAGUGAGGGCCCUGCGGAGGUCAUACGGCACGCCCUAUUUGGCUAUUUCAGCCAGAGGACAGGGCUCCUAGUCCACAUAGAGGAUUCCCACCUCACACGCAUCCAAUCCAACACCUGUGGUGACGCCGUGUAUUGGGAGACCACCAUCAGUUCAUUCAUCGAGGAUUAUCGCCCAAUCGACGGUAUGAUGAUCGCCCAUUCUGGCCGCUCGCAAGUCACUCUUUUCAGGUUCGGGGAAGUGGCCAUGAGCCACACGAAGACCAGGAUGGAGGAGGCGUGGACCAUAGAGGAAGUAGCGUUCAAUGUUGCCGGCCUCUCCGUUGAUUGUUUCAUCCCUCCGUCUGAUAUAAAAUACGGGUCGAUCGGUGAAACCUUAGAUGUUACUCAAGGAGAAAGGGGGAAGACCAGUUCGGCAUCUAGUCGUCGGGCUAAGGUUGCAGCUCUGGAGAGACCGGAUUGAUAUAUUCUGAUGAACUCUAAGCUUAUUUAUUUGUUGAUACGGCCGACCGGCCAUGAAAGGUAGGUUAGAGAAAAAGCUAAUUCAAGGAGAUUUCUCUGUAUAUAGGAGAAGAGGUCUCGCAUCUCGCAGUCUCUUUGAAUCUUUUAUGAGCUUCAUUAUUAGCUGUGGAAGGAUCACAGUGUUGGUGUUGCCUCACUGGUAGAAUUAAUUGUCUUGCUGGUGAGAAGAAGAAGAAGAAGAAGAAGGAGAAGAAGCAACUUCUUCGCCGGCGAUGGAGAAUGGUUUCUCCUUUUUGAUUUUAUCUUAUGUGUGCUUUUACUUAGGUCCUCUGUAUUUUGGUAGAUGAUAUAACUCUCAUCAGUUGAUCGGGUUGGUUCUUGCGGUGAGAAUCAGCUUUCCCUUAAACGGCAAUCGAUCUCUCCAUAUUGCAUGAGACGGUUGCGUGCUAAAUUUCUACUAUUUCAGAUGCUGAAUGAAUGCUGUUAUGUAUUCUUUCUUCUGUGGGUUUAGUUGAUUUAUGUGGUUGUAUAUGCUAAGUGCUCUCAACCGUAUUUUUGUGCGCCAUAGUUUUGCAUCCCUAAUACUAGAUAGCUGUGGUCGAUUCUUCUGCUUGCAUUAAUUUAUCUGGUAGUGAUAUGCCAGAGUAUGAUUGCAACUACUACUCUACUACUUGGGACUAUGAAAGCCUCCAUGUGCUUCUCGUACGAAUACUCUCUCUCUCUCUCUCUCUCUCUCUCUCUCUCUCUCUCUCUCAGGCAUGUUUCCAUUGUGUCUGGUUGGACCCUUCUCUGAGGACUCAGUUUUACCUAUUUUUUUCUCUUUUUCUUUCUGGGUCGUGUAGGGGACCAUACUACACGACCAUAUUUUUUAUAGUUAUUUUUCUGUGUAUCGGCUGAUCUGGCUAAAAGUCGGAUCUAGCGGACGAGAUGGCUUUCAUCCUUCAUCCAUUGGUUGGAUUAGAGGCCACAGGGGCUCGAGAGAAGUUAGCUCCUAAUGUAAUGGAUGAUGAUGAUGGUGUUAACAGCUCUAUUCUAAUAUUUACAGAUGAUUUUUAUUAAAUAUGAUUCACUACUAUACUUGUUAGAUAUUAGAUCUAUUAAUUUCACGACUCUGAUGUAAUGCUGUACCAUGCUUGGGCAUCAUGAUGACUCUCAGGUCGCUCGCACUAAUGACUCUGCACACACCUCCUGCACAGUAGGUCGAUAUAUUUAAACCUGGAACGUGUCUUUUUGGGGCAUGAAGAGGACCGAUAAUGAAAAUAAAUAAACAAAUGGCUAUAAAAAAAAAUAUCCACUGCUUCCUCAAUUCUCACCUUCAGGAAACUGGGGCCGGGUCUAUAAUACCAGGAUGUAGAGGAGUAAAGGUGAUGUGAUGAUCACUGUUACUUUUGUUUCUAGAGUCUAUAGUGGAUAGGAAAAAAAGAGAGUAAAAAAAGUAAGAUCGCAGGUCUCUUUAGAUGUACCUAGUUUUUUACUUUGCUAACCUAUGCAUUAUUCCCUUGAAAUUAAAAAAAAAAAAACAAGUGUGUUUAUUUUCAUACUAACCUUUCAAUCUCUAGAAUUGCAUUGCUUACUUCUAUAUUUCUCUGCAACUUUAGUAACCAAAAAAAAAAAAAGGUUAGAUCUAAAUGCUUACUACAAGUGUAGGUACAAUGUUGCUGUAUAUUUAUGUUUUGCUUCUCGAAGCCAAACAGUUCAAUCAAUCUGCACGAUUAGUUGAAGCUUCGAAUUCAAUUGGUCUGUGAGAAAAUUCACGUAUGAAGUAUGAACCAUACCGGGGUAUUUAAGUCUCGGUCGGGGUUGUUUUGGGUCCAAGUCCAACAAACGACUCCUUUUUUCGCAAUAACAGCAAUACACGUCACAAUAAAGAGAUCGUACGAUUGUCUCCCAGAUCACAUGCUCUUGGUGUACUAUCGCCAUUCACCUGGUUGCAAUUUUUUUUUUUUUCUUUUUUUUUUGAGAUAGGUAGCAUGUUAUCCGCUUCGUUUAUUUUAUUUAGAAAUAAAUUUAGAUGAAAAUGUGAAUAAACUAGGAUUCGAACUUGGGUCUCGGAUACCAACCACCAAACCCUUUGCCAUUAGCUCUAGGGACGGUCGGUACCUGGUUGCACCUUUUAAACCGAA